rnacentral:lncRNA from 1 species
UUACAGUGUAAAUUACACUAAAAGUUGCACACGAAUUACAAUGUAAUUUCCGUAAAUUUACAUAGUAAAUUACACUGAAUUUACACUAUAAUUUCCAUUGCACUUAAAUUACACAGUAAAAUGCACGGGAAUUCACAUAAACUAACAUUGUAAUUCUCUGAACUUACAGUGCAAGAACCUUGAAAUUACACUGUAAUAACCAUGAAAUUGCACUGUUAAAUGUCCCGCGAAAUAUAGUGGAACUGACACUGAAAUGCCCUAAAUUAACGUCACUGAGUGCUGCAACACAAUACUUCAAUCCUAAAUGUGCAGAGCACGUCAUACCUAUGUAUGCACUCCUAAAGUCUAGCAGCCAACUGAGCUAACUAAUCUAAUCAACCCUAAACAGCAGCCAAUCAAGGGAUUAACCUCAAACUGCAGCAACCCCUAACUUCCCAUGUAUCAUCCAUGGGUGGAUGAAUCUGAAACAAAGCAUGGUGCAACUCAAAGUAGAGGAGGGGGGAGGGCAGAGGUAGUGGGUGGGGCCUGAGAAGAAGUCACCGAAGAAGGAGGGAGGCUCCAUGGGGCCUCUGCGUGGUGUGAAGAAGGAUCUCCAUCUUCAUGGCGGCGUCCCAUUCCACGGAUGUGUGUGCCCCUCCUGCCGUCAUCGCCGUCCGCGCCAUGGCGACCUGCAAAAAAGGGAAGACAAGUGGCGUGAGGUAAGGAGGAGAGGGUGGGCGAAGAAGGAGGGGAGAGACCAACCUGUGCCGGAUCCGGCCACCUCUGGCCUCGCCGUUGCCGGUUGUGGCGGAUCCCGACGAAGUUUUGGGGAGGCGCCCGAACCCAAGUCGUGGGGGAGGGUGGAGCCUUUGAGCGUCGGAUCUAGAUGAUUAGAGCAUCUACAGUCGGGCACCUCAAGCCUGGCUCAUACACCCGGGUGGGCCACCCGGUCACGAUUUUUCGAUCUAGACGGGCUCCUUAAAUGGGCCUCGAACGCCUGGGCUGAUCGGCACCCCUCAUAUCCAGCCCAAAUAUGGGGCGCCCGGGCGUGCCCGCCACGUCGGACCCGUCAGCCCGACCCCAUCGAAAAUUGCGCCAAAUGCACCAAACCCUUUCUCCUCCUCCCGCCGCCCUCCAACUUUUCCCGCGCCCGAACCCUCGCCGUCCUCCACCCUUGCUCCCAAUCCUCACCACCGGUCCCGAUCCACCACCGCGACGAAGACGCAGUCUGCCUUGUCCGUCGGCCUCCCUUCGUCGGCUCCGACUUGCAAGGCGGAGGACGCCGCCCGGAAGUUGCGGCAACGCCUGCAGCGAGAGAGGGAGGCGGCGGCGGUGCAAGGAGGUUCGGACAUGGUGGACCACCAAGGGGUGGCGAUCAAAUGGGAACUCGAGAAGGCCAAGACAUUUGGCUACAUAGAGCUUGAGAAGGAGAGGUUGCAACUCUUACAGGACGUGGUGGAUGCGAUGAUCAUGUUGGCAGACGAAACCCUCUUGGAUGAGCAUGUGAAGAAGUGGCUUGCGGACAAGAAGAAGAAGAUUAAUGACCUGAUAUAAACAUGACCCAUACGGAUAUAACCACAAUUAUUGCGCGUAAAGAUAAUUAUCAGGUGAAUUCUAAUAGAAAUUAUAUGAAUUAUUAUUUUGUUAUCCGAAACAAAAAUACAACACAAUAUUUUAUAUGCAGGAUUAAAGAAGACAUGCACAAACCUCGGGUGAAGAUGCGAAGUUUAAUACAGAAGAUUUACACUUGAGCAUUAUCGAAUCAACAUGCAUUUGUUCGCUCGAUCGCUAAUCGCUCAACUGCUCGCUCGGCCGCUGCUGCUGGCUCGCUCGAUCGCUAAUCGCUCGACUGCUCGCUCGACCGCUGCUGCUGGCUCAAUCGGUCGCUGCUCGCUCCUUUGCUAGCCUUUUUUUCUCUUGCAAGCACUUGUCGAAAAAACCAUUGCUGUUUGAAAAAACUAAAAAGGGAAAAUUUGCAAAAUUAAAAAAAAAUCAAAAAAUUCAUGAAUUCAUAAUUGUACAUGAAUUUUCAAAAAAGUUGGCAAAUUUGAAAACAAAUAUCGAGUUUGAAAAAAGGUUCAUCAAAUUUGAAAAAAGUUCAUCCAAUUUGUAAAAAGUUCAUCGAAUUUGAAAAUAAGUUCAUUGAAUUUUGAAAAAAAUAUCAAAUUUAAAAAAGUUCACGAAAUUGAAACGAAAAAUGUUGAAUUAUUGGAAAAAAUUAAGAAGGAAAAUAAUAAAAACUAACAAAACCGUUCCAACAAAAAAACAAAAAAAAGGUACAAAGAAGAAAAGAAGGAAAAGCUAUAACAUACCACGUCAACAGCAGGUGGCCUAUUGGUUAGGUGGUGUGUGUUGAACCGGUCGAUUGCCGGUUUGAAUCAUGGUACUUAUCUCAAUGUUCUAACGCCCACACCGGAUAUGGACCGAACUGUCUCACGACGUUCUGCGCCCUGUACCGUUAACACGGUAUCGGACGCUGAGGGCGCCGUAUAGGUUUUGCGCCCAUGCAUGGCCUUGUGUGUUGCGCACCUGGGCCUAUAGUACAGAUGAGGCAGUUUGCCACCAGAUUGAUAUGAGAAGUUUAUUUUCAAAUCAGAUCGCGUGUGGGUCGGCCAAUUAGCAGGCCCGUCUUGACUUCCAAGAAAAUAGACGAAGCGUUCUUCACGCCGGCCUUUAAUAAAUAGUCAUCAUAUUCUAGGGUUUACGCGGGUUUUAUUGUAUUGUUUAGCCAUGCUACAAUUUCGCAUCUAUGAGACGUGUAGGACUACCGUUUUGUUAGAUCCAAAGUGGAACCCCAACUUUUGAUCUAGUUCAUGUACUUAAUUUUUCAUUCGCAAUUUCAGAUUGCAAUUCACCUUUGUUCUUGCCGGUUCUUUAGUUGCUUGCAGGAACUCAAACAUCGUCGUUCAGGUUGACCGUGCCUACGGCAAGGUCAAUAACCAUUGGAGAUUGGUUUAGCGAUUGUCGAGGCAUAUCGUCGGGUAUUGUAUAGCCGGAUCGUCAAGAUCAUAAUCCACCAAAUUGAUAGUUAUCCUCACUCUCAUCGAAACAUCGGGCCGCCGUCACAUAAGUGGUAUCAGUUUUCAGUUUCAUCGGUGAGAGAUUUACAGUUUUGUUAGAUUAGUUUAUUUUUCAUGUCCUAUAACCCAAAAAAAAGCCAAAAAAGAAAGAAAGAUUAGUUCAUCCUUUGCACCUAUCUUUUUAGCCUUUAGCAAUUUUUGCAUCUAGUACUUCCGUAGUUGAAUUUUUGGUUGCAUCAUCCUACAAAUAGUGCUGGUUUAGAUUUGUACGAGAAAAUUUUGUCUACUAGAUUGAACUUUUUUUUCUCCAUCAUAGUUUCCGCCGCAAGCUCGUCCAUAAUCUGAAAAAAAAAACUAUCAAAAUUGCAUUGGAUUCCUUUGUUUUGCGUGCAAUCCGAAAUCUCAUCUGUUACACGUCGUUGUUGUCCGCCCUGACGCGUACAGCAGCGCCGUGUUGCAUCAAACAUCAAUUCCACUCAUGUCUGUCCUCAAGCGCCAGUUUCUUGUUCGCCAUGGUGCUCCACUUUAUAGCCACGUAGGUUUGCUUUGUAUAGGCAGCAUCAUCAUAACUAGAUCGCGCGAGAGUGCUGAUCCCAACCGAUAAUAAUAAAGUGAAGAAGAAACAUUCAAUUACCCCAUGCAUCCCAUUGGUCCAUCACCGAAAGUCUAAAAUUAUGCUUAAUCACUCAAUAUAUCAUCACAUAUAUCCAUUGUUGUAAGCCAUGUAUUUUCAUACGUUUUAGCUCAAAACCAAACCAAACUGGUGAACAUGAUAAUAUGAUAUUUCAUCACAAAGCAUAAAGACCCGAUUCAUACCAUACGAUCCAGUCAUAAUGAUCGCCCAUGACAAUAAGUUCAUUACAAAGGAUAGAGUCUAAUAUACCAAAAGACCAGAUUGAUAGAGCAGUACACGAAACGUAUAUGGUUCGGCUAUGGCAUAACAUCAGACUACCUAUAUAUAUGGAUAGAGAGUUUGGUCUGACUGCCUUGUCGCGCGGCUCCUCCCUGCGUUGUAAACACAUGUUGAUCGACAUUAUGUGUUACACAAAGAAUCCAUAGUGUGCCAUACGAAAAUCAACACAGCAAGAAUACAGUUCUUUUUCUAACCCUUAUGCCUUAUGAAUAGUGUUAGUUAUCUGGCAAAUAAAUAGCUCCUAUUAUUACUACUCCCUCCGUCCGGGAAUACUUGUCACCAAAAUGAAUAAAAGGGGAUGUAUUUAGAUGUAUAUUAGUUCUAGAUACAUUCCUUUUUAUCUAUUUUGAUGACAAGUAUUUUCGGACGGAGGGAGUACUCGCAUAGUGAACAUGCUAAAUAAUCGUGUUAACAAAUGACAAUAGUUAAAAGUUGAUAAUGCAAAAGGAAUGUGUUAACAAAUGACAAAAGUUAAAAGUUGAUAAUGCAAAAGAAAACAUGAUUAUAACACCUUUAGAAUUAGUUUGGUAAUGUUCACUGCAGCAAGACACAAAAUUCAUGUAGUUCUUGGUAGGCAUAAGUUACCAGAGUCCGCAAACAUGAGUAAUCCAGUCAGCUAGCAAUCAGCCAAAUGUAGGGCUGCCAACCAAAUUUCUAACAUAAUCGUUUUACUAACAGGGAAGCGACAAUAUACUUUGCUGGAUAUCCAAAUAUGCUUUAGGAGUCAUCAGAAAAAUUCUUGUAUAAUAUUGGUAUCCCUCUUAACAACAAGGAACAAUCUUGGUACACGACAUCUAUCUGUUUAUUAUUCCAAGAUACCAAGAUACGGGAAGCAUACUAAAAAGCAACAUCCUUGCACCAAAACAGCGGAAAUAGUUUCUUGUAACAAUUCAUAAUAUGCUUUGCAAUUUCCCCUGCACAAACAAAAGAACUAUCUGAGCUUGUGGGUAGCAGGAGAACUCCAAAACAAAAUCAGACCUACAAUUUAAGUGCAGGGUCCCAAUAUAGUAGCUAUUGAUCACCCCAUCAACAAGGCGCCAUGAUGUUCAUGAGUUUUCUUUAGCAUGCAUUCAGAAAUCACUGUUAGAUACAAGAUCAUCACCUAACAUCAUCAAUUAGCAUGAGCUUUUGACCAAUAUGCAGCAGACUUAAACAAACAGAUUAUAUAAAAGCAAAACUGACAGUCUGCUGAAGGUUUAUACAUCCAAGCAACAAAUACAAGUAAUAACACUCCAAAAGCUCUAGGCUAUUAUUUGAUAUAAGACCAUUUUUUCGCAGCAAAUACAUAACUUGAACCGAUAAAAGAGGUAAAUGUUUUAACAUUAUCACAGCACUGGGGCUAUAUUAUUCCUUAUUAUGGACUCGGAAUCACUUGCCCAUAAAAAGCCGUAAAGAUUGAUGUAAUAUUUUUCAUCUAACAUAAAAACCACCAAUCCAUCUUAGCAAGUAAUAACGGGAACUCAACUCUUGUGAGAAAGUAACUACUCAGUCACUCUAUUUAGACUACAUUUGCAGUCACUUCCAAAAUUUCAGGAAAAAUGUCACAGUCCAGAAAGUGCAUCGAGUUUAACAUGCCAUUAAACUGAACCGAGGUAACAAGUUCACUUCCCAACCGUUUUAGGCAUCUCGGAUUUACACACAAUCUACACAUUUGCUCAUCACACAAAUUAGGAGGCAACAAUAAUGAUAUACCCAUCAAGUUCACUGCAAUCUUUUUAUCCUACCUGAGAUGUAGCCUGCAGGUGGACGUUGGAUUCAAGGUUGCCUGGCCCCAGAACUGAAACAGUAGCAAGCAAUUAUGAGAGUUAUUAACAAGAAAAUAAAUAUGCAUUGGUAGUUAAAGAAAAUGUCGCGACAGAUGGCCAGAGAUAACAGUUACUACUAUUGUUGAAAUAACUUACAGUGGGACAAUGCACAAGCUUGACUGUUCACAAGAAAUAAAUAAUAUCUUGUUCUUCUUCCUCUACACCGAACUCUCCCGCGAGAUUAUUCCUCCCCUCCUUCCUCAGAUCUGCCACAAUUGUAUUUAGAAAAUGCACGAGGACAUCCUCAAUUUCCCAAAGGAUGUCGCCUACUGAGCAGUACAUGUAGACAAUUAUGUCCAAGCCUAUCAGGCUAUAAACUAUUAUGCUCAACUGAAAAAGCAAAUAUUGAAAUAAUAGUUAUUUCAAAUUUCUUUUAUGUGCGCUGCACAUGGUUUUAUAAGUCUGUAUAAUUAAUCCAUAUACAAAUAAACAUAUAUUUAGUAUUUCUAUAUGGUUGAGAUCUAGGACAUUGUUUACCAAAACUUUGUUACUAUGAUAUGUUCUUCAAAUGUGCCAAACAUACAAGUUUUUUCCCACUCCCUACGGUUGUAAGGUCAUGUGUUAACUAAAGAUCGACAGUCAACACCAAAUCUUUAUGUCUAUAAAAUGCGAAAGGGACAACCUUUUUACUGAUUAGUUUCAAAGUCAACUAACAUGUAUUGAUGGUUUGUAUGGAAUAUAUAUUUUAAUUAAAAUUGUCUAGAUAGAUGUACACACCUCAAGAAAAAUAGCAAGGAGAGACUAUAAUCAUCUGGUCUGAGCAUCAGUAUAGGUGUUGGCUAAGACUUGUUACCAUAAAACCUAUAUUCUGUAAGAACAUCAUCAUAAAGAGAGUUGAUAUCGCGGCAUCCAUACUCGAUAUAUUAAUCAUAGAAUAGGCUUUCUCCAAAACACAAACGCGAGUAUCUUGAGAUAGUUUCUCAAGAUAUGAAGAAUGAGAAUGGAUCACAGUACAUAUAUGCACACAGUAAUAGCAUUAUGUGUCAAUAGCCACAUAGAAAAGAAAGAAGGGAAUUGUCCAUCAUGUGGGUGAUCAUAGUGACGGAGAUAUCGACAAUGUGGGUGAGUGCCCUAUAACCUCAGCUUUGCUGAUGAGUAUAUCUAGGUGCAUCCAAAAUAUACAUGAUUAUUUUUGUUCUGUGCUACAUGGAAAGUGCAUAGAGCUCAUUUGCUUUGCCUCGUAAGAUUUUAAAUUCUACAUAAUACUUCAAUAGAUGAUAAACCUAAAGAAUAUGUUUUUGCUUAUGUUAGUUGGAGGCUUUACUUAGAACGCAUUUGUCAAAACAUGUUGUGUUUCAGCUUUAAUAAUAACUAAAUCGUUGCUUCAUGAAUUCAGCUAACUCUACCGCAAAUACCAGUUAAAUUUCUCUUGAUACGGGGUAACUAAUUGAGCCAUAGAAAAACAAAACUUGGAAUGUCAAAAGGACGUAGACAGAGUCUAUACAGAUAUCACGACACAACAAGAUAUAAAAUAGGAUGUAAUAGUGACUAUGCUUUAUUUCUAGUAAAACUAUCACAGAGAAAGAAAAUUGUUGGACAAACAAUCCUCUCUUUUUCAUAUGUGAUUGUACAAACAACCAUAUGUUUUCAUGUGUAACAAAAACACUAAUUACAACUCAAACGUUAGAAAUUCUAACCAAGGCCCCCUUCCAUACACAAAGGAACAAAACCACCAACAUUUCCAUGCACAAAGGAACAAUAAUGUUAGGCCCUACCUGAAUCCAGACAAGGAACAAAAAAGCAUAUAUUUACACCCCAUCAAAAAACAAGCAUGGAAACAAAGGAACUACAAAAAUAUACAGCAUAGAGAAUAGUAUAUUUGGCCUUUACCAGAAAAGGAAAGCCUCAUUGGCCAACCAGGGCAAGCAGAACAUGGUGAGCCCCAAAACACAAAUUGCCAUGCAACCAUACACCUAGCUCUGGAAAAGAAGAUGCGUGGAUAGGAGGAGAAGAGGGGUUGACAUGCAGAUCCGUGAAUGGAGACGCAGGAGGGUGCUGAUAGACGGGGUGCAGGCCCAACCCCGGCUUGCCGCUCAGCCGGCGGAGACGACAUUGAGCCCUCAAUGCAUCGACGACUUUGUGUUCGCUGUAUGGAGCCGCAGAAAAAGGAGAUCAGAACUGUGUAUAUAUGGACAUCUAUGAGAGAGUGAACACUGGAUGCAGAGGAGAAAAUGGAACCAAAUGGUGAUCAUUACUAUUCAACUUGAAAGGAAGCGCAGUUUAUAUCCAUGAUUUCCCUCUUGUGAAGCAAGCAUCAAACAACACAGAAGCAAUGAAAUUGCACAUUCAAAUAGAACAAUACAUGAAAUGCUCUUGUGUCGAGAACAAUUGCAAGUAUUUUGUGCACAUCACAUCAUAUUUGCAGGGGUAGCUCGAGAACGGGUGGGGCUCACCACGUGUGGGGGUAGCAGGAGGAAUAGGCAGAGCAGCCUUGAGGGCCCGUCCACCUGCAGAAGCAGCUUGUCCUCAUCGGAGCAACCUUCACAUAAAACAAACGCAGGAAUCAGAAUAAGAGGAGAUGAAGAAACAAAGAAGAGAUUCAUGCCCACCCAGAAUAGUCAGAGAUCCACCCAGAACAAAGACCAUAAUAAACUAAGAGCCUAAUCAGGUUGUCAUGGUUAAGAACAUAUAUAGCAGAACAAUUAAUGAUUGAUGCUGCUAAAUCAACAACCCAAAGCUGAAGCUUUUUUUAUACAUGGCUGCUAGAAACAUGCAAAUACAAUGAAUUAGAGCAUCUCCAGCCAUUGGAGCCCCCCAGGACAAUCGCCAGGCCAAAUAUAGCACGUCCUGGGGGGCAAUACACCUUCGCCGAAUGAAACGCGAGGACGUUUUCCCAGCCGUUGGUGCCCCCAGGACAGUCGCCAGGCAAAAAGUGAAUGAGUGGACCAGAAAAAAAUGAUACAUGGAGGAAUAUGAUUGGCUGUUGCUUCCGCCGGCGCCCCUAGCAGCCCCCCAGCGCGUUGGGUGUGGCCUGGGUUCACCGGCACCUUUUUGAGGUCUUGGGGGCAUGGCUGGGCCUUUUUUUGCCAUUUUUAGNNNNNNNNNNNNNNNNNNNNNNNNNNNNNNNNNNNNNNNNNNNNNNNNNNNNNNNNNNNNNNNNNNNNNNNNNNNNNNNNNNNNNNNNNNNNNNNNNNNNNNNNNNNNNNNNNNNNNNNNNNNNNNNNNNNNNNNNNNNNNNNNNNNNNNNNNNNNNNNNNNNNNNNNNNNNNNNNNNNNNNNNNNNNNNNNNNNNNNNNNNNNNNNNNNNNNNNNNNNNNNNNNNNNNNNNNNNNNNNNNNNNNNNNNNNNNNNNNNNNNNNNNNNNNNNNNNNNNNNNNNNNNNNNNNNNNNNNNNNNNNNNNGGGGGGCUGGAGAUGCUCUUACUACUUGAAUGAAGAGAAAGCAUGUUUAAUUACCGGGUGCGUGGCGUUGUAGUGGAGGAGAGCGUGGCGGUGUCGUGCCUUCUACUGAACCUGACGCAUGAUGGCGGUGUUGUGCCUUCUGCAUCAAAUGCAAUUGGAGCAAACUUACUUGGUACUGUUAUAAUUGUUCAACAUAGAUACUUCAACAGCACUCUGCCCUAUUAAUGAAACAUGGACGAGGUCUUCUCAUCAGAGCGACAUGAUGGACAAAGUUGGAACCAAUGGCGAUGGGGUAACCUCACACACAUCUUUCCAUAAUGCAAUUCUGCAGACACAACCAAAGUAUAUUUACUAUUUAUUUUUGAGUCAAUUGCACGGUUCAGUUUUAUUUUGAGUCAAUUGCACGGUUCAGUUUAGUCCAGAAAGUUACAAGUCGUGUUUGAUGGUGGUUGACGAAUCAUCUAUAAGCUAUGUAUUUUAUGUUGAUUUCUUCCUAUGAACAUGGUAAAAUGUCUACACCUCCCUGCAUUGGCUCUCUACACGUUCACAGUAGGUUUAGUAGGGGGUUAAAAGGUGGCUCAUUUCAUCAUACCACUUGUCUGAAUUUCUGAACAUCUAAACCACAGUGGUCAUAACAACAGUUUGUUAACUCUAAAAGUUAAACAUUGAAUGUGACUGAAUUUCCCCACAAAAGAAAAAGAACAUGACUGAAUUGAACUGAAUUUUUUAACACUGAAAUUAGCAAUCACCACCAGGUUGUGUCCAGAAGUAGAAAGAGGGCGUGGUGCCUCGUCCACCUGCAGCAGCAACAACAAAAGCUCCACCACCUCUUCCAGAUCGGAGCAACUGCGCACAAAACAAACCAAGGAAUCACAAGGAGGGGAGAUGAAGAAACCGACAAGACAAGGGGUUUAGGUAUCAUGCGCACGCACCAUUGUUGGAGAUCUGUGGAUGAGCUCGCCGGAGAUGGCCUGCAGCAGGCGCGUACUUGGAGGGCCAGGGAUUCGGGCGUCUCCUUCCAUGGCUGUUGCCGGGCCGGACCACCAUGGCCGACCUCGAGGACGGUCGCGGAUGAGGUCGAUGACGAAGUGUCGAUGGCCCUGUGGAUCUGGGCGCUGCCUCACCUGGUCGCUCGAUCCCUUCCAUCCCCUCCCCUCCCCUUACCUUUCCUUGGUGACGGUGAACUCCAGGUCAGCCUCGGGCGCAGCCUUUGAGGAGGUCAUGCGCUUGCGCGAGGAGCCUCGCGAUGGCUCGGCGGCCGAGGGCUGCGAGCUGGGCGGCGCCAUAUGGGAUGCGUGCAGCUGGCUGGGGUUCCGGGAGAGGAUUCAGAUCAUGGGUGAGGGAGGAAGGAAGAGGACUUGCACUUCUUCCCGGCCAUGGCUGGCUCAGCUAUGGGAGAGGAACGGGGAGGGGAUGGUGGCGCGGCUGCAGAUGGUUGGCGGCGGUGGCGGCGGCGAACGGGGAGGAUGACUGGCGGCAGUGGCUCUCUCGAGAGAGAGAUGUGAGGGAGAGAAAAAUGAGGGAGGCACUCAUUGGGGGAGGAGGCAGCGAAUCGGAAAAGGGCACAGAUGCGAAAUGACCAAAAUGCCUUGGGUGGGGGACGUGAAUUUCAGCAAUGGCAUGAGAUCUUUUACCCGCUGGACAGCGCCGAUGGGCUACACCGGACGUGCCCCGGCCACCCCUUCAUACCUGUUUGGUUAGAUAUUUGUGUACGUGACUUCUACUAGCGGGCGGCCUGAAAGUUGAAAAAAAGGAAAAUUCAGAAAAAAGAAUAAAAAAAAGUUGAUGCAAAGUUUUGGCCAGCUAGCAUCUUUUGAAAAAUCUCUUUUGCUGUUCAGCCUGCUCUGUUCAUAUAAGUGAUAUGUUCGAUUUUUUUGUCUGCUCUUGGUUGCCAUACACUACGUUCAUACCUCACUUAUAUCUAGCUACUUGGAGCUAUUAUAUUUUCGCCAGUUCCCUCUCGCUUGAUUCAGUAUCUGGGCUUAGAUUAUUUUAUCUCUUACUAGUCGACUACCAAUACUAGUUAGGAGUUUGAGCAAUUAUUCAUCUUGCAUUACUUUUAGCAAAAUUGUGCCACCGAUAUUGUGAGUUGAGAAAACCUUCACCAAGCUCCACUUUCUAUAUUGUACAUUGUUUGGUGACUUGGCAAUCACUAUAUCCAACUUUGAUAACUUUUGAAGGCGCCAAAGGCCGACAACCACUGCAGCACGGUAAGAUCUUGUAAGAGCUUGGUAAUUGCUAGAGUGUUGAGAGAAUUUUUCCGCCACCUCCGAGUAGUAAUAUAGAAACAUUAUACUUAUUAUUUUUGUUUUUUGUGUGGUACUAACCAUGGCAGAUUCUAGAGCGGUUGACAGUUGGGGUGCGUCUAUUGUGGGAGAUGACUUGCCAUAUAUUGAUAAAGAUCACUCUUUCCCACCACAAAAGGUACGACGAUCGUCACAUGAUAUACAUCAUGGUAGAAACACACAUCAUCAUGUUACCUCUUUGCCAAAUUUUAAGGGUAAAUAUGACCCCGAUUCAUAUAUUGAUUGGGAAACUGAGGUAGAAGAAAUAUUUGCUAGCCAUGAACUUCCCAAGCAUAAGAAAAUAAAUGUUGUCACUAAAGUGUUUUUAGGUUUUGCUUCAGUUUGGUGGAGAAAUUAUUGCAGGAAAAAAAUUGAUAAUAGGCCUUCUACUUGGAAAGAUUUAAAACUUGUUAUGCGAGACCGAUUUGUUCUUCAUAUCAUGCCAGUGAUUUUCUUAGAAAAUUACAACGUUUAGCACAAGACAAUAUCACUGUUGAAGAAUAUUAUGACAAUUUGUGUAUUGCUUUGUUUCGUUCUGGCUUAGAAGAAUGCGAAGAAGAUUUUCUGAAUUGAUUUUGGAAAGGUUUAAACCAUGAUAUACAAGACAUAAUAAUGCAUGAAGACUAUAUUCUAUCGAUCAUUUGUUUCGUCUUGCCUGUAAAGCUGAACAGAAAUUAAGAGGACGCGUCUACAUGACGAACAAGCGUGCGAUGGAAUCCCCAUCAAAGAAGGUUACUUCCUCCCCUGCACCACCAACUAUGAUUGCACCACAUGGACUUUAUGAGGCAUCGUCACCGACCGUUCUUACUUCAUGUGAGCAAGGCCUACUACACUAGUAGAAAAUAGGGCUUUGGUCCAGGUCUGAAAAGGGCAUUAAUCCCGGUUUCCCUAUGAACCGGGACUAAUGGGUGCAUCAAUCUCGGUUCGUAAAGCCAGGGCGCCGGCCGGGCCUCGGGGGCCAUUGGUCCAGAUUCGUCUGACCCCUUUGGUCACGCUUCCAGACACGAACCAGGACCAAUGGGCCUCGCUCCUGGCCCACAACCUUUAAUCCCGGUUGGUGGUUGGAACCGGGACCAAAUGGAGUCCUUUAGUCCCGGUUCUAGCCACAAAUCGGGACUAAAGAGAGGCCUAUAUAUCCCCCUUCCCGCGAGCAGAGCAGUGCAUUGCUCUGUUUUUUGGCCGGCCGUGGGAGAGCUUUGUGGUGCUCUAGCUCACCUCCUAUGCACAUGAGGUGUUCGGUGAAAUGUCCAAGACAUACUUAAGCUUUCUCCUCUCGAAGCUCCUUGGCCAAACUCCAUUUUCCUUAAGAUUUGUCUAGGUUUGGCGGUCCAUCCUGUCCCGUUCCCGUCCUCACCGACGUCGAUCGCCCGCGCCGAUCUCGCCGCCGGCACCACCGUGGUGAGCCUCUUGUUCUUAUCUUCUAAAAGAAAAAAGUUCUUACUUGUAUGAUUUAGAUAGAUACUUGUAUAAUUUUCUUACUUUUAUUAUUUUUUGUUAUUAUAUAAUGCGAUGGUUUUGGUAUCCGCCUCCGUCGGCCCUCGUCCUGUCUAUGAUUCGGAUGUGGUAUAUAUUAUAUUUUAUAACUAUUUUGUUCAUUUAGUGUGUAUGAAAAUUAUGCCGACCAACGUGACAUAGAUGUUUUUAUCAAGGAGGUAUGUGAACCGGAAAUUCCAACCGACCCUAUUGUUGAGAGGUUAAAUUUAGUUGAAGAAGAAAACAAUUACCUGAAGAAAAAAUUGAAAAGAAUUAAGGAGGAGAAGAUGGGAUUGGAGUUGCAUGUUGCGGAUGUCGUCAAUGAUCACAAGAUCAAGAUGGAUGCAAUGCGCUUGAAGAUUAUAAAGAUUAGAAAAUAUGUCAUUCAUACCGAGGCUUGGCAUCAUUAUGCCGUUGGAUCAAUUGUUACCUUAGUUGCGAUUAUGAUCGCAUUUGUUGUUGCAUUGAAAUGUUUUACAUUAUUUCAAUGUAUGGUUUAAUUAGAUGCUCUAGAGAGCUAUAUAUAUGUUGUUCAAUGAGAACUAUAUAUGUAUGAACUUUAUGUAUUUAUUUUUUCAGUAAUAACAUUUGAUCACUACUGUACUUUGGUUUUAAUGUGAUGAUGAACUUCUAUUAAUUUGGUUUUCUAUAUUCAUGCUGUUCUGUAAUGGUUUUUGACACACUUAAUUAUAUAUAAUGCACGCAGAUGAACCGGCAAUGGAUGUACGAUGAUGUUAACAUCAGUCUGUUUAUAUUGAACUGAUGAUCGUGUAUUACUACUGAAGUCAAGCAAUGAGGUCUAGUUUGUUGAAAUUACAUAUUUGGCUCGGUUAUAGUUUAUUCCAUUGCUUUUCUUUUUCCAUGCCUUACUACUGAACUGAACUAAAGCACUUCUGUUUGAAAAAUUACAAGGAGACUUCUACAGCCUACUAGCAUGUUCUAGCUUGCCGCUGAUGUGUAUUCAUGCUGAUGAAGCUUGCUUGCCUAGCUGCUAGACUGAUUCUUGUUCUGUUAUGGGUGCUGUGGUUAUUUGAACUUUAAUUGCAGCUACUAUUACAGUGUGUGCAUACAUGACUGAAACUGUAUGAUGUGUGUGCCAUGGUUACCUGAACUUCAAUUCUAGCUACUAUUCAAAUCUAAUACUAGCAUGUACAUGACUGGACUCGUACUACUGCGUACUAGUGUGCCAUUUUGCUUAUUCUUUCCUUGAACUUUGCAUGCUCUCUAUUCUUUCAGAGAUAUGUUCAAAGCUAGUUCCUCGGAGGUGUAUUCUUUCAUAGAUAUGUUAAAGCUAGUUCUUUAUUCUUUCAAAGAUAUGUUAUUUUCAUACUUUCAGCUCACAUGUAGCUUUUCUUUGUAGGAAAGUAAAUACUCCUACGUUACAUAAAAAGAGAGACAGAGUCAAAGCUGUAAGGACUUGGUAAAGAAAACUGUGAGAUGUAGGCCCCAUAUACUCCUGCGUGACCCGAAUUUCCUGAGCGAAGUUGGAAGCAGCGCAGCGUGCGUCCGUACAUCAUGGGCAUCUUGCCAGUGAUCUAUGCACUAUCCCCUUUGUUUUUUUUGCGGGAAUAAUACUUGUAUUACUCAUUCACCAAGUCCUUACAAUCAUCAAGGACCAACUUCAAAACAUCCUCCGGGCCUGAACCGACCCAAGUCAUAGUACGACCUUCUACUCUAGCAAAACUAGCUAGUCUAUCACUCGCUCAUGAGUAAUACAAGUCUGCCUAAGACUCAACAAGAAUUUAAUUUCACUAACCAAAGAAGCAUAAACUGAGCAAUCCACCUCGCCGCAUGAAAUAAUAGCCAUGGUUGUAGUCGAGUCCAUCUCAAUGGCAAUUGGAAGAUUGGAGCGUUGAAUUGCGAAAGAUAAGCCUUCCAUACAUGCACAUAACUCCGUCCCCAGAGCGUCUCUACACGAGAACAAGGCCCUGCAUGAUGAGAAUAUUAUGGCUCCUGAGUUAUCUCGCAAGAUCAUUCUAGCACCCGCACCACCAGCGAACGAGUAAGAUCCAUCCGUGUUAAGCUUCACCCAGCCAAGCUGGGGCGGCCUCCAAGGUGUAUCGCCAUUCACGGGGUGCUCAACAGCGGACCUAGACUUUAGAUCAUAGGAUAUGCUGCACUUCCCCUUUGCUGGAUCAAAGCGUGAGUUCAGUUUGAUGCCAAUUAGAGCAUCCAAGUAAUUCUGAAGAAACCUUGUUGAUACUUCCAUGGGAGGAGCAGGUCCAUGAUGUACUAUCUCAUUCCGAAUGAACCAGCUUCUCCAAAAAAUUAACAGUAGCAUACUUCUCUGAAUUCGUUCAAAGGGGCAAGUACGUGAAGUAGCCAUUCCUUACCAACAGGCAACAGGGAAUCAAGGAAUGGUAAAAUCCAAAUCUCGGCCAUGGCUAGAUAAAGAUCACGUCCGUAUUGGCAUCUCACAAACGGGUGGAAAUUGUCCUCCUCUUCCAUACCACAAACUGGACAUCUACUUGAAAGCUCCAGUCCAAUCUUGUGUUUAUUCCUCCAUGUCGGCAAAGAGUUCGUAGUCAAUCUCCAAGCAAAAUUGCGCACAGUGGGGGUACAUCACAUCUCCAUAUAUAUUGCCAGCAUUUUCUACUACCAUCUGGCGAUGUGCUAGACGCCUCUGCAGUAUUUCUGUGAGCUACUUCAAAAGCCAGCAUAUAUGCUGAUAUGACCGUGAAGACGCCGAGCUUCCCCGGCCCCCAUGCAAUCACAUCCUCACCUAAUCUUGGAGAUGCCCGUAUCUUUAAGAUUUCUUCCACAUCAGCUGAUAAGAAGUACUGCUGAAGAAGUACCGAGUUCCAAGAACCAUUAUCAUUUAGCAAGUCGGACACAAAAAGAAUGCGACAUCUUCCCUGCAGCGACACAGGUUUGUAUGAAAAGGGCCUUGGAAUCCAGUUAUCUCUCCCCUUUGUUGGUAGUCAGAGUCACUAGGACAACUAACUGUGUUAGCAUCUAGAGUUGUAACAAGCCACAGUCCGCCUAUCUUGGUUGCGCAGCGAUGAUGCUACCAUCUCCUACUACAAAGUACACGCCUUGCACCGGAAACAGCGCAACCAUAUGACAUCUAUCCGAGUGGGCGACCACGUGGUAACCGGGCAUGAGGCCAUGGCUGAGGCCGCCUACAACCACUUCUCCGAUGUGCUCGGAAGUGCCACGGAGCAUGACAUCACGCUUGAUCUCCGCGUUUUGCGUGUUCAACACAAUGCUACUCCGUGCGGUGGACCUAGGCCUUCUUCGACGCCUUACCACUCGGCACGCGGCCUCGAGUAUAUCGCUAUACGCGGACGAUGUUGUCAUCUUUUGUCACCCGGACUGCCACGACAUUACCACCGUGUGAACCAUCCUGCACAUAUUCGGGCUUCAUACAAACUUCGCCAAGUGUUCUGCCACCCCGAUCCGGUGCGAUGAUGACAACAACAUGAUGAUCACAUCUGAGAUGCAGUGCCCCAUAGCCCAAUUCCCCAUCACAUACCUCGGGUUGCCUCUCUCUGUCUGCAAGGCCUCCACGACUAGCUUGCUCCCGAUCAUCGACAAGCUCGGCCACAAGCUCUCCACUUGGCAUGCUUCCAUGAUGUCCAACGGGCAACGGCGACCGCCUUGCUCUCGUGCAUCACGUACUUAGUGCUAUCCCGACAUACUUCCUCACCGCCUUUGCUCUCAACCAAUCCAUCCUCAAGAAAUUCAACUGCAUCAUCUAGAUGCUCGAGGUGCCCGACUGUAGAUGCUCUAAUCAUCUAGAUCCGGCGCUCAAAGGCUCCACCCUCCCCCAUGGCUUGGGUUCGGGCGCCUCCCCAAAACUUCGUCGGGAUCCGCCACAACCGGCAACGGCGAGGCCAGAGGUGGCCGGAUCCGGCACAGGUUGGUCUCUCCCCUCCUUCUUCGCCCACCCUCUCCUCCUUACCUCACGCCACGUGUCUUCCCUUUUUUGCAGGUCGCUAUGGUGCGGACGGCGAUGACGGCAGGAGGGGCACACACAUCCGUGGAUGGGACGCCGCCAUGGAGAUGGAGAUCCUUCUUCACACCACGCAGAGGCCCCAUGGAGCCUCCCUCCUUCUUCGGUGACUUCUUCUCAGGCCCCACCACUACCUCUGACCUCCCCCUCCUCUACUUUGAGUUGCACCAUGCUUUGUUUCAGAUUCAUCCACCCAUGGGUGAUACAUGGCAAGUUAGGGGUUGCUGCAGUUUGAGGUUAAUCCCUUGAUUGGCUGCUGUUUAGGGUUGAUUGGCUCAGUUGGCUGCUAGACUUUAGGCGUGCAUACAUGGGUAUGACGUGCUCUGCACAUUUAGGAUUGAAGUAUUGUGUUGCAGCACUCAGUGACGUUAAUUUAGGGCAUUUCAGUGUCAGUUCCACUAUAUUUAGGGGGACAUUUAAUAGUGCAAUUUCAUGGUUAUUACAGUGUAAUUUCAAGGUUCUUGCACUGUAAGUUCAGAGAAUUACAAUGUUAGUUUAUGUGAAUUCCCGUGCAUUUUACUGUGUAAUUUAAGUGCAAUGGAAAUUAUAGUGUAAAUUUAGUGUAAUUUACUAUGUAAAUUUAAGGAAAUUACACUGUAAUUCGUGUGCAACUUUUAGUGUAAUUUACAGUGUAAUUUCAACGGGUUUACAGUAGAGUAAUUUAAGUGUAAUUACAGUGUGCACUUUAGAGCAAUCAUACUAUAUAUUUAGUGAAUUUAAAGCAUCACUCCAUACCUUUCGCGUUUGUCUUUUUUCUCUACAAGUUACUGCUAUACUGUUGAUUGAUUCUACCCUUGCGUAAGAAACUUUGAUGAGCACAUAAUUUUCUACUAUGUAAUUUGAGCAGCUUGGUAACCGUAAUUUUCAGUUUCCUUUGACCCUAGGCCCUUGUGCUUUAGAAUUGCUAUUUUUUGUCAGUGUACAUGCUAGAUCAUGUGGUUUAUGAUACUUCUCUGGUCCUUAUAAACAAAGUGACAUGUUUGUGCCGUGGAAUAGAAAGAAUAUUUCAGUGUCUCUCUUUAGGCCUUUUGUCGAAUUGUUAUGUGGUCCAGCGCAGCCUUACGAAACCGGGUUCUAUGCAGUUCAUGUACAGUGCAAAACUCAUUAUUGCAGGUCAGGCCUGUUGCAUGUUUUUGGUCAUUGACAUGCAGGAAAGAAGGAAAAAGGACAUAGAAGUAUCAUUUUGUUAUUGGUCAAGAAAUUUGAAUAAUGUCCAACUGAUUUCAGUUGAAUGACAAAUAGACAAUCCCUUGUUUAAUCAGUAGAUAUACACCAUUAACUCAAAUAGCAAAGAAAUACUAGUCCACUUAUAAUCGACGAUUGCGCAUGAUGCAUCCAUCCAUUCUAUCGGAGAGGCUGUGUUUUUUUUUCUUCUUGUGCUAAGGUUGAUAGCAUCACAUAUCUUAUGCUUUUGUUUCUCAAGUAGAGCCUUGAGAUAGAUGUGUCUGCAACCGUCCUCGAAUGGUUGUGCAAUAAUAAUGGUCCUAGCUAAUUACUAGUAUGCAUUGCUUAUAAAACAACUUGCUGCUCAUUUCACUUUGAGUAUGCUGUUGCUGCUAAAGUAGCAACAACAACAGCCAUGCUUUGGUUCCCCAAAAUUCAGAUGGCACUGACAUCUCUACAUACACACACAUAUGAAUAUGCACCUUGGUUUGGUUCAGUUUGCAUGUGUACCGUUUCUUUAACUUUGACUGAAACUAUCUUGGUGGCACUUGCAUCAAUGUUGUGCUCUACCCUUGUAUAUGUCCUUGGAGAAGAUGACCAUUGGACUGUAGGGGACGAACAACCUUGUCCUGCUCGAGGAGGAGGAGGAUGGCCACCCCGAGCUCGAGGACGACACGACAACAGGUAGCACUCACCUCCCUACCAAGGUGAAGGUCCGAUCCGCCUGUUUAGAUGGUCUGCUCUUGUCUUGUGAUCUGAGGGGAGAAGAAAGCCAUUGGCCUCAAUUAUAUUUGCAUGUGAGGGGAGCGAUCCUUUUGGUAGAUGCAGAGUAUAGAUUAGAUAUUCCACAAAACUCACCACACGAGUAUACUACCUAUAUCCACAAAAUUCACCACACGAGCAUACUACCUAUGUCCAAAUGUGGGUGUGAUACUUUCAACAUGAAACAUGAAUAUCAGGUUGGGAGUUUGGAGUUUAAUCAAAUAACGCAGCAAGGCGAUCAUCGGUAGGGAUGCACCUUUGAGGCGGCAAGGAGAGCUUCUCAAAGGCAGUACACAUGGCUUAUUACUGCUUGUAUGUGAGUACGCAGAUGUGGAGUCUAUGGAUAGAGGGUUAGGGGCGCAACGCAAGCAGCAGUAGGGGAUACACAACCUGAUUUGAUUUGGUCAAUCACGGGGAAAUGGGAGAAGGCCUAGGGUGCAAAGUUUGGAUCGGUGGGUUGGUAGCGUUAGGCAUAAUAGAGAUCAAACUUUUUCAUAGGCGUAUGUAGGUUAUUUCCUUGAAGCAUUUUAUCAAAAUGGUGUAGGUGGGUAAUAUCUCUCAACUUAAAUGUGAAGGGAAGAUAUUAUUUCCUUGUAGAGGCCGAGGAAUACAUGGCGUACCGCUACAUAUGCAACCAUGAUUUUUUGUGGAUGGUUACGAGAGAACCUGAAAUAUACCAUGGACCGAAGCAUGGGCACAUGAAGUUCCAACACCGAAGGGUAAGGAGACGGGCCCGCGUCAUUUACGUCGGGAAUAUGCGACCUUGAUUCUUUGUGGAUGGUGAUGCCAAGACUAUAGGAUAAGGUGGAUCCGGACACAUGAGCAGAUGAAGUGCCUGACACGAAGUAGGUUAAGGAGCUGGACCCAAGUCAUCUACACCGCAAAUUGGUCGAAGGUGUGCCGUGAAUGAUAGAUGUACUUGAGGGGGGAGAAAGCCUGUGAAAAGAACAUACGGUUGCUCGAUGAUGACACAUGUCUUGAGAGGAUGGCGAGAACCCUAGAUAUGGUUAAGGCAUGCCACGAGAACAUCACCCCGGUCGCGAGAUUCUCAGUGGUGUGCGGCAACCGAAGCCAAAAGGGCACCCCCGCAAGACCUUGAAACGCCAGAGCGGUGGGCGCACAAGCAAUGGUGAGGAAAAUCACAUAAGGUACCAAGCAAGGCCAUCCUGAUCAGGGCUCCAUUGCCAAGCUUAUGUCCACCACUGCGAUUUAGACAAAUUUUCAACUGGCGUCUCUGUCUUCUCAAGAUUUCCACGGUCCCAUCAGGAUGUAUAUAUAUACUUUGUUUAUUUUGAAAAUUAAUAUAUCACCAAAGAAAUUUUAGUACUUGUCAUUCUUUUAAUUACUUAGUAGUUUGCAUGAUAGACUCAAUCUUAUAUUUACUAAUUAGAGGCACCAAAUAAGCGACCACGUUAAUCCUCAAAAACUAAGAAUAGUAUCCAUCCGAUCUCCAUAUUAAGUAUCUGUAGCCGUCCAUUGGACAACUCAAGAGUCCGUUGUUACUAUCCCACGUCAUGCUCGAUGUAAUGUGAAAAAAAAUCAUCUCCUUGGCCAAAUCCAUCCCACGUCAUGCUCCAUGUAAUGUGAAAAAAAUCAUCUCCCCGGCCAAAUUCUUCCUCCCCCGGUCUAUCAUGUGAGGCACUUGCGCAUCAUCCACAAAUCCCUAGCGCAAAUCCAUCCCACGUCAUGCUCCAUGUAAUGUGAAAAAAAUCAUCUCCCUGGCCAAAUUCUUCCUCCCCCGAUCUAUCAUGUGAGGCACUUGCGCAUCAUCCACAAAUCCCUAGCGCUACUCUUCCAGGUCAUCCUCCUCCUUCCUAUCUUUUGCUGUCUUAAUGCAAAACAAUUCCGUGAGAUCCUUGUGAUCCUCUUCAUAUUCACGUAGAAAUCUGAACUGUCCCAACCACGCUGCAGAUCUGUGGUCCGUCUUGGACAAAGAGAAGGCCCUUUCAAUCUCCACAGAUGCCAUGCCCCAACCAAACCACAACCCAUGAUAAACGAUGUUGUUGAGAAGGAGGCGCUACCUAAGUCUGAUCGGACAUAUUCCAUUGUUGGGGAAGCUACAAGUCGAAGAACUAUGGUAGACUGAUUGCAGGUAAUUAAGGAGCUAGCAACGAUCCAGUAGGUUUUUGUUAUUAGGAAUUUUUAUGUAGUGCGACUUGAUCUCGAAGAACAAGUACACCAUUAGAGUUCGUUUUGGAGGAUUUUGAUGAUGUGCGCUUAGUUACAGACUUAUCUAAAUACGUAUAACUAGGAUGGACAAUAUUUGUAGGAGCCAUACAAUCCAAUUAGGGGAUUCAGUUUGUCAAAGAUGUUUCCACAUAUCCCUAGCGCUGCUCUUCUAGGUUGCCCCCUGCUUCCUAUCUACGGUCUUCAAGUAAAGCGAUUUAAUGAGUCUCUUGCUGCAGAAAUUCCAACUGCCACAAGAAGGCUGCAGACCUGCGGUUCAUCUUGGCUGAGGUGUCAUACAAUCCAGUUAAGGGAUUCCAUUCAUUGAAGAUGUGGUUGUACUUUCGCACAACAAACUCAAGCACAUCUUCUUAUGUUCUUAGAAACUGGAUGAGUUGUUUUGGACUUUCUUUGGUCUACUCCUCUAUGCUUCUUGUUGGGAAAGUUAGUAUGCAAAAGUUAUGCCCAUCUUCUUAAAUUCGGAUGUAACUUUUCGAGUAGAUGAUUUUUCAUAUAAAAAACUUUUUCAUCCGAGUUAGUAUGCAAAAGUUAUGCCCAUUUUUACAAAUUUCAGAGAGAUUUUGCAAAUAAAGUCAAAAUUCACAUUUGCAAAUUUUCCCAACAACUAGACCACAUAUCACAUGGGAAACUUAUUUUCUUUUAUUUUUUUGACAUUUCCAUCAUUUUCUUUUAUUUUUUUAAAANNNNNNNNNNNNNNNNNNNNNNNNNNNNNNNNNNNNNNNNNNNNNNNNNNNNNNNNNNNNNNNNNNNNNNNNNNNNNNNNNNNNNNNNNNNNNNNNNNNNNNNNNNNNNNNNNNNNNNNNNNNNNNNNNNNNNNNNNNNNNNNNNNNNNNNNNNNNNNNNNNNNNNNNNNNNNNNNNNNNNNNNNNNNNNNNNNNNNNNNNNNNNNNNNNNNNNNNNNNNNNNNNNNNNNNNNNNNNNNNNNNNNNNNNNNNNNNNNNNNNNNNNNNNNNNNNNNNNNNNNNNNNNNNNNNNNNNNNNNNNNNNNNNNNNNNNNNNNNNNNGGCACGAACCGGGACUAAAGGUCUCAACCCCAUUAGUCCCGGUUCGUGCCUCAAACCGGGACUAAAGGUCUAAUCUUUAGUCCCGGUUUGAGGCACGAACCGGGACCAAUGGUUGUGGGCCAGAAGCAAGGCCCAUUGGUCCCGGUUCAUCCCACCAACCGGGACCAAAAGGUCCAGAUGAACCGGGACCAAUGGCCCACGUGGCCCGGCCGGCCCCCUGGGCUCACGAACCAGGACCAAUGCCCCCAUUGGUCCCGGUUCUGGACUGAAACGGGACUAAUGGGCUGACCCGGCCUGGACCAAAGCCCUGUUUUCUACUAGUGAGUCCAAUCUUGUGUUUAUUCCUCCAUGUCGGCAAAGAGUCAGUAGUCAAUCUCCAAGCAAAAUUGCGCACAGUGGGGGGUACAUCACAUCUCCAUAUAUAUUGCCAGCAUUUUCUACUACCAUCUGGCGAUGUGCUAGACGCCUCUGCAGUAUUUCUGUGAGCUACUUCCAAAGCCAGCAUAUAUGUUGAUUUGACCGUGAAGACGCCGAGCUUCCCCGGCCCCCAUGCAAUCACAUCCUCACCUAAUCUUGGAGAUUCCCGUAUCUUUAAGAUUUCUUCCACAUCAGCUGAUAAGAAGUACUGCUGAAGAAGUACCAAGUUCCAAGAACCAUUAUCAUUUAGCAAGUCGGACACAAAAUGAAUGCGACAUCUUCCCUGCAGCGACAUGGGUUUGUAUGAAAAGGGCCUUGGAAUCCAGUUAUCUGUCCCCUUUGUUGGUAGUCAGAGUCACUAGGACAACUAACUGUGUUAGCAUCUAGAGUUGUAACAAGCCACAGUCCGCCUAUCUUGGUUGCGCAGCGAUGAUGCUACCAUCUCUUACUACAAAGUACAUGCCUUGCACCGGAAACAUCGCAACCAUAUGACAUCUAUCCGAGUGGGCGACCACGUGGUGACCGGGCAUCAGGCCAUGGCUGAGGCUGCCUACAACCACUUCUCCGAUGUGCUCAGAAGUGCCACGGAGCAUGACAUCACGCUUGAUCUCCGCGUUUUGCGUGUUCAACACAAUGCUACUCCGUGCGGUGGACCUAGGCCUUCUUCGACGCCUUACCACUCGGCACGCGGCCUCGAGUAUAUCUCUAUACGCAGACGAUGUUGUCAUCUUUUGUCACCCGGACAGCCAUGACAUUACCACCGUGUGAACCAUCCUGCACAUAUUCGGGCUUCAUACAAACUUCGCCAAGUGUUCUGCCACCCCGAUCCGGUGCGAUGAUGACAACAACAUGAUGAUCACAUCUGAGAUGCAGUUCCCCAUCACAUACCUCGGGUUGCCUCUUUCUGUCUACAAGGCCUCCACGACUAGCUUGCUCCCGAUCAUCGACAAGCUCGGCCAAAAGCUCUCCACUUGGCAUGCUUCCAUGAUGUCCAACGGGCAACGGCGACCGCCUUGCUCUCAUGCAUCACGUACUUAGUCCUAACCCGACAUACUUCCUCACCGCCUUUGCUCUCAACCAAUCCAUCCUCAAGAAAUUCAACCGCAUCAUCUGCGGAUUCCUUUGGGCGGGAGGCACCGAAGGCAAUGGGGGUCAGUGUCGUGUUAACUGACAGCAAGUUUGCCGGCCAAUCUCUCUUGGCGGUCUUAGCAUCAGGGACAUUCAAAGGACCGGCAUCACCCUCCGUGCGUGGUUGCUUUGGUUACAGUGCACCGACCCCUUGCAACCCUGGAGCCACUUACACAUACCUCACGACCCAGACGUGACUGCCAUCUUCAGCGUGUCUACGACCUGGGAUCUUGGGUCCGGCGUCACCUGCAGAUUCUGGUCCGACCACUUGAUAGAGGGUAGAUCCGUGGCUGAGAUCCCCCCAGUCCUCGCCUCGUCCCUCAACGCCGAUGCAAGACUCGCACCGUUCGCGAGGGCCUCCACCUUAGAGCCUGGGUGCAAGAGAUUCAUGGAGCACUCGGACCGACGGCCAUGUUGCAAUAUGUUGAUCUUCAGCGUCGUGUGCGCCACAUUGACCAGAUGGGUCGGAUACACUCAAAUGGCGCUGGACCGCCUCCGCUAUGAAAUGUCUAUGAUGGGAGAAUUUAAAUUCUUCUUAGGUCUUCAAAUUCUUCAACAGCGCAAUGGCAUCUUCAUAUUUCAGGAGAAAUACCUCAAGGAUGUAUUGUGGAAAUUCGGCAUGAAAGAUUGCAAAGGCGUCAAAAUCCCUAUGCCCACAAAUGGCCAUCUAUGCACUGAUGAAAAUGGUAUUGACUUUGAUCAAAAGGUAUACCGCUCCAUGAUUGGUUCUUUAUUGUAUUUAUGUGCAUCUAGGCCAGAUAUUAUGCUUAGUGUUUGCAUGUGUGCCCGAUUUCAACCUACACUGAAGGAAUCACACGAUAAGGCUGUGAAGCAUAUUCUUUGUUAUCUAGCUCACACACACCAACACUUGGAUAUGGUAUCCCAAGGGCUCGGCUUUUGAUCUCAUUGGGUACUCACUCUGACUAUGCUGGUGAUCCUGUGGACCGCAAGUCAACAUCAGGCACAUGCCAUUUCCUCAGACGAUCCUUGGUCUGUUGGUCCUCGAAGAAACAGAACUACGUAUCCUAACACUUGUGCAAAGUUGAUGACUUAGACGUGCAACACACGAAGAAACGUUUUUCUUCAUUCAAUGAAGAUUAACACUCUAAGUGUGAAGAAAUUAACGAAGAAUUUGAUUCUCAGAGCCCUUCAACAAUUGUACAUGGUGUUUGAAAUCAUCAUUCUUAUACGGUGGAUCACGCCACCACCAAAAGUUGAAAAUCUUGAAUUUGAGUUUUUACUCAUUUUUGAAUUUCCUCAGUUGUUCAAAUUCUUCAACUUUUCAAUGUCUUCACUCUUUCCGUUGUUGUUCUUCAUUGGCUAUAUAUAUAUAUAUAGGGUGGGUCUAUUAUGAUAACACCCUUCAAGACCCUUAUUCUGCUAACACCCAGCUUAUUCUGCUAACACUACCUACCUCACCGUAGCUACAGACUAACCCAAAAAAACAACUGGACCGAACUGCUCGCGCAAAGGGAAAACCCAACCGACCUUAUCUUCUCAUACCCACUCCCCCCAAUUCCCUCUCUAUCUCUCCCGCAACCUCCCUUGCACGGACGCCGCCUAACCACCACCUCCCAUGUGCCGCCGCGCUGCGACCUCCUCUGCGCCGCCGCGCCGCGACCUCCUCUGUGCGGCCGAGUCCGCUCCCCGGCGACUCCCGAUCCGCAGCUCCCCCCAUCGCCCCUGCCUUCCUCUGCGCGCCGCCGCUCCAGGUCGCGGCCACUGCGUUCCACCAACAGCAGCACAUCAGUACGGCGGUAGUGCGGCCCCGCUUCCAUUCCUCCAUGGCCGACCCCCUACCUCCCACCUUCUCCCUCCCUCCCCGAUCGACAACCUCCAUCACCGCCCCGGUCAUGUUGCCCCUCCCGACCCCGCGCCGCCGGAUCCGGGCAACCACGCCGGCGUGCCCUUCCACGAGCUUUCCCGUCGUGACCCUACCACGAGCUGCUCCAGCCCGACCCUGCUUCUUCAACAACGGCACGGUGGCAACUCUCCUUAGUUCUCUCCUGCACCGGGUUCGCGAGCUCCGUUCACGGGCUCGCCGGAUCUCGUGAUUGGGGCGCUGGCGACGUGCUCUCCUACUCCACCGCGCCCCUCCUCUACUUCAGCUCAUGUGCCUGUGCCUCUCGUGGACUCAUCGGCGCACAGGCCGCGCUGGAUCCAUGCUAGUUCGAGGCCCCGACGGCCUCCUCUUCCUGCUAAGCCGCCGAGAUCCGUCGGGGUAUCAAGUUGUUUUGUCGGCCCAAUACUCCUUCUACCUUCCCUUGCCGGCGGUCGUGCAACUUCGGUGAACACCGCUACUCGCGCGCGGAUGACGACGGCUUAGUGGCACUGCAGUUCGCUUUGCAGGGGAUCCGUUGAUGCGGCCGUGGAGUUCGGCCCACAGGUGCAUGAAGUUAUCUUGCCCCCCUCCCAUAGUUUACCCUUCCGCAUGAGCCCCAUGCUGUAGUCCAUUGGGAAGAAGCUCGUGGUGCGGAUGCUCAGUGACAGUGCUGGUGCGUUUCAGAUUUUGUUUUUCUGCAAUUUGUAGGCGACGCUGGAGCCUUGCAGUCCAUUGGCUCGGGGGAGAGCAGUGGAGAGGACACACGUGCGUGUAGUUCCCUGUCCAUUGAAAAUGUAGAAGCCCAUCUUGCUGCAGUGUAUGUGAGCAUAUGGCCUGCAAGUGCUGCUCUUUUCCCAGAUUGAAAACAUUGCGGUGUGGUUGGCUGGCCAUCGACGUGCACUUCGCUUUGGGGGGCAGUACGUUCUUUGUGGAUGUGCACUUCGUUUGGCCCGAGCGGCAUGAAGCUCCAUUUGCGCGCAUGUGUGGCUCGGCUAACUAGUUUGUGCAGUUCGCAUGAUACCUUUAUUAUGUGAUGCCUCCCUAGUUGCUGGAGUUCACUUCUUUGUAUUUAUUGAAACAUCAUGUAGUGCACUGUGAAACUCUCUGUUGUUCACUUGUAAAAACAAAUAGCGGUUCCCUUUGUAAAAAAAGUGCAGCCCCUUAGUGGUUCACCUUGUAGAAAAUGAGAAAGAAAUCCCCAUGGGAGGUUCACUUCUUUUUCCAAUGCAUUUUGUUUUGUUUGUGGGAUGAUUGAAAAAAGAAGUUCACUCCACUUGUUUAGUAGCUCAUACCCCUUUGUAUGAAAUGCAAUUUGUUUCGUGUGUCUCAAAAUCAGUCGACUACAUCAACACGUGCAGUGCGUUUGGUUUUUGGAUGUGGUUCAUUUUUUAGAGUGAUGUUGUUCACUUGUGCCGAACAUGAAAGCACAAAAAAAAUUAGCAAAACAAUAAAAAUAGUAAUGCGGUUCACUAUGAUAUAUGAUGUGGUUCGCUUGCUCGCGUCUCUGCGGUCCACUCUUGUUCAUAAAAAAAUUGAAAAAAACCAUCAAAAACUCGUCCGAGAAAAAUUUACAUCCGACAAAGGAAACCAUGAAGUUCACUUGCCUGUCUGAUGCAGUGCGGUUUCAUCCGAUGCAGUGCGGUUUUCUGUCGAAUGACGUUCACUCACCGAUUUGGGUGUCGCAAAAAACAGUGUCCGCAUAUUCGUAAUUUUAAAAUUUCUUUUAAACCGUAAGGAAUUAGAGAGAGUGUUCUACAUGAAAAAGUUGCGUCUCGUCGAUAUCUUUCCAAUGCCAUAUCAUUUGAAUCAUUUUGACAAGCAGUUUGUAAAAGUUUGGCAAAAAACGACUGCUGCCACUCAUCGUCCGCCGCACCAUUUUAAAAAUUAACUUAAAACCGUAGGGAAUCUCGAAACCAUUUCUACAUAUGAAAGUUGCGCCUUGUCCAUAGCUUUCCAACGAUGUAUUACACGCCUCAGUUCGAUAAACGGUUCAAAAACUAGAGUGAAAACAGUAUCGAACAUUGCAAAAAAUUUCAAAAACGUAAUUUCGCGAUUUAGUAAAUUUGAAACUGCUCAAAACCGAAACGAAUUAGAGAAAAUAAUAGGUAUGGAAAAGAUGUGCCUCAACGAUAUCUUUCCAACGGCGUAUCAUUUGCUUUAUUCCGAUGAGCGGUUUUGAAAAAAUCAUGAAAAUACGCUCGCUGCCACUCGUCAUCUGCAGCACCGUUUUUGAAACUGCUCUUAAACCGCGAGGAUCUUGAAAAGUGUUCAACAUGGCAAAGUUGCGCCUAAUCCAUAGCUUCUCCAGGUAUAUUACACGCAUCAUUCUGAUAAAUGGUUAAAAAAUUAGAGCGAAAAAACUACUAAAAAUACUGCAGCACACUUGGUUCAAACAAUGACGUGCACUUGCGUUGAGCGUGCACUUCGGAAGUGUUAUCAGAAUAACUAUUCUGCUAAUAUUAGCAUAAUAGACAGACUGUAUAUAUAUAUACAUCUGGUUACCCUAUGAUGAAUUCAAGCGGUUGAACUGAUGCUUUCUGUUCCUGUUAAAAAUCGUCUUUUUUAGUUCAAAAGUUUUUACAAUUUUUUUAUCAAAAUAGGGCGUGUAAUAUAUCAUUGGAAAGCUCUUGACAUCCACAUUACAAUAUUAUAAUUUUUUUUUGCAAAAAAAUUAAGAUUUACGAGCAGUUUUGAAAAAACCGUUUUUUUUUCAAACUGAAAAUGCGAAUCGUAUUUUGGACUUAAUUUUCAAACGGUUUGUUGGAAUUGAGCAAAUGAGAUGGCAUUGGAAAGCUUGUGAAAAUCCGCAUCUUCUAUAUUUCUACUAUUUUUUCAAAUUCUAUACGAUUUAAAAGUAAUUUGAAAAAGAGUGAAAUUCUGGGUGAAAUGUUUUUUCACUAUUUUUUUGCAAAUGGUUUGUAGGAUUGAUACAAAUGAUAUGGUGUUGGAAAGCUAUGGAAAAUGUGCAAAUUUUGCGUAUAGAAAGUUUUUUCUAAUCCUUACGGUUUAAAUACGAAUUCAAAUACGGUUAAAAUUGAUUUUGAACGUGUUUUUUAAAAAGUUUGUCGAAAUGGGGAAAAUAAUAUACCGUUGGAUAGCUAUCGAAAAUGCAAAACUUAGUCAUGUUGGACGUUUUCUCUACUUCGCAACCGUUUAAGAGUAAUCUUGAAUACGGCAUGACGGAUCCUGCUAUUUUCUCGUCUGAAAAACAGAUUAGUCGUACUGAUAUAUGUGUAUGUUUGUACUGAGCUAUUUUUUGUAGAGUAAUUUUAAAUGGUGCCGAAAAAAUGUACUUAUACUGAUGCUUGCAUGGUUUUGUACUAAACGUGUUUUCACUAACUAGACUUUGCUCUGUUUUUUCGUGAGAACCAUCAUGCUGUUUUUUUGUGAGAAAAAAUAGAGUACUUGUACUGAUCUUCGUGUGUGUUUGUACUAAUGUAUUCUUCAAAGAGUAAUUUUGAAAGGUUACGAAAAAAGAGUACUUGAACUGAUGUCCGUAUGGGGUUGUACUGAGCGUUUUUUCACAGACUAGGCUUUACUCUAUUUUUUUACUGAAAAUUGUUUCAUCAAUUGUUCGCAAAUGAUAGUACGAACUAAGAUAUGUGUUGGUUUGUACUGAGCAUUUGUUUCAUCAUUUGUUCGCAAUUGAUAGUACGAACGGAGCUUUGUUCAUUUUUAUACUGAGCAUUCUUGUCAGUGCCAGGAUCUCCGGAUUUAUGUUGUUUUGUUCUGCGAACUUCCUCAAAAUUUUAUUGGUAAAUCACACCGUUUUUUUUCUUUUGCUAAAUUUUUGUCCUCUGAACUUGUGACCUAUGGAGUUUGUACUGAUAUGAAUCGUUUUGCCGAACCGCCACAAUUUUUUGUGUAUUGAAUCACUAUAUAACUUAGAACCAAAUUGUUUUUCUUAACAUAUAUUUGAAUUGUUUCUAUAUGUACAUUGAAUUGGGGAAGAGUAGCAAUAGUUAUACAUACUUUAUGGAUAGUAAUACAUGAAUUUCUUGGUAAACUGAAGAAUAUACUCUGGACCGUAAUACAUGUCCUCUCGAGUUUGUACUGAUGUGAAUCCUUUUGAACUUGCUCUCGACGGUAAUACAUGACCUCUCGAGUUUGUACUGAUGUGAAUCCAUUCGAACUUACGUGGCUUACAUCAUUGAACGGACUCUAUUCUUCUCACUACCACCAUUGUUUUGUCCAUUUCUUUUUGGACUUGCAUGGCUUACAUCGUUGAACGGGCUUAGGUGGAUAUGUACUAAUGAACUACUAUGAUUUGUAGCUCUCAGGAAAUGUAAUCCUUUCUUUCCCUGUUAUUCUGAAUACCAAACAGCAAAAAAUCAGUUCUCAUAAGCACGAAAAAAUUAUAUAUGUACCCCUAAAUUUUGCAGCUAUUUUGUCCUCUUUCAUUUCGAAAAAAGCAUACAAAAAGCAAAAGCACAAACUAUACAAAAGGUUUUAGACACCAAACUAGUAGAGAAUUAAAAAUAGGCAUCAGGCAGCAACUUGCUAAACAUAGCACGAGUCAUAUACAUAUGCAUUUCAUCCCAUUAUACUUCUCCACCCGCAUGGAAAGUGAGAGAACCUCCCUACAUGCAUAUAUAGGCAUCAAACUCCCUCUGUACCUGAACUAUAUUUUUGUUUGAUAUAUAUUAUGAACUCCUCUCGUCGAUGUACAUGAACCUGCUGUGCAGAGAGAUGAAAUGUAGUACAUCAGUCUAGCUUCAUUCAGCUAGAGAGAAACAUGAAAAAAUGUUCAGUUUUUUAGACGGCUUUCCUCUUUUUCUUUGUCCAAUCUGCGCCACGACUGCCACCAUCCUGCAUGCAAGCUUAAAAUUAAUUGAAGCCACCAAACAUGCACUUUCAUGAGACUUUGCUACUAUAAGUCAGCGAACAUAUCUUUUAGUAUUAAACCAAAGGCACACUUAUUACCCAGCACUCUUGUUCAGUUCAGAGCAUCAUCAAUAAGAUAAAGAUACGAAAACAUUAAGCCAAUAUAGAACAACUGGAUUGAUUUGAUUCAAAUUUUUACUUUCAAUGCAUUGUAGGCAACAGCCGAUCCAAGUCAGAACUGAUGUGAUUUAUUCCAUCGAACUGAUAUGAAAGUUUAUCUAUACUGUUCUGUUUUUUAACACACAUGUUUUGAACUAUUCCCGCUUUUUUCAUUAUGAAUUGAUGACAUAACACAUGUUGAACUGUUACACAAGAGCAAAUUCAGAAAUACAUAACAAUGGUGUACUCAAAAUAUGUGCAUUUUAAGGAACAAAACUUUCUGAACCUUCUAUACGAAAAACUUCAACUAUCAGUCCAAAGAGAUUUGAAGUUAAACAAUCAUUUCCCUUACUGAGUGUUAAGGAAAACGAAACCAGAGAUGACCUCGCCGGCAGUAGGAGUAGCGAUGGCUGCCAAGGCGACGCGUUGGUACAUGUACUAAACAUCUGCUCAAACCUGUUGUAACAUCUACUUCAAGCUUUUUCUAAAUCAUUGUUGGGAGUAGAGGGUUUUAAAAGAAAAUACAGAGUGCCAAAGAAAGAAAGGAACAACCUAUUUAUCUAAAGGACUGUGAUAUUUGGCACACGUGUGCCAUAUAAGGAAAACUGCCACACCUCUAUUUCUUUCAUUUUAAAGUACCAUACGAUCCCUCGUUCUUUGACCCCGCCUCUUCCCAAAUUACCCCGCAGGCUCGCCUGAGAAACCCGCUUCUCCCGCACAUCUCGGGAGCUUACCCCCGAGAAAACUGCCACUUCUUCACGUCUACCACAUGAUCUCUCCUCAGGACAAAGUUACCAUGAUAUUCAUAUGAAAGUUAUUAGGCCUGUGUUGCAUAGCUUACCGUACUAUUUACAUGGAACGUAUCAGGUACUAUGCUUCAACAACUAGACCCUUUCAAAGUUACCACUAUGUUUUGUACACAAGUUAUAAGGUCUUCGAUGUGCAAAAUACCGUGGUACUUACACAUAAGUUAUCAGGGUAUAUGUACAUCAACCUCCCCCCGGUCAAAGUUACCAUGGGGGAUUGUACAUGAGUUACCAGGUCUACGGUUCGUAUAUUAUCAUGGUACUUGCACCUAAAAACCUGGGUGUGUUUCGGUAGCUUUUCUCAUAGGUCAAAAAUUACCAUGAUGUUUUUGCGUAACUUAACAUGCCUAUAGCACGUGUGCCCCUCGUGACACUAAACAUUAUGUGACUUUCUCGUGGCACGCCAUGUGUUGUGUUCAUCCAAGAGGCCCACGCGCGAGGCAAGUGUAUUUUUUUAACAACUUAUAUAUUUUCCUUUGGUAAAAAAGUUAUCAUCAUGUUUAUAUUGCAAGUUAUCGGUUAUGCGGUGCUUAUAUUAUCAUGUUAUUUACACAAAAAUUAUUGGGGAUGUUUUGAACAACUUUUUCCCGAGGUAAAAAGUUAUCAUGGUGAUUCUAGGUAACCUAUCAAGCCCGUAGUGCUUAAAAUAUCAUGCUAUUUACAUAAAAUUUAUCAAGGAUAUGUUUCAGCAACAAAUUCCACCCCCCCAUGGGUCAAAAAUUUAUCAUGGUGUUUAGUUAUCGCAGUGCAUAUGUUUUCAUACUAUUUACACAUAAAAAUGCCAGGGGAGGGAGGUAUACUACCGUGCUAUUUACACAGAAGUUACCGGAGUAUCUUAAAAAAAUUCCCUACGGUCAAAGUUACCAUGGUGCUUCUACCUCCGUUAUUAGAUGUGCGCUGCGUAUAUUACCAUCUAUUUACACAUAAACUAUCAGGUAUCUUUUCACAUUUGUUGUCCCCAAUGGUUAAAGUUACCACGAUGUUUGUAUCUAAAUUAUCAGGUCUAUGGCGUGAAUGUUAUCGUACUAUUUACAGAAAUUACCGGAGGGCGGGUUCAACAAAUUUAUUCACAAUGAUCAAAGUUACCACGAUGCUUGAAACAAAAAGUUGCUAAAGUAUUAAAGGCAAAAACAUGUCAAAAACAGUAUUACCCUUAGAAUGUUCAACAAUGAGUAUCAUAGGUGAGGUGGUUAGCUCCCUUUGUUAAUUACCUGCAGACCAGAGAUCAAAUCCUAGUCUAAGCAUUAUUUUUGCUCAAAAUUGAGAAGGCAUGUGGGGCCAUAAAUGACGAUUACGAAAAUUAGGAAGGCACAAGCGGGAGAGAAUUGAUGACAUUGGAUGCGUGUGGCAGUUUCGCAAUCUGCCACACGGUUGCCAUAUACAUAUUUCGUUAUCUAAAUAGUGUGUGGAAUUGUUUAUAUGGAUGAACAAAACAUUACUUGAAGUAGAGGUUCUGCCAAAAGAAAGAAAGAGCAUCUUGCAGGUUCAAGUUUGAGUAGUUGAGCCAGACAAUUUAUCGUAGGUGUUGUAUGUAAUAAUAAUUUAAUUAUUUUCAUAGGAGUACGACUCAUAGUAUCGGCAUGGAGGUCGUGAACAAAAGCAGAAGUAUCCUUAAUUUUUUAUUAGUGACUGUAAUUUUCCUUAUAAAGAACAUACUACUCUCGUGUAAACCCAUCCCUCUACAUAUGUACUGUCAGUUUUUUGCAAAUCGAACAAAUUGCGUAUGUAGCAAGUGCUAGUAUCUUGAAAUGCAGUUAUGCGUAUGCCCCUAAGAGUAGGUGAAUAGAAAACUCGAACAAAAAAUAGCUUUCUCCUAAUAGUAAUCGUGCUAGAACUCAUUCAAAGCUGAAGUGAACUAUAAUUAUAACCAGCCUUUGUCAAUAGAAGUCCUACUAAUCACAAAUUCCUCUAAUUUCCUCCAGACUCAAGAUCAAGAUGGUGGACAGUGCACGGAUAUUACAAAAUUAACAAUUCACAAUACGAAUUAAGUAUCACAAAUUGCAAGGCACAAGUUUUGAGCACAUACAAUCUUUCAUUGGUAGGCAGCACUACAACUUUGGAGGUCAACACAUUAGGCAAACUCUUUGGAAUUAAGAUAGUGAAAAGUAAAUGUAUGCGAAAGCAAGCUUCCAUUCGGUAAACCAUCAAGCCCAGAUUGCUGCACUCCGAAUUUCCUUUAGACUCAUACGCUACCUUCAGAUCAGCAAGCUUUAUGUUCAGCAAGUGUGUAACAAAACAAGAAUUGAACUGGAAUAGAAUUUGAAAUUUGAACUGAAAUACAAUACGAAAACUAAACUGAGUGUACUUUCAGAUUUUCACAUGGGCAUUAGUGCAUGAAGCAGCAAUGAAAUUGAACUGAAACAAAUUUCAGUUCAGCAAACUUAUAUGAAGUUAUAUGAAGCAUGCUUGAAUGCGUUGACCCGAAGCAUGCUUGUAGGAGAGUAGUGGCACUGGAAGGGAGCCUUUUGCUGAACUUAUAUGAAGUUAUAUGAACUUGUCUAACUUAUAUGGAACUUAUAUGAAGCCUUUUGCUGAACUUAUAUGAAGUUGACCAGACAAGAUGAUACCGGGGCGCAUCAGAAUAUAGGAGAGUGGUGAUGCAAGUCAGUCACCGGCUGGAUAAUGAAGCGGGUGGUAUGCGGCAUGGAGACAACCAGAAAAUGGGACAUCCAGGGGUAGGGAGCGUCGUCGCUGAAGAUCAGAGAGUGUGGAGCGCAGGCGUGCGGUGUCCCCCGGCCGGCAACGGAGACGAAGGAGAUCGGGGAUAGUGCACUUUUUUCGUCAGCCUGCAAGAUGCUCAAGGACCAGGACAACAUGUAGUUUCAGAAUUACAGAUUGUGGUCAGCUAUAGGAUGUUUCUGGGACCAUGUUUUAGCUACGAGAGAGCAACAACAUCACAUCAUGAGAGAGAGGAUGCAGCAUCAAAAAUUCAGGAGAAAGAUCAGAGCAGAGCAGAAGUAAAUAUGUUUUGAGGAGAUGAACUGACCAGGAUUUAAAUGAACUCUCACUAGCAGUAAUUUUUGUACUUCGCAUGUAGUACUACAUGGACUUGCUGUAAAAUACAUGGACCAUGUAGUAAUUUUGAAGUUAAUUAUAUGAUCAUCUCAGGGAGCUCAAGUUGUACUGAAAGCUCAAGUUGGACUGAAACUCACUCGAUAACUAAAACUCCUAGGGCGAGGGGUGGGAUCCAGGGUGCUGCUAGCAAUGAAUGGCCUGGGGUGGUGGCGUUGAACGGCCUGGAGUGGUGGCUGUGAACAGCCAGGGUGCUCCGGCGGCAGAGCCCCACCGGAGAUGGUGAUGCAAGCAGGAGGUCGGGAAGCAGUGGUGCCGGUGGUCGGGGUUGUCCAAUGCACACGGCACACCAGUACAGGAAGUUGAUUCAUCACCCAUCCACAGUUUUUUUCCUUUUGGGAAUCCAUUGAACUGAAAAAAGCUACAUGUGAGCUGAAAGUAUGAAAAUAACACAUCUUUGAAAGAAUAAAGAACUAGCUUUAACUUAUCUAUGAAAGAAUACACCUCCGAGGAACUAGCUUUGAACAUAUCUCUGAAAGAAUAGAGAGCAUGCAAAGUUCAAGGAAAGAAUAAGCAAAAUGGCACACUAGUACGCAGUAGUACGAGUCCAGUCAUGUACGUGCUAGUAUUAGAUUUGAAUAGUAGCUAGAAUUGAAGUUCAGGUAACCAUGGCACACACAUCAUACAGUUUUAGUCAUGUAUGCACACACACUGUAAUAGUAGCUGCAAUUAAAGUUCAAAUAACCACGGCACCCAUAACAGAACAAGAAUCAGUCUAGCAGCUAGGCAAGCAAGCUUCAUCAGCAUGAAUACACAUCAGCGGCAAGCUAGAACACGCUAGUAGGCUGUAGAAGUCUCCUUGUAAUUUUUCAAACAGAAGUGCUUUAGUUCAGUUCAGUAGUAAGGCAUGGAAAAAGAAAAGCAAUGGAAUAAACUAUAACCGAGCCAAAUAUGUAAUUUCAACAACCUAGACCUCAUUGCUUGACUUCAGUAGUAAUACAUGAUCAUCAGUUCAAUAUAAACAGACUGAUGUUAACAUCAUCGUACAUCCAUUGCCGGUUCAUCUGCGUGCAUUAUAUAUAAUUAAGUGUGUCAAAAACCAUUACAGAAUAGCAUGAAUACAAAAGACCAAAUUAAUAGAAGUUCAUCAUCACAUUAAAACCAAAGUACAGUAGUGAUCAAAUGUUGUUACUGAAAAAAUAAAUACAUAAAGUUCAUACAUAUAUAGUUCUCAUUGAACAACAUAUAUAUAGCUCUCUAGAGCAUCUAAUUAAACCAUACAUUGAAACAAUGUAAAAACAUUUCAAUGCAACAACAAAUGCGAUCAUAAUCGCAACUAAGGUAACAAUUGAUCCAACGGCAUAAUGAUGCCAAGCCUCGGUAUGAAUGGCAUAUUUUCUAAUCUUUCUAAUCUUCAAGCGCAUUGCAUCCAUCUUGAUCUUGUGAUCAUUGACGACAUCCGCAACAUGCAACUCCAAUCCCAUCUUCUCCUCCUUAAUUCUUUUCAAUUUUUUCUUCAGGUAAUUGUUUUCUUCUUCAACUAAAUUUAACCUCUCAACAAUAGGGUCGGUUGGAAUUUCCGGUUCACAUACCUCCUUGAUGAAAACAUCUAUGUCAUGUUGGUCGGCAUAAUUUUCAUACACACUAAAUGAACAAAAUAGUUAUAAAAUAUAAUAUAUACCACAUCGGAAUCAUAGACAGGACGAGGGCCGACGGAGGCGGAUACCAAAACCAUCGCACUAUAUGAUAACAAAAAAUAAUAAAAGUAAUAAAAUUAUACAAGUAUCUAUCUAAAUCAUACAAGUAAGAACUUUUUUCUUUUAGAAGAUAAGAACAAGAGGCUCACCACGGUGGUGCCAGCGACGAGAUCGGCGCGGGCGAUCGACAGCGGUGAGGACGGGGACGGGACAGGAUGGACCGCCAAACCUAGACAAAUCUUAAGGAAAAUGGAGUUUGGACAAGGAGCUUCGAGAGGAGAAAGCUUAAGUAUGUCUCGGACAUUUCACCGAACACCUCAUGUGCAUAGGAGGUGAGCUAGAGCACCACAAAGCUCUCCCACGGCCGGCCAAAAAAUAGAGCAAUGCACUGCUCUGCUCGCGGGCAGGGGGAUAUAUAGGCCUCUCUUUAGUCCCGAUUUGUGGCUAGAACCGGGACUAAAGGACCCCAUUUGGUCCCGAUUCCAACCACCAACCGGGAUUAAAGGUUGUGGGCCAGGAGCGAGGCCCAUUUGUCCUGGUUCGUGUCUGGAAGCGUGACCAAAGGGGUCAGACGAAUCGGGACCAAUGGCCCCCGAGGCCCUGCUGACGCCCUGGCUUUAUGAACCGAGAUUGAUGCACCCAUUAGUCUCGGUUCAUAGGGAAACCGGGAUUAAUGCCCUUUUCAGACCUGGACCAAAGCCCUAUUUUCUACUAGUGUUGUAGGCCUCGCUCACAUGAAGUAAGAACGGUCGGUGACGAUGCCUCAUAAAUCCAUGUGGUGCAAUCAUAGUUGGUGGUGCAGGGGAGGAAGUAACCUUCUUUGAUGGGGAUUCCAUCGCACGCUUGUUCGUCAUGUAGACGCGUCCUCUUAAUUUCUGUUCAGCUUUACAGGCAAGACGAAACAAAUGAUCGAUAGAAUAUAGUCUUCAUGCAUUAUUAUGUCUUGUAUAUCAUGGUUUAAACCUUUCCAAAAUCGAUUCAGAAAAUCUUCUUCGCAUUCUUGUAAGCCAGAACGAAACAAAGCAAUACACAAAUUGUCAUAAUAUUCUUCAACAAUGAUAUUGUCUUGUUCUAAACGUUUUAAUUUUCAAAGCAAAUCACUGGCAUGAUAUGAAGAACAAAUCGGUCUCGCAUAACAAGUUUUAAAUCUUUCCAAGUAGAAGGCCUAUUAUCAAUAUUUUUCCUGCAAUAAUUUCUCCACCAAACUGAAGCAAAACCUAAAAACAUCUUAGUGACAACAUUUAUUUUCUUAUGCUUGGGAAGUUCAUGGCUAGCAAAUAUUUCUUCUACCUCAAUUUCCCAAUCAAUAUAUGAAUCAGGGUCAUAUUUACCCUUAAAAUUUGGCAAAGAGGUAACAUGAUGAUGUGUGUUUCUACCAUGAUGUAUAUCAUGUGACGAUCGUCGUACCUUUUGUGGUGGGAAAGAGUGAUCUUUAUCAAUAUAUGGCAAGUCAUCUCCCACAAUAGAUGCACCCCAACUGUCAACCGCUCUAGAAUCUGCCAUGGUUAGUACCACACAAAAACAAAAAUAAUAAGUAUAAUGUUUCUAUAGUACUACUUGGAGGUGGCAGAAAAAUUCUCUCAACACUCUAGCAAUUACCAAGCUCUUACCAGAUCUUACCGUGCUGCAGUGGUUGUCGGCCUUUGGCGCCUUCAAAAGUUAUCAAAGUUGGAUAUAGUGAUUGCCAAAUCACCGAACAAGGUACAAUAUAGAAAGUGGAGCUUGGUGAAGGUUUUCUCAACUCACAAUAUCGGUGGCACAAUUUUGCUAAAAGUAAUGCAAGAUGAAUAAUUGCUCAAACUCCUAACUAGUGCUGAUAGUCGACUAGUAAGAGAUAAAAUAAUCUAAGCCCAGAUACUGAAUCAAGCGAGAGGGAACUGACGAAAAUAUAAUAGCUCCAAGUAGCUAGAUAUAAGUGAGGUAUGAACGUAGUGUAUGGCAACCAAGAGCAGACAAAAAAAUCCAACACUUAUCACUUAUAUGAAUAGAGCAGGCUGAACAGCAAAAGAGAUUUUUCAAAAGAUGCUAGCUGGCCAAAACUUUGCAUCAAAUUUUUUUAUUCUUUUUUCUGAAUUUUCCUUUUUCUUCAACUUUCAGGCCGGCCGCUAGUAGAAGUCACGGACACAAAUAUCUGACCAAACAGGUAUGAAGGGGUGGCCGGGGCACAUCUGGUGUAGCCCAUUGGCGCUGUCCAGCGGUAAAAGAUCUCAUGCCAUUGCUGAAAUUCACGUCCCCCACCCAGGGCAUUUUGGUCAUUUUGCAUCUAUGCCCUUUUCCGAUUCGCUGCAUCCUCCCCCAAUGAGUGCCUCCCUCAUUUUUCUAUCCCUCACAUCUCUCUCGGGAGAGAGUCGCUGCCGCUAGUCAUCCUCCCCGUCUGCCGCCGCUGCCGCCAACCAUCCGCAGCCGCGCCACCAUCCCCUCCCCGUUCCUCUCCCGUAGCUGAGCCAGCCAUGGCCAGGAAGAAGUGCAAGUCCUCUUCCUUCCUCCCUCACCCCUGAUCUGAAUCCUCUCCCGGAACCCCAGCCAGCCGCACGCAUCCCAUAUGGCGCCGCCCAGCUCGCAGCCCUCGGCCGCCGAGCCAUCGCGAGGCUCCUCGCGCAAGCGCACGACCUCCUCAAAGGCUGCGCCCGAGGCCGACCUGGAGUUCACCGUCACCAAGGAAAGGUAAGGGGAGGGGAGGGGAUGGAAGGGAUCGAGCGACCAGGUGAGGAAGCGCCCAGAUCCACAGGGCCAUCGACACUUCGUCAUCGACCUCAUCCGCGACCGUCCUCGAGGUCGGCCAUGGUGGUCCGGCCGGCAACAGCCAUGGAAGGAGAGGCCCGAAUCCCUGGCCCUCCAAGUACGCGCCUGCUGCAGGCCAUCUCCGGCGAGCUCAUCCACAGAUCUCCAACUAUGGUGCGUGCGCAUGAUACCUAAACCCCUUGUCUUGUCGGUUUCUUCAUCUUCCCUCCUUGUGAUUCCUUGGUUUGUUUUGUGCGCAGUUGCUCCGAUCUGGAAGAGGUGGUGGAGCUUUUGUUGUUGCUGCUGUAGGUGGACGAGGCACCACCCUCUCUUUCUACUUCUGGACACAACCUGGUGGUGAUUGCAAAUUUCAGUGUUAAAAAAUUCAGUUCAAUUCAGUCAUGUUCUUUUUCUUUUGUGGGGAAAUUCAGUCACAUUCAAUGUUCAACUUUUAGAGUUAACAAACUGUUGUUAUGACCACUAUGGUUUAGAUGUUCAGAAAUUCAGACAAAUGGUAUGAUGAAAUGAGCCACCUUUUAACCCCCUACUAAACCUACCGUGAACGUGAGAGAGCCAAUGCAGGGAGGUGUGGACAUUUUACCAUGUUCAUAGGAAGAAAUCAACAUAAAAUACACAGCUUGUAGAUGAUUCGUCAACCACCAUCAAACACGACUUGUAACUUUCUGGACUAAACUGAACCGUGCAAUUGACUCAAAAUAAAACUAAACCGUGCAAUUGACUCAAAAAUAAAUAGUAAAUAUACUUUGGUUGUGUCUGCAGAAUUGCAUUAUGGAAAGAUGUGUGUGAGGUUACCCCAUCGCCACUGGUUCCAACUUUGUCCAUCAUGUCGCUCUGAUGAGAAGACCUUGUCCAUGUUUCAUUAAUAGGGCAGAGUGCUGCUGAAGUAUCUAUGUUGAACAAUUAUAACAGUACCAAGUAAGUUUGCUCCAAUUGCAUUUGAUGCAGAAGGCACAACACCGCCAUCAUGCGUCAGGUUCAGUAGAAGGCACGACACCGCCACGCUCUCCUCCACUACAAUGCCAUGCACCCGGUAAUUAAACAUGCUUUCUCUUCAUUCNNNNNNNNNNNNNNNNNNNNNNNNNNNNNNNNNNNNNNNNNNNNNNNNNNNNNNNNNNNNNNNNNNNNNNNNNNNNNNNNNNNNNNNNNNNNNNNNNNNNNNNNNNNNNNNNNNNNNNNNNNNNNNNNNNNNNNNNNNNNNNNNNNNNNNNNNNNNNNNNNNNNNNNNNNNNNNNNNNNNNNNNNNNNNNNNNNNNNNNNNNNNNNNNNNNNNNNNNNNNNNNNNNNNNNNNNNNNNNNNNNNNNNNNNNNNNNNNNNNNNNNNNNNNNNNNNNNCAAGAUCUCAAAGAGGUGCCGGCGAACCCAGGCCACACCCAACGCGCUGGGGGGCUGUUGGGGGCGCCAGCGGAAGCAACAGCCAAUCAUAUUCCUCCAUGUAUCAUUUUUUCUGGUCCACUCAUUCACUUUUUGCCUGGCGACUGUCCUGGGGGCACCAACGGCUGGGAAACCGUCCUUGUGUUUCAUUCGGCGAAGGUGUUUUGCCCCCCAGGACGUGCUAUAUUUGGCCCGACGAUUGUCCUGGGGGCUCCAACGGUUGGAGAUGCUCUAAUUCAUUGUAUUUGCAUGUUUCCAGCAGCCAUGUAUCAAAAAAAGCUUCAGCUUUGGGUUGUUGAUUUAGCAGCAUCAAUCAUUAAUUGUUCUGCUAUAUAUGUUCUUAACCAUGACAACCUGAUUAGGCUCUUAGUUUAUUAUGGUCUUUGUUCUGGGUGGAUCUCUGACUAUUCUGGGUGGGCAUGAAUCUCUUCUUUGUUUCUUCAUCUCCUCUUAUUCUGAUUCCUGCAUUUGUUUUAUGUGAAGGUUGCUCCGCUGAGGACAAGCUGCUUCUGCAGGUGGACGGGCCCUCAAGGCUGCUCUGCCUAUUCCUCCUGCUACCCCCACACGUGGUGAGCCCCAUCCGUUCUCGAGCUACCCCUGCAAAUCUGAUGUGAUGUGCACAAAAUACUUGCAAUUGUUCUCGACACAGGAGCAUGUCAUGUAUUGUUCUAUUUGAAUGUGCAAUUUCAUUGCUUCUGUGAUGUUUGAUGCUUGCUUCACAAGAGGGAAAUCAUGGAUAUAAACUGUGCUUCCUUUCAAGUUGAAUAGUAAUGAUCACCAUUUGGUUCCAUUUUCUCCUCUGCAUCCAGUGUUCACUCUCUCAUAGAUGUCCAUAUAUACAUAGUUCUGAUCUCCUUUUUUCUGCGGCUCCAUACAGCAAACACAAAGCCGUCGAUGCAUUGAGGGCUCAAUGUCGUCUCCGCCGGCUGAGCGGCAAGCCGGGGUUGGGCCUGCACACCGUCUAUCAGCACCCUCCCGUGUCUCCAUUCACGGAUCUGCAGGUCAACCCCUCUUCUCCUCCUAUCCACGCAUCUUCUUUUCCAGAGCUAGGUGUAUGGUUGCAUGGCAAUUUGUGUUUAGGGGCUCACCAUGUUCUGCUUGCCCUGGUUGGCCAAUGAGGCUUUCCUUUUCUUGUAAAGGCCAAAUGUACAAUUCUCUAUGCUUUAUAUUUUUGUAGUUCCUUUGUUUCCAUGCUAGUUUUUUGAUGGGGUGUAAAUAUAUGCUUUUUUGUUCCUUGUCUGGAUUCAGGUAGGGCCUAACAUUAUUGUUCCUUUGUGCAUGGAAAUGUUGGUGGUUUUGUUCCUUUGUGUAUGGAAGGGGGCCUUGAUUAGAAUUUUUAACGUUUGAGUUGUAAUUAGUGUUUUUGUUACACAUGAAAACAUAUGGUUGUUUGUCCAAUCACAUAUGAAAAAGAGAUGAUUGUUUGUCCAACAAUUUUCUUUCUCUGUGAUAGUUUUACUAGAAAUAAAGCAUAGUCACUAUUACAUCCUAUUUUAUAUCUUGUUGUGUCGUGAUAUCUAUAUAGACUCUGUCUACGUCCUUUUGACAUUCCAAGUUUUGUUUUUCUAUGGCUCAAUUAGUUACCCCGUAUCAAGAGAAAUUUAACUGGUAUUUGCGGUAGAGUUAGCUGAAUUCAUGAAGCAAUGAUUUAGUUAUUAUUAAAGCUGAAACACAACAUGUUUUGACAAAUGCGUUCUAAGUAAAGCCUCCAACUAACAUAACCAAAAACAUAUUCUUUAGGUUUAUCAUCUAUUGAAGUAUUAUGUAGAAUUUUAAAUCAUACGAGGCAAAGCAAAUGAGCUCUAUGCACUUUCCAUGUAGCACAAAACAAAAAUAAUCAUGUAUAUUUUGGAUGCACCUAGAUAUACUCAUCAGCAAGGCUGAGGUUAUAGGGCAGGGCACUCACCCACAUUGUCGACAUCUCCGUCACUAUGAUCACCCACAUGAUGGACAAUUCCCUUCUUUCUUUUCUCUGUGGCUAUUGACACUUAAUGCUAUUACUGUGUGCAUAUAUGUACUGUGAUCCAUUCUCAUUCUUCAUAUCUUGAGAAACUAUCUCAAGAUACUCGCAUUUGUGUUUUGAAGAAAGCCUAUUCUAUGAUUAAUAUAUCAAGUAUGGAUGGCGCGAUAUCACCUCUCUUUAUGAUGAUGUUCUUACAGAAUAUAGGUUUUAUGGUAACACGUCUUAGCCAACACCUAUACUGAUGCUCAGACCAGAUGAUUAUAGGCUCUCCUUGCUAUUUUUCUUGAGGUGUGUACAUCUAUCUAGACAAUUUAAUUAAAAUAUAUAUUCCAUACAAACCAUCAAUACAUGUUAGUUGACUUUGAAACUAAUCAGUAAAAAGGUUGUCCCUUUCGCAUUUUAUGGACAUAAAGAUUUGGUGUUGACUGUCGAUCUUUAGUUAACACAUGACCUUACAACCGUAGGGAGUGGGAAAAAACUUAUAUGUUUGGCACAUUUGAAGAACAUAUCAUAGUAACGAAGUUUUGGUAAACAAUGUCCUAGAUCUCAACCAUAUAGAAAUACUAAAUAUAUGUUUAUUUGUAUAUGGAUUAAUUAUACAGACUUAUAAAACCUUGUGCAGGGCACAUAAAAGAAAUUUGAAAUAACUAUUAUUUCAAUAUUUGCUUUUUCAGUUGAGCAUAAUAGUUUAUAGCCUGAUAGGCUUGGACAUAAUUGUCUACAUGUACUGCUCAGUAGGCGACAUCCUUUGGGAAAUUGAGGAUGUCCUCGUGCAUUUUCUAAAUACAAUUGGGGCAUAUCUGAGGAAUGAAGGGAGGAAUAAUCUCGUGGGAGAGUUCGGUGCAGAGGAAGAAGAACAAGAUAUUAUUUAUUUCUUGUGUACAGUCAAGCUUGUGCAUUGUCCCACUGUAAGUUAUUUCAACAAUAGUAGUAACUGUUAUCUCUGGCCAUCUGUUGCGACAUUUUCUUUAACCACCAAUGCAUAUUUAUUUUCUUGUUAAUAACUCUCAUAAUUGCCUGCUACUGUUUCAGUUCUGGGGCCAGGCAACCUUGAAUCCAACGUCCACCUGCAGGCUACAUCUCAGGUAGGAUAAAAAGAUUGCAGUGAACUUGAUGGGUAUAUCAUUAUUGUUGCCUCCUAAUUUGUGUGAUGAGCAAAUGUGUAGAUUGUGUGUAAAUCCGAGAUGCCUAAAACGGUUGGGAACUGAACUUGUUACCUCGGUUCACUUUAAUGGCAUGUUAAACUCGAUGCACUUUCUGGACUGUGACAUUUUUCCUGAAAUUUUGGAAGUGACUGCUAAUGUAGUCUAAAUAGAGUGACUGAGUAGUUACUUUCUCACAAGAGUUGACUUCCCGUUAUUGGAGUACUUGCUAAGAUGGAUUGGUGGUUUUUAUGUUAGAUGAAAAAUAUUACAUCAAUCUUUACGGCUUUUUAUGGGCAAGUGAUUCCGACUCCAUAAUAAGGAAUAAUAUAGCCCUAGUGCUGUGAUAAUGUUAAAACAUUUACCUCUUUUAUCGGUUCAUGUUAUGUAUUUGCUGCGAAAAAAUGGUCUUAUAUCAAAUAAUAGCCUAGAGCUUUUGGAGUGUUAUUACUUGUAUUUGUUGCUUGGAUGUAUAAACCUUCAACAGACUGUCAAUUUUGCUUUUAUAUAAUCUGUUUGUUUAAGUCUGCUGCAUAUUGGUCAAAAGCUCAUGCUAAUUGAUGAUGUUAGGUGAUGAUCUUGUAUCUAACAGUGAUUUCUGAAUGCAUGCUAAAGAAAACUCAUGAACAUCAUGGCGCCUUGUUGAUGGGGUGAUCAAUAGCUACUAUAUUGGGACCCUGAACUUAAAUUGUAGGUCUGAUUUUGUUUCGGAGUUCUCCUGCUACCCACAAGCUUAGAUAGUUCUUUUGUUUGUGCAGGGGAAAUUGCAAAGCAUAUUAUGAAUUGUUACAAGAAACUAUUUCUGCUGUUUUGGUGCAAGGACGUUGCUUUUUAGUAUGCUUCCCGUAUCUUGGUAUCUUGGAAUAAUAAACAGAUAGAUGUCGUGUACCAAGAUUGUUCCUUGUUGUUAAGAGGGAUACAAAUAUUAUACAAGAUUUUUUCUGAUGACUCCUAAAGCAUAUUUGGAUAUACAGCAAAGUAUAUUGUCGCUUCCCUGUUAGUAAAACGAUUAUUUUAGAAAUUUGGUUGGCAGCCCCUACAUUUGGCUGAUUGCUAGCUUACUGGAUUACUCAUGUUUGCGGACUCUGGUAACUUAUGCCUACCAAGAACUACAUGAAUUUUGUGUCUUGCUGCAGUGAACAUUACCAAACUAAUUCUAGAGGUGUUAUAAUCAUGUUUUCUUUUGCAUUAUCAACUUUUAACUUUUGUCAUUUGUUAACACAUUCCUUUUGCAUUAUCAACUUUUAACUAUUGUCAUUUGUUAACACGAUUAUUUAGUAUGUUCACUAUGCGAGUACUCCCUCCGUCUGAAAAUACUUGUCAUCAAAAUAGAUAAAAAGGAAUGUAUCUAGAACUAAUAUACAUCUAAAUACAUCCCCUUUUAUUCAUUUCGGUGACAAGUAUUUCCGGACGGAGGGAGUAGUAAUAAUAGGAGCUAUUUAUUUGCCAGAUAACUAACACUAUUCAUAUGGCAUAAGGGUUAGAAAAAGAACUGUAUUCUUGCUGUGUUGAUUUUCGUAUGGCACACUAUGGAUUCUUUGUGUAACACAUAAUGUCGAUCAACAUGUGUUUACAACGCAGGGAGGAGCCGGGCGACAAGGCAGUCAGACCAAACUCUCUUUCCAUAUAUAUAGGUAGUCUGAUGUUAUGCCAUAGCCGAACCAUAUAUGUUUCGUGUACUGCUCUAUCAAUCUGGUCUUUUGGUAUAUUAGACUCUAUCCUUUGUAAUGAACUUAUUGUCAUGGGCGAUCAUUAUGACUGGAUCGUAUGGUAUGAAUCGGGUCUUUAUGCUUUGUGAUGAAAUAUCAUAUUAUCCUGUUCACCAGUUUGGUUUGGUUUUGAGCUAAAACGUAUAAAAAUACAUGGCUUACAACAAUGGAUAUAUGUGAUGAUAUAUUGAGUGAUUAAGCAUAAUUUUAGACUUUCGGUGCUGGACCAAUGGGAUGCAUGGGGUAAUUGAAUGUUUCUUCUUCACUUUUUAUUAUCGGUUGGGAUCAGCACUCUCGCGCGAUCUAGUUAUGAUGAUGCUGCCUAUACAAAGCAAAUCUAUGUGGCUAUAAAGUGGAGCACCAUGGCGAACAAGAAACUGGCGCUUGAGGACAGACAUGAGUGGAACUGAUGUCUGAUGCAACACGGCGUUGCUGUACGCGUCAGGGCAGACAGCAACGACGUGUAACAGAUGGGAUGUCGGAUUGCACGCAAAACAAAGGAAUCCAAUGCAAUUUUGAUAGUUUUUUUUUCAGAUUAUGGACGAGCUUGCGGCGGAAACCAUGGUGGAGAAAAAAAAGUUCGAUCUAGUAGACAAAAAUUUCUCAUACAAAUCUAAACCAGCACUAUUUGUAGGAUGAUGCAACCAAAAAUUCAACUACGCAAGUACUAGAUGCAAAAAUUGCUAACGGCUAAAAAGAUAGGUGCAAAGGAUGAACUAAUCUUUCUUUCUUUUUUGGCUUUUUUUGGGUUAUAGGACAUGAAAAAUAAGCUAAUCUAACAAAACUGUAAAUCUCUCACCGCUGAAAGUGAAAACUGAUACCACUUAUGUGACGGCGGCCCGAUGUUUCGAUGAGAGUGAGGAUAACUAUCAAUUUGAUGGAUUCUGAUCUUGACGCUCCGGCUAUACAAUACCCGACGAUAUGCCUCGACAAUCGCUAAACCAAUCUCCGAUGGUUAUUGACCUUGCCGUAGGCACGGUCAACCUGAACGACGAGGUUUGAGUUCCUGCAAGUAACUAAAGAACCGGCAAGAACAAAGGUGAAUUGCAAUCUGAAAUUGCGAAUGAAAAAUUAAGCACAUGAACUAGAUCAAAAGUUGGAGUUCCACUUUGGAUCUGACAAGGCGGUAGUCCUACACGUCUCAUAGAUGCGAAACUGUAGCAUGGCUAAACAAUACAAUAAAACCCGCGUAAACCCUAGAAUAUGAUGACUAUUUAUUAAAGGCCGGCGUGGAGAAUGCUUCGUCUAUUUUCUUGGAAGUCAAGACGGGCCUGCUAAUUGGCCGGACACACACGCGAUCUGAUUUGAAAAUAAACUUCUCAUAUCAAUCUGGUGGCAAACUGCCUCAUCGGUACUAUAGGCCCAGAUGCGCAACACACAAGGCCAUGCAUGGGCGCAAAACCUAUACGACGCCCUCAGCGUCCGAUACCAUGUUAACGGUACAGGGCACAGAACGUCGUGAGACAGUUCGGUCCAUAUCCGGUGUGGGCAUUAGAGCAUUGAGAGGACCUUUCCCUAGUACGAGAGGACUGGGAAGGACGCACUUCUGGUGUAUCAGUACACCCCCUUGUCACGAUGGGCCGGCCCACAUUCCUUUUUUUCUAUAUUAAAGACGCCGAAAAAACUGAAUGUAAGCACCAUGAUUCAAACCGGCAAUCGACUGGUUCAACACACACCACCUAACCAAUAGGCUACAUGUUGUUGACGUGGUUAGUUAUAGCUUUUCCUUCUUUUCUUCUUUGUACCUUCUUUUUUGUUUUUUUGUUCGAACGGUUUUGUUAGUUUUUAUUAUUUUCCAUCUUAAUUUUUUUCAAUAAUACAACAUUUUUCGUUUCAAUUUCGUGAACUUUUUUAAAAUUCGAUAUUUUUUUUCAAAAUUCAAUGAACUUAUUUUCAAAUUCGAUGAACUUUUUACAAAUUGGAUGAACUUUUUUCAAAUUUGAUGAACCUUUUUUUAAACUCGAUGUUUGUUUUCAAAUUUGCCAACUUUUUUGAAAAUUCAUGUACAAUUAUGAAUUCAUGAAUUUUUUGAUAUUUUUUUAAUUUUGCAAAUUUCCCCUUUUUAGUUUUUUUAAAUAGCAAUGGUUUUUUCGACAAGUGCUUGCAAGAGAAAAAAGGCUAGCAAAGGAGCGAGCAGCGACCGAUUGAGCCAGCAGCAGCGGUCGAGCGAGUAGUCGAGCGAUUAGCAAUCGAGCGAGCAGCGAUCGAGCGAGCCAGCAGCAGCGGCCGAGCGAGCAGUUGAGCGAUUAGCGAUCGAGCGAACAAAUGCAUGUUGAUUCAAUAAUGCUCAAGUGUAAAUAUUCUGUAUUAAACUUCGCAUCUUCACCCGAGGUUUGUGCAUCUCUUCUUUAAUCCUGCAUAUAAAAUAUUGUGUUGUAUUUUUGUUUCGGAUAACAAAAUAAUAAUUCAUAUAAUUUCUAUUAGAAUUCACCUGAUAAUUAUCUUUACGCGCAAUAAUUGUGGUUAUAUCCGUACGGGUCAUGUUUAUAUCAGGUAGUUAAUCUUCUUUUUCUUAUCCGCAAGACACUUCUUCACAUGCUCAUCCAAGAGGGUUUCGGCUGCCAACAUGAUCAUCGCAUCCACCACGUCCUGUGAGAUUCGCAACCUCUCCUUCUCAAGCUCUAUGUCGCCAAAUGUCUUGGCCUUCUCGAGUUCCCAUUUGAUCGCCACCCCUUGGUGGUCCACCAUGUCCGAACCUCCUUGCGCCGCCGCCGCCUCCCUCUCUCGCUGCAGGCGUUGCCGCAACUUCUGGGCGGCGUCCUCCGCCUUGCAAGUCAGAGCCGACGAAGGGACGCCGACGGACAAGGCGGACGGCGUCUUUGUCGCGGUGGUGGAUCGGGACCGGUGGUGAGGAUUGGGAGCAAGGGUGGAGGACGGCGAGGGUUCGGGCGCGGGAAAAGUUGGAGGGCGGCGGGAGGAGGAGAAAGGGUUUGGUGCAUUUGGCACAAUUUUCAAUGGGGUCGGGCUGACGGGUCCGACGUGGCGGGCGCGCCCGGGCGCCCCAUAUUUGGGCUAGAUAUGAGGGGUGCCGGUCAGCCCAGGCGUUCGAGGCCCGUUUAAGGAGCCCGUCUGGAUCGAAAAAUCGUGACCGGGUGGCCCACCCGGGUGUAUGAGCCAGGCUUGAGGUGCCCGACUGUAGAUGCUCUAAUCAUCUAGAUCUGACGCUCAAAGGCUCCACCCUCCCCCACGACUUGGGUUCGAGCGCCUCCCCAAAACUUCGUCGGGAUCCGCCACAACCGGCAACGGCGAGGCCAGAGGUGGCCGGAUCCGGCACAGGUUGGUCUCUCCCCUCCUUCUUCGCCCACCCUCUCCUCCUUACCUCACGCCACUUGUCUUCCCUUUUUUGCAGGUCGCCAUGGCGCGGACGGCGAUGACGGCAGGAGGGGCACACACAUCCGUGGAAUGGGACGCCGCCAUGGAGAUGGAGAUCCUUCUUCACACCACGCAGAGGCCCCAUGGAGCCUCCCUCCUUCUUCGGUGACUUCUUCUCAGGCCCCACCACUACCUCUGCCCUCCCCCCUCCUCUACUUUGAGUUGCACCAUGCUUUGUUUCAGAUUCAUCCACCCAUGGGUGAUACAUGGGAAGUUAGGGGUUGCUGCAGUUUGAGGUUAAUCCCUUGAUUGGCUGUUGUUUCGGGUUGAUUAGAUUAGUUAGCUCAGUUGGCUGCUAGACUUUAGGAGUGCAUACAUGGGUAUAACAUGCUCUGCACAUUUAGGAUUGAAGUAUUGUGUUGCAGCACUCAGUGACGUUAAUUUAGGGCAUUUCAGUGUCAGUUCCACUAUAUUUCGGGGGACAUUUAACAGUGCAAUUUCAUGGUUAUUACAGUGUAAUUUCAAGGUUCUUGCAUUCUAAGUUCAGAGAAUUACAAUGUUAGUUUAUGUGAAUUCCCGUGCAUUUUACUGUGUAAUUUAAGUGCAAUGGAAAUUAUAGUGUAAAUUCAGUGUAAUUUACUAUGUAAAUUUACGGAAAUUACACUGUAAUUCGUGUGCAACUUUUAGUGUAAUUUACACUAUAAUUUCAACGGGUUUACAGUAGAGUAAUUUAAGUGUAAUUACAGUGUGCACUUUAGAGCAAUCAUACUAUAUAUUUAGUGAAUUUAAAGUAUCACUCCAUACCUUUCGGGUUUGUCUUUUUUCUCUACAAGUUACUGCUAUACUGUUGAUUGAUUCUACCCUUGCGAAAGAAACUUUGAUGAGCACAUAAUUUUCUACUAUGUAAUUUGAGCAGCUUGGUAACCGUAAUUUUCAGUUUCCUUUGACCCUAGGCCCUUGUGCUUUAGAAUUGCUAUUUUUUGUCAGUGUACAUGCUAGAUCAUGUGGUUUAUGAUACUUCUCUGGUCCUUAUAAACAAAGUGACAUGUUUGUACUGUGGAAUAGAAAGAAUAUUUCAGUGUCUCUCUUUAGGCCUUUUGUCGAAUUGUUAUGUGGUCCAGUGCAGCCUUACGAAACCGGGUUCUAUGCAGUUCAUGUACAGUGCAAAACUCAUUAUUGCAGGUCAGGCCUGUAGCAUGUCUUGGGUCAUUGACAUGCAGGAAAGAAGGAAAAAGGACAUAGAAGUAUCAUUUUGUUAUUGGUCAAGAAAAUUUGAAUAAUGUCCAACUGAUUUCAGUUGAAUGACAAAUAGACAAUCCCUUGUUUAAUCAGUAGAUAUACACCAUUAACUCAAAUAGCAAAGAAAUACUAGUCCAUUUAUAAUCGAUGAUUGCGCAUGAUGCAUCCAUCCAUUCUAUCGGAGAGGCUGUGUUUUUUUUCUUCUUGUGCUAAGGUUGAUAGCAUCACAUAUCUUAUGCUUUUGUUUCUCAAGUAGAGCCUUGAGAUAGAUGUGUCUGCAACCGUCCUCGAAUGGUUGUGCAAUAAUAAUGGUCCUAGCUAAUUACUAGUAUGCACUGCUUAUAAAACAACUUGUUGCUCGUUUCACUUUGAGUAUGCUGUUGCUGCUAAAGUAGCAACAACAACAGCCAUGCUUUGGUUCCCCAAAAUUCAGAUGGCACUGGCAUCUCUACAUACACACACAUAUAUGAAUAUGCACCUCAGUUUGGUUCAGUUUGCAUGUGUACCGUUGCUUUAACUUUGACUGAAACUAUCUUGGUGGCACUUGCAUCAAUGUUGUGCUCUGCCCUUGUAUAUGUCCUUGGAGAAGAUGACCAUUGGACUGUAGGGGACGAACAACCUUGUCCUGCUCGAGGAGGAGGAGGAUGGCCACCCUGAGCUCGAGGACGACACGACAACAGGAGCACUCACCUCCCUACUAAGGUGAAGGUCCGAUCCGCCUGUUUAGAUGGUCUGCUCUUGUCUUGUGAUCUGAGGGGAGAAGAAAGCCAUUGGCCUCAAUUAUAUUUGCAUGUGAGGGGAGCGAUCCUUUUGGUAGAUGCAGAGUAUAGAUUACAUAUUCCACAAAACUCACCACACGAGUAUACUAACUAUAUCCACAAAAUUCACCACACGAGCAUACUACCUAUGUCCAAAUGUGGGUUUGAUACUUUCGACAUGAAACAUGAAUAUCAGGUUGGGAGUUUGGAGUUUAAUCAAAUAACGCAGCAAGGCGAUCAUCGGUAGGGAUGCACCUUUGAGGCGGCAAGGAGGGCUUCUCAAAGGCAGUACACAUGGCUUAUUACUGCUUGUAUGUGAGUACGCAGAUGUGGCGUCUAUGGAUAGAGGGUUAGGGGCGCAACGCAAGCGGCAGUAGGGGAUACACAACCUGAUUUGAUUUGGUCAAUCACGGGAAAUGGGAGAAGGCCUAGGGUGCAAAGUUUAGAUCGGUGGGUUGGUAGCGUUAGGCAUAAUAGAGAUCAAACCUUUUUCAUAGGCGUAUGUAGGUUAUUUCCUUGAAGCAUUUUAUCAAAAUGGUGUAGGCGGGUAAUAUCUCUCAACUUAAAUGUGAAGGGGAUAUAUUAUUUCCUUGUAGAGGCCGAGGAAUACAUGGCGUACCGCUACAUAUGCAACCAUGAUUUUUUGUGGAUGGUUACGAGAGAACCUGAAAGAUACCAUGGACCGAAGCAUGGGCACAUGAAGUUCCUGUUGGGGAACGUAGUAAUUUCAAAAAAAUUCCUACGCACACGCAAGAUCAUGGUGAUGCAUAGCAACGAGAGGAGAGAGUAUGAUCUACGUACCCUUGUAGAUCGACAACGGAAGCGUUAACUUGGUUGAUGUAGUCGUACGUCUUCACGGCCCGGCCGAUCAAGCACCGAAACUACGGCACCUCCGAGAUCUAGCACACAUUCAGCUCGAUGACGAUCCCCGGACUCCGAUCCAGCAAAGUGUCGGGGAAGAGUUCCGUCAGCACGACGGCGUGGUGACGAUAUUGAUGUACUACCGUCGCAGGGCUUCGCCUAAGCACCGCUACAAUAUUAUCGAGGACUAUGGUGGAAGGGGGCACCGCACACGGCUAAGAAUAUGAUCACAUGGAUCAACUUGUGUCUCUAGGGGUGCUCCCUGCCUCCGUAUAUAAAGGCUCAAAGGGGGAGGGGUGGCCGGCCAAGAGGAGGCGCGCCAGGAGGAGUCCUACUCCCUCCAGGAGUAGGACUCCCCCCCUUUCCUAAUUGGAAUAGGAUUCGCGGAGGGGGGAAAGAGGAGAGAGAGGAGGAAGGGGGGGGCGACCCCCUCUCCUUGUCCUAUUUGGACCAAAGGGGGGAGGGGCGCGCGGCCCAUAUCUGGCCACCUCUCCUCUCUUCCACUAAGGCCCACUAAGGCCCAUAUACCUCCCGGGGGGUUCCGGUAACCUCCCGGUAAUCCGGUAAAAUCCCGAUUUCACCCGGAACACUUCCGAUAUCCAAAUAUAGGCUUCCAACAUAUCAAUCUUUAUGUCUCGACCAUUUCGAGACUCCUCGUCAUGUCCGUGAUCACAUCCGGGGCUCCGAACAAACUUCGGUACAUCAAAAUGCAUAAACUCAUAAUAUAACUGUCAUCGAAACCUUAAGCGUGCCGACCCUACGGGUUCGAGAACAAUGUAGACAUGACCGAGACACGUCUCCGGUCAAUAACCAAUAGCGGCACCUGGAUGCUCAUAUUGGAUCCUACAUAUUCUACGAAGAUCUUUUAUCGGUCAGACCGCAUAACAACAUACGUUGUUCCCUUUGUCAUCGGUAUGUUACUUGCCCGAGAUUCGAUCAUCGGUAUCCAAUACCUAGUUCAAUCUCGUUACCGGCAAGUCUCUUUACUCGUUCCGUAAUCCAUCAUCCCGCAACUAACUCAUUAGUCGCAAUGCUUGUAAGGCUUAUGUGAUGUGCAUUACCGAGAGGACCCAGAGAUACCUCUCCGACAAUCGGAGUGACAAAUCCUAAUCUCGAAAUACGCCAACCCAACAUGUACCUUUGGAGACACCUGUAGAGCUCCUUUAUAAUCACCCAGUUACGUUGUGACGUUUGGUAGCAUAAAAAGUGUUCCUCCGGCAAACGGGGGUUGCAUAAUCUCAUAGUCAUAGGAACAUGUAUAAGUCAUGAAGAAAGCAAUAGCAACAUACUAAACGAUCGGGUGCUAAGCUAAAGGAAUGGGUGAUGUCAAUCAGAUCAUUCAUCUAAUGAUGUGAUCCUGUUAAUCAAAUGACAACUCUUUGUCCGUGUUUAGGAAACAUAACCAUCUUUGAUUAACAAGCUAGUCUAGUAGAGGCAUACUAGUGACACUCUGUUUGUCUAUGUAUUCACGCAUGUAUUAUGUUUCCGGUUAAUACAAUUCUAGCAUGAAUAAUAAACUUUUAUCAUGAUAUAUAAGGAAAUAAAUAAUAACUUUAUUAUUGCCUCUAGGGCAUAUUUCCUUCAGUCUCCCACUUGCACUAGAGUCAAUAAUCUAGAUUACACAGUAAUGAUUCUAACACCCAUGGAGCCUUGGUGCUGAUCAUGUUUUGCUCGUGGAAGAGGCUUAGUCAACGGGUCUUCUACAUUCAGAUCCGUAUGUAUCUUGCAAAUCUCUAUGUCUCCCACCUGGACUAGAUCCCGGAUGGAAUUGAAGCGUCUCUUGAUGUGCUUGGUUCUCUUGUGAAAUCUGGAUUCCUUUGCCAAGGCAAUUGCACCAGUAUUGUCACAAAAGAUUUUCAUUGGACCCGAUGCACUAGGUAUGACACCUAGAUCGGAUAUGAACUCCUUCAUCCAGACUCCUUCAUUCGCUGCUUCCGAAGCAGCUAUGUAUUCCGCUUCACAUGUAGAUCCCGCCACGACGCUCUGUUUAGAACUGCACCAACUGACAGCUCCACCAUUUAAUGUAAACACGUAUCCGGUUUGCGAUUUAGAAUCAUCCGGAUUAGUGUCAAAGCUUGCAUCAACGUAACCAUUUACGAUGAGCUCUUUGUCACCUCCAUAUACAAGAAACAUAUCCUUAGUCCUUUUCAGGUACUUCAGGAUGUUCUUGACCGCUGUCCAGUGAUCCACUCCUAGAUUACUUUGGUACCUCCCUGCUAGACUUAUAGCAAUGCACACAUCAGGUCUGGUACACAGCAUUGCAUACAUGAUAGAGCCUAUGGCUGAAGCAUAGGGAACAUCUUUCAUUUUCUCUCUAUCUUCUGCAGUGGUCGGCCAUUGAGUCUGACUCAACUUCACACCUUGUAACACAGGCAAGAACCCUUUCUUUGCUUGAUCCAUUUUGAACUUCUUCAAAAUUUUGUCAAGGUAUGUGCUUUGUGAAAGUCCAAUUAAGCGUCUUGAUCUAUCUCUAUAGAUCUUUAUGCCUAAUAUGUAAGCAGCUUCACCAAGGUCUUUCAUUGAAAAACUCUUAUUCGAGUAUCCCUUUAUGCUAUCCAGAAAUUAUAUAUCAUUUCCAAUCAGUAAUAUGUCAUCCACAUAUAAUAUCAUAAAUGCUACAGAGCUCCCACUAACUUUCUUGUAAAUACAGGCUUCUCCAAAGGUCUGUAUAAAACCAAAUGCUUUGAUCACACUAUCAAAGCGUUUAUUCCAACUCCGAGAGGCUUGCACCAGUCCAUAAAUGGAUCACUGGAGCUUGCACAGUUUGUUAGCUCCCUUUGGAUCGACAAAACCUUCCGGUUGCAUCAUAUAAAACUCUUCUUCCAGAAAUCCAUUCAGGAAUGCAGUUUUGACAUCCAUCUGCCAAAUUUCAUAAUCAUAAAAUGCGGCAAUUGCUAACAUGAUUCGGACAGACUUAAGCAUCGCUACGGGUGAGAAGGUCUCAUCGUAGUCAACCCCUUGAACUUGUCGAAAACCUUUUGCGACAAGUCAAGCUUUGUAGACAGUAAUAUUACCGUCAGCGUCAGUCUUCUUCUUGAAGAUCCAUUUAUUCUCAAUUGCUUGCCGAUCAUCGGGCAAGUCAACCAAAGUCCAUACUUUGUUCUCAUACAUGGAUCCCAUCUCAGAUUUCAUGGCUUCAAGCCAUUUUUCGGAAUCUGGGCUCACCAUCGCUUCUUCAUAGUUCGUAGGUUCAUCAUGAUCUAGUAGCAUGACUUCCAGAACAGGAUUACCGUACCACUCUGGCGCGGAUCUUACUCUGGUUGAUCUACGAGGUUCAGUAGUAUCUUGUUCUGAAGUUUCAUGAUCAUUAUCAUUAGCUUCCUCACUAAUUGGUGUAGGUGUCGCAAAAACAGGUUUCUGUUAUGUGCUACUUUCCAAUAAGGGAGCAGGUACAGUUACCUCGUCAAGUUCUACUUUCCUCCCACUCACUUCUUUCGAGAGAAACUCCUUCUCUAGAAAGGAUCCAUUCUUAGCAACGAAUGUCUUGCCUUCGGAUCUGUGAUAGAAGGUGUACCCAACAGUCUCCUUUGGGUAUCCUAUGAAUACACAUUUCUCCGAUUUCGGUUCGAGCUUAUCAGGUUGAAGCUUUUUCACAUAAGCAUCGCAGCCCCAAACUUUAAGAAACGACAACUUUGGUUUCUUGCCAAACCAUAGUUCAUAAGGUGUCAUCUCAACGGAUUUUGAUGGCGCCCUGUUUAACGUGAAUGCGGCUGUCUCUAAAGCAUAACCCCAAAAUGAUAGCGGUAAAUUUGUAAGAGACAUCAUAGAUCGCACCAUAUCAAGUAAAGUACGAUUACGACAUUCGGACACACCAUUACGCUGAGGUGUUCCGGGUGGCGUGAGUUGCAAAACUAUUCCGCAUUGUUUCAGAUGUAGACCAAACUCGUAACUCAAAUAUUCUCCUCCACGAUCAGAUCGCAGAAACUUUAUUUUCUUGUUACGAUGAUUUUCAACUUCACUCUGAAAUUCUUUGAACUUUUCAAAUGUUUCAGACUUAUGCUUCAUUAAGUAGAUAUACCCAUAUCUGCUUAAAUCAUCUGUGAAGGUGAGAAAAUAACGAUAUCCGCCACGAGCCUCAACAUUCAUCGGACCACAUACAUCUGUAUGUAUGAUUUCCAACAAAUCUGUUGCUCUCUCCAUUGUAUCGGAGAAUGGUGUUUUAGUCAUCUUGCCCAUGAGGCACGGUUCGCAGGUACCAAGUGAUUCAUAAUCAAGAGGUUCCAAAAGUCCAUCUGUAUGGAGUUUCUUCAUGCGCUUUACACCGAUAUGACCUAAACGGCAGUGCCACAAAUGAGUUGCCCUAUCAUUAUCAACUCUGCAUCUUUUGGCUUCAACAUUAUGAAUAUGUGUGUUACUACUAUCGAGAUUCAUCAAAAAUAGACCACUCUUCAAAGGUGCAUGACCAUAAAAGAUAUCACUCAUAUAAAUAGAACAACCAUUAUUCUCUAAUUUAAAUGAAUAACCGUCUCGCAUUAAACAAGAUCCAGAUAUAAUGUUCAUGCUCAAUGCUGGCACCAAAUAACAAUUAUUUAGGUCUAAUACUAAUCCCGAAGGUAGAUGUAGAGGUAGCGUGCCGACCGCGAUCACAUUGACUUUAGAACCAUUUCCCACGCGCAUCGUCACCUCGUCCUUUGCCAGUGUUCGCUUAAUCCGUAGUCCCUGUUUCAAGUUGCAAAUAUUAGCAACAGAACCAGUAUCAAAUACCCAGGUGCUACUGCGAGCUCUAGUAAGGUACACAUCAAUAACAUGUAUAUCACUUAUACCUUUGUUCACCUUGCCAUCCUUCUUAUCCGCCAAAUACUUGGGGCAGUUCCGCUUCUAGUGACCAGUCUGCUUGCAUUAGAAGCACUCAAUUUCAGGCUUAGGUCCAGACUUGGGUUUCUUCUCCUGAUCAACAACUUGCUUGCUUUUCUUCUUGAAGUUCCCCUUCUUCUUCCCUUUGCCCUUUUUCUUGAAACUAGUGGUCUUGUUGACCAUCAACACUUGAUGCUCCUUCUUGAUUUCUACCUCCGCAGCUUUUAGCAUUGCGAAGAGCUCGGGAAUAGUCUUAUUCAUCCCUUGCAUAUUAUAGUUCAUCACAAAGCUCUUGUAGCUUGGUGGCAGUGAUUGGAGAAUUCUGUCAAUGACGCAAUCAUCUGGAAGAUUAACUCCCAUCUGAAUCAAGUGAUUAUUAUACCCAGACAUUUUGAGUAUAUGCUCACUGACAGAACUGUUCUCCUCCAUCUUGCAGCUAUAGAACUUAUUGGAGACUUCAUAUCUCUCAAUCCAGGCAUUUGCUUGAAAUAUUAACUUCAACUCCUGGAACAUCUCAUAUGCUCCAUGACGUUCAAAGCGUCGUUGAAGUCUCUAAGCCGUAAAGCAUGGCACACUGAACUAUCGAGUAGUCAUCAGCUUUGCUCUGCCAGACGUUCAUAACAUCUGGUGUUGCUCCAGCAGCAGGCCUGGCACCCAGCGGUGCUUCCAGGACGUAAUUCUUCUAUGCAGCAAUGAGGAUAAUCCUCAAGUUACGGACCCAGUCCGUGUAAUUGCUACCAUCGUCUUUCAACUUUGCUUUCUCAAGGAACGCAUUAAAAUUUAACGGAACAACAGCACGGGCCAUUUAUCUACAAUUAACAUAAACAAGCAAGAUACUAUCAGGAACUAAGUUCAUGAUAAAUUUAAGUUCAAUUAAUCAUAUUACUCAAGAACUCCCACUUAGAUAGACAUCCCUCUAAUCAUCUAAACCAUAACCGAUCAUCACGUGAAAUGGAGUAGUUUUCAGUGGUGAACAUCGCUAUGUUGAUCAUAUCUACUAUAUGAUUCACGCACGAUCUUUCGAUCUCAGUGUUCCGAGGCCAUAUCUGCAUAUGCUAGGCUCGUCAAGUUUAACCUGAGUAUUCUGCGUGUGCAAAACUGGCUUGCACCCGUUGUAGAUGGACGUAGAGCUUAUCACACCCGAUCAUCACGUGGUGUCUGGGCACAACAAACUUUGGCAACGGUGCAUACUCGGGGAGAACACUUUUAUCUUGAAAUUUAGUGAGAGAUCAUCUUAUAAUGCUACCGUCAAUCAAAGCAAGAUAAGAUGCAUAAAAGAUAAACAUCACAUGCAAUCAAUAUAAGUGAUAUGAUAUGGCCAUCAUCAUCUUGUGCUUGUGAUCUCCAUCCUCGAAGCACCAUCGUGAACACCAUUGUCACCAGCGCGACACCUUGAUCUCCAUCAUAGCAUCAUUGUCAUCUUGCCAAUCUUAUGCUUCUACGACUAUCGCUACCGCUUAGUGAUAAAGUAAAGCAUUACAGGGCGAUUGCGUUGCAUACAAUAAAGCGACAACCAUAUGGCUCCUGCCAGUUGCCGAUAACUCGGUUACAAAACAUGAUCAUCUCAUACAAUAAAAUUUAGCAUCAUGUCUUGACCAUAUCACAUCACAACAUGCCCUGCAAAAACAAGUUAGACGUCCUCUACUUUGUUGUUGCAAGUUUUACGUUGCUGCUGCGGGCUUAAGCAAGAACCAAUCUUACCUACGCAUCAAAACCACAAUGAUAGUUUGUCAAGUUGGUGCUGUUUUAACCUUCGCAAGGACCGGGCGUAGCCACACUCGGUUCAACUAAAGUUGGAGAAACUGCCACCCGCAAGCCACCUAUGUGCAAAGCACGUCGGGAGAACCGGUCUCGCGUAAGCGUACGCGUAAUGUCGGUCUGGGCCGCUUCGUCCAGCAAUACCGCCGAACCAAAGUAUGACAUGUUGGUAAGCAGUAUGACUUAUAUCGCCCACAACUCACUUGUGUUCUACUCGUGCAUAUAACAUCAACAUAUAAAACCUAGGCUCGGAUGCCACUGUUGGGGAACGUAGUAAUUUCAAAAAAAUUCCUACGCACACGCAAGAUCAUGGUGAUGCAUAGCAACGAGAGGGGAGAGUAUGAUCUACGUACCCUUGUAGAUCGACAACGAAAGCGUUAACUUCGUUGAUGUAGUCGUACGUCUUCACGGCCCGACCGAUCAAGCACUGAAACUACGGCACCUCCUAGUUCUAGCACACAUUCAGCUUGAUGAUGAUCCCCGGACUCCGAUCCAGCAAAGUGUCGGGGAAGAGUUCCGUCAGCACGACGGCGUGGUGACGAUCUUGAUGUACUACCGUCGCAGGGCUUCGCCUAAGCACCACUACAAUAUUAUCGAGGACUAUGGUGGAAGGGGGCACCGCACACGGCUAAGAAUAUGAUCACGUGGAUCAACUUGUGUCUCUAGGGGUGCUCCCUGCCUCCGUAUAUAAAGGCUCAAAGAGGGGGGCGGCCGGCCAAGAGGAGGCGCGCCAGGAGGAGUCCUACUCCCUCCGGGAGUAGGACUCCCCCCUUUCCUAAUUGGAAUAGGAUUCGCGGAGGGGGGAAAGAGGAGAGAGAGGAGGAAGGGGGGCCGGCCCCCUCUCCUUGUCCUAUUCGGACCACAGGGGGGAGGGGCGCGCGACCCAUCUCUGGCCACCUCUCCUCUCUUCCACUAAGGCCCACUAAGGCCCAUAUACCUCCCGGGGGGUUCCGGUAACCUCCCGGUAAUCCGGUAAAAUCCCUAUUUCACCCGGAACACUUCCGAUAUCCAAAUAUAGGCUUCCAACAUAUCAAUCUUUAUGUCUCGACCAUUUCGAGACUCCUCGUCAUGUCCGUGAUCACAUCUGGGACUCCGAACAAACUUCGGUACAUCAAAAUGCAUAAACUCAUAAUAUAACUGUCAUCGAAACCUUAAGCGUGCGGACCCUACGGGUUCGAGAACAAUGUAGACAUGAACGAGACACGUCUCCGGUCAAUAACCAAUAGCGGAACCUGGAUGCUCAUAUUGGCUCCUACAUAUUCUACGAAGAUCUUUUAUCAGUCAGACUGCAUAAGAACAUACGUUGUUCCCUUUGUCAUCGGUAUGUUACUUGCCCGAGAUUCGAUCGUCGGUAUCCAAUACCUAGUUCAAUCUCGUUACCGGCAAGUCUCUUUACUCGUUCCGUAAUCCAUCAUCCCGCAACUAACUCAUUAGUCGCAAUGCUUGCAAGGAUUAUGUGAUGUGCAUUACCGAGAGGGCCCAGAGAUACCUCUCCGACAAUCGGAGUGACAAAUCCUAAUCUCGAAAUAUGCCAACCCAACAUGUACCUUUGGAGACACCUAUAGAGCUCCUUUAUAAUCACCCAGUUACGUUGUGGCGCUUGGUAACACACAAAGUGUUCCUCCGGCAAACUGGAGUUGCAUAAUCUCAUAGUCAUAGGAACAUGUAUAAGUCAUGAAGAAAGCAAUAGCAACAUACUAAACGAUCGGGUGCUAAGCUAAUGGAAUGAGUCAUGUCAAUCAGAUCAUUCAUCUAAAGAUGUGAUCCUGUUAAUCAAAUGACAACUCUUUGUCCAUGGUUAGGAAACAUAACCAUCUUUGAUUAACAAGCUAGUCUAGUAGAGGCAUACUAGUGACAAUCUGUUUGUCUAUGUAUUCACACAUGUAUUAUGUUUCCGGUUAAUACAAUUCUAGCAUGAAUAAUAAACUUUUAUCAUGAUAUAUAAGGAAAUAAAUAAUAACUUUAUUAUUGCCUCUAGGGCAUAUUUCCUUCAGUUCCAACACCGAAGGGUAAGGAGACGGGCCCGCGUCAUUUACGUCCGGAAUAUGCGACCUUGAUUCUUUGUCGAUGGUGAUGCCAAGACUAUAGGAUAAGGUGGAUCCGGACACAUGAGCAGAUGAAGUGCCUGACACGAAGUUGGUUAAGGAGCUGGACCCAAGUCAUCUACACCGCAAAUUGGUCGAAGGUGUGCCGUGAAUGAUAGAUGUACUUGAGGGGGGAGAAAGCCUGUGAAAAGAACAUACGGUUGCUCGAUGAUGACACAUGUCUUGAGAGGAUGGCGAGAACCCUAGAUAUGGUUAAGGCACGCCACGAGAACAUCACCCCGGUCGCGAGAUUCUCAGUGGUGUGCGGCAACCGAAGCCAAAAGGGCACCCCCGCAAGACCUUGAAAUGCCAGAGCGGUGGGCGCACAAGCAAUGGUGAGGAAAAUCACAUAAGGUACCAAGCAAGGCCAUCCUGAUCAGGGCUCCAUUGCCAAGCUUAUGUCCACCACUGCGAUUCAGACAAACUUUCAACUGGCGUCUCUGUCUUCUCAAGAUUUCCAUGGUCCCAUCAGGAUGUAUAUAUGUACUUUGUUUAUUUUGAAAAUUAAUAUAUCACCAAAGAAAUUGUAGUACUUGUCAUUCUUUUAAUUACUUAGUAGUUUGCAUGAUAGACUCAAUCUUAUAUUUACUAAUUAGAGGCACCAAAUAAGCGACCACGUUAAUCCUCAAAAACUAAGAAUAUUAUCCAUCCGAUCUCCAUAUUAAGUAUCUGUAGCCGUCCAUUGGACAACUCAAGAGUCCUGGGUUACUAUCCCACGUCAUGCUCCAUGUAAUGUGAAAAAAAAAUCAUCUCCUUGGCCAAAUCCAUCCCACGUCAUGCUCCAUGUAAUGUGAAAAAAAGCAUCUCCCUGGCCAAAUUCUUCCUCCCCUGAUCUAUCAUGUGAGGCACUUGCGCAUCAUCCACAAAUCCCUAGCGCAAAUCCAUCCCACGUCAUGCUCCAUGUAAUGUGAAAAAAAUCAUCUCCCUGGCCAAAUUCUUCCUCCCCCGAUCUAUCAUGUGAGGCACUUGCGCAUCAUCCACAAAUCCCUAGCGCUGCUCUUCCAGGUCGUCCUCCUCCUUCCUAUCUUUUGUUGUCUUAAUGCAAAACGAUUCCGUGAGAUCCUUGUGAUCCUCUUCAUCUUCACGUAGAAAUCUGAACUGUCCCAACCACGCUGCAGAUCUGUGGUCCGUCUUGGACAAAGAGAAGGCCCUUUCAAUCUCCACAGAUGCCAUGCCCCAACCAAACCGCAACCCAUGAUAAACGAUGUUGUUGAGAAGGAGGCGCUACCUAAGUCUGAUCGGACAUAUGCCAUUGUUAGGGAAGCUACAAGUCGAAGAACUAUGGUAGACUGAUUGCGAGUAAUUAAGGAGCUAUCAACGAUCCAGUAGGUUUUUGUUAUUAGGAAUUUUUAUGUAGUGCGACUUGAUCUCAAAGAACAAGUACACCAUUAGAGUUCGUUUUGGAGGAUUUUGAUGAUGUGCGCUUAGUUACAGACUUAUCUAAAUACGUAUAACUAGGAUGGACAAUAUUUGUAGGAGCCAUACAAUCCAAUUAGGGGAUUUAGUUUGUCAAAGAUGUUUCCACAUAUCCCUAGCGCUGCUCUUCUAGGUUGCCCCCUGCUUCCUAUCUACGGUCUUCAAGUAAAGCGAUUUAAUGAGUCUCUUGCUGCAGAAAUUUCAACUGCCACAAGAAGGCUGCAGACCUGCGGUUCAUCUUGGCUGAGGUGUCAUACAAUCCAGUUAAGGGAUUCCAUUCAUUGAAGAUGUGGCUGUACUUUCGCACAACAAACUCAAGCACAUCUUCUUAUGUUCUUAGAAACUAGAUGAGUUGUUUUGGACUUUCUUUGGUCUACUCCUCUAUGCUUCUUAUUGGGAAAGUUAGUAUGCAAAAGUUAUGCCCAUCUUCUUAAAUUCGGAUGUAACUUUUCGAGUAGAUGAUUUUUCAUAUAAAAAACUUUUUCAUCCGAGUUAGUAUGCAAAAGUUAUGCCCAUUUUUACAAAUUUCAGAGAGAUUUUGCAAAUAAAGUGAAAAUUCAGAUUUGCAAAUUUUCCCAACAAGUAGACCACAUAUCACAUGGGAAACUUAUUUUCUUUUAUUUUUUUUGACAUUUCCAUCAUUUUCUUUUAUUUUUUUAAAACUGAAAAGGCGAUCCACAUGGGGGGGGGUAGAGUUUGAAAAUGGGACCUUUAGUACUGGUUCGUGGCACGAACCGGGACUAAAGGUCUCAACCCCAUUAGUCCCGGUUCAUGCCUCAAACCGGGACUAAAGGUCUAAUCGUUAGUCCCGGUUUGAGGCACGAACCGGGACCAAUGGUUUUGUGCCAGGAGCGAGGCCCAUUGGUCCCGGUUCAUCCCACCAACCGGGACCAAAAGGUCCAGAUGAACCGGGACCAAUGGCCCACGUGGCCCGGCCGGCCCCCUGGGCUCACGAACCGGGACCAAUGCCCCCGUUGGUCCCGGUUCUGGACUGAACCGGGACUAAUGGGCUGACCCGGCCUGGACCAAAGCCCUGUUUUCUACUAGUGAGUCCAAUCUUGUGUUUAUUCCUCCAUGUCGGCAAAGAGUCAGUAGUCAAUCACCAAGCAAAAUUGCGCACAGUGGGGGGUACAUCACAUCUCCAUAUAUAUUGCCAGCAUUUUCUACUACCAUCUGGCGAUGUGCUAGAUGCCUCUACAGUAUUUCUGUGAGCUACUUCAAAAGCCAGCAUAUAUGCUGAUUUGACCGUGAAGACAUCGAGCUUCCCCGGCCCCCAUGCAAUCACAUCCUCACCUAAUCUUGGAGAUGCCCAUAUCUUUAAGAUUUCUUCCACAUCAGCUGAUAAGAAGUACUGCUGAAGAAGUACCAAGUUCCAAGAACCAUUAUCAUUUAGCAAGUCGGAGACAAAACGAAUGCGACAUCUUCCCUGCAGCGACACAGGUUUGUACGAAAAGGGCCUUGGAAUCCAGUUAUCUCUCCCCUUUGUUGGUAGUCAGAGUCACUAGGACAACUAACUGUGUUAGCAUCUAGAGUUGUAACAAGCCACAGUCCGCCUAUCUUGGUUGCACAGCGAUGAUGCUACCAUCUCCUACGACAAAGUACAUGCCUUGCACCGGAAACAGCGCAACCAUAUGACAUCUAUCCGAGUGGGCGACCACGUGGUGACCGGGCAUGAGGCCAUGGCUGAGGCCGCCUACAACCACUUCUCCGAUGUGCUCGGAAGUGCCAUGGAGCAUGACAUCACGCUUGAUCUCCGCGUUUUGCGUGUUCAACACAAUGCUACUCCGUGCGGUGGACCUAGGCCUUCUUCGACGCCUUACAACUCGGCACGCGGCCUCGAGUAUAUCGCUAUACGCGGACGAUGUUGUCAUCUUUUGUCACCCGGAUAGCCACCACAUUACCACCGUGUGAACCAUCCUACACAUAUUCGGGCUUCAUACAAACUUCGCCAAGUGUUCUGCCACCCCGAUCCGGUGCGAUGAUGACAACAACAUGAUGAUCACAUCUGAGAUGCAGUGCCCCAUAGCCCAAUUCCCCAUCACAUACCUCGGUUUGCCUCUCUCUAUCUGCAAGGCCUCCACGACUAGCUUGCUCCCAAUCAUUGACAAGAUCGGCCACAAGCUCUCCACUUGGCAUGCUUCCAUGAUGUCCAACGGGCAACGGCGACUGCCUUGCUCUCGUGCAUCACGUACUUAGUGCUAUCCCGACAUACUUCCUCACCACCUUUGCUCUCAACCAAUCCAUCCUCGUGAAAUUCAACCGCAUCAUCCGCGGAUUCCUUUGGGCGGGAGGCACCGAAGGCAAUGGGGGUCAGUGUCAUGUUAACUGACAGCAAGUUUGCAGGCCAAUCUCUCUUGGCGGUCUUAGCAUCAGGGACAUUCAAAGGACCGGCAUCACCCUCUGUGCAUGGUUGCUUUGGUUACAGUGCACCGACCCCUUGCAACCCUCGAGCCACUUACACAUACCUCACGACCCAGACGUGACUGCCAUCUUCAGCGCAUCUAGGACCUGGGAUCUUGGGUCCGGCGUCACCUGCAGAUUCUGGUCCGACCACUUGAUAGAGGGUAGAUCCGUGGUUGAGAUCCCCCCAGUCCUCGCCUCGUCCCUCGACGCCGACGCAAGACUCGCACCGUUCACGAGGGCCUCCACCUUAGAGCCUGGGUGCAAGAGAUUCAUGGAGCACUCGGACCGACGGCCAUGUUGCAAUAUGUUGAUCUUGAGCGACGUGUGCGCCACAUUGACCAGAUGAGCCGGAUACACUCAAAUGGCGCUGGACCGCCUCCGCUAUGAAAUGUCUAUGAUGGGAGAAUUUAAAUUCUUCUUAGGCCUUCAAAUUCUUCAACAGCGCAAUGGCAUCUUCAUAUUUCAGGAGAAAUACCUCAAGGAUGUAUUGUGGAAAUUCGGCAUGAAAGAUUGCAAAGGCGUCAAAAUCCCUAUGCCCACAAAUGGCCAUCUAUGCACUGAUGAAAAUGGUAUUGACUUUGAUCAAAAGGUAUACCGCUCCAUGAUUGGUUCUUUAUUGUAUUUAUGUGCAUCUAGGCCAGAUAUUAUGCUCAGUGUUUGCAUGUGUGCCCGAUUUCAACCUACACUGAAGGAAUCACACCAUAAGGCUGUGAAGCAUAUUCUUCGUUAUCUAGCUCACACACCAACACUUGGAUAUGGUAUCCCAAGGGCUCGGCUUUUGAUCUCAUUGGGUACUCACUCUGACUAUGCGGGUGAUCCUGUGGACCGCAAGUCAACAUCAGGCACAUGCCAUUUCCUCAGGCGAUCCUUGGUCUGUUGGUCCUCGAAGAAACAGAACUGCGUAUCACUGUCUACUGCUGAAGCUGAGUACAUUGCUGCUGGUUCUUGCUGUUCUCAAUUUCUAUGGAUGAAUCAAACCCUCAAGGACUACUACGUCAAUGUAAAGAAUGUGCCUCUCUACUAUGACAAUGAGAGUGCCAUCAAGAUUGCUCAUAACCCACUUCAGCAGUCGAAGACAAAGCACAUUCAAAUUUGUCAUCAUUUUCUUCGUGAUCAUGUGUUGAAGGGCGACAUUUCUAUUGAGCAUGUGAAGACUGGAGAACGGCUAGCCGGUAUCUUCACAAAGCCUUUGGAUGAGAAGAGAUUUAGCAAGUUGCGGUGUGAGCUAAAUAUCCUAGAAUCUUCGAAUGUCCUUUGAAAAGGACACACAUCCUAACACUUGUGCAAAGUUGAUGACUUAGACGUGCAACACACGAAGAAACGUUUUUCUUCAUUCAAUGAAGAUUAACACUCUAAGUGUGAAGAAAUUAACAAAGAAUUUGAUUCUCAGAGCCCUUCGACAAUUGUACAUGGUGUUUGAAAUCAUCAUUCUUAUACGGUGGGUCACGCCACCACCAAAAGUUGAAAAUCUUGAAUUUGAGUUUUUACUCAUUUUUGAAUUUCCUCAGUUGUUCAAAUUCUUCAACCCAUCCCACCUUAUCUUCUCAUACCCACUCCCCCCAAUUCCCUCUCUAUCUCUCCCGCAACCUCCCUUGCGCGGACGCCGCCAAACCACCACCUCCCCUGUGCCGCCGCGCCGCGACCUCCUCUGCGCCGCCGCGCCGCAACCUCCUCUCUGCGGCCGAGUCUGCUCCCCGGCGAUUCCCGAUCCACAACUGCCCCCAUUGCCCUUGCCUUCCUCUGCGCGCCGCCGCUCUAGGUCGCGUCCACCGCGUUCCACCACCACCAGCACAUCAGUACGGCGGUAGUGCGGCCCCGCUUCCGUUCCUCCAUGGCCGACCCCCUACCUCCCACCUUCUCCCUCCCGCCCCGAUCGACAACCUCCAUCACCGCCCCGGUCGUGUUGCCCCUCCCGACCCCGCGCCGCCGGAUCCGGGCAACCACGCCGGCGUGCCCUUCCACAAGCUUUCCCGUCGUGACCCUACCACGAGCUGCUCCAGCCCGACCCUGCUUCUUUAACAACGGCACGGUGGCAACUCCCCUUAGUUCACUCCUGCACCGGGGUCGCGAGCUCCGUUCACGGGCUCGCUGGAUCUCGUGAUUGGGGCGCUGGCGACGUGCUCUCCUACUCCACCGCGCCCCUCCUCUACUUCAGCUCCUAUGCCUGUGCCUCUCGUGGACUCAUCGGCGCACAGGCCGCUCUGGAUCCACGCUGGUUCGAGGCCCUGACGGCCUCCUCUUCCUGCUAAGUCACCGAGAUCCAUCGGGGUAUCAAGUUGUUUUGUCGGCCCAAUACUCCUUCUACCUUCCCUUGCCGGCGGUCGUGCAACUUCGGUGAACACCGCUACUCGCGCGCGGAUGACGACGGCGCAGUGGCACUGCAGUUCGCUUUGCAGGGGAUCCGUUGAUGCGGCCGUGGAGUUCGGCCCACAGGUGCAUGAAGUUAUCUUGCCCCCUCCCACAGUUUACCCUUCCGCAUGAGCCCCAUGCCAUAGUCCAUUGGGAAGAAGCUCGUGGUGCGGAUGUGCGGAUGCUCAGUGACAGUGCUGGUGUGUUUCAGAUUUUGUUUUUCUGCAAUUUGUAGGCGACGCUGGAGCAUUGCAGUUCAUUGGCUCGGGGCGAGCAGUGGAGAGGACACACGUGCGUGCAGUUCCCUGUCCAUUGAAAAUGUAGAAGCCCAUCUUGCUGCAAUGUAUGUGAGCAUAUGGCCUGCAAGUGAUGCUCUUUUCCCAGAUUGAAAACAUUGCAAUGUGGUUGGCUGGCCAUCGACGUGCACUUCGCUUUGGGGGGCAGUACGUUCUUUGUGGACGCGCACUUCGUUCGGCCCGAGCGGCAUGAAGCUCCGUUUGCGCGCAUGUGUGGCUUGGCUAACUAGUUUGUGCAGUCGCAUGAUACCUUUAUUAUGUGAUGCCUCCCUAGUUGCUGGAGUUCACUUCUUUGUAUUUAUUGAAACAUCAUGUAGUGCACUGUGAAACUCUCUGUUGUUCACUUGUAAAAACAAAUAGCGGUUCCCUUUGUAAAAAAAAGUGCAGCCCCUUAGUGGUUCACCUUGUAGAAAAUGAGAAAGAAAUCCCCAUGGGAGGUUCACUUCUUUUUCUAAUGCAAUUUGUUUUGUUUGUGGGAUGAUUGAAAAAAGAAGUUCACUCCACUUGUUUAGCAGCUCAUACCCCUUUGUAUGAAAUGCAAUUUGUUUCGUGUGUCUCAAAAUCAGUCGACUACCUCAACACGUGCAAUGCGUUUGGUUUUUGGAUGUGGUUCAUUUUUUAGAGUGAUGUUGUUCACUUGUGCCGAACAUGAAAGCGCAAAAAAAAUUAGCAAAACAAUAAAAAUAGUAAUGCGGUUCACUACGAUAUAUGAUGUGGUUCACUUGCUCGCGUCUCUGCGGUCCACUCUUGUUCAUAAAAAUUGAAAAAAACAUCAAAAACUCGUCCGAGAAAAAUUUACAUCCGACAAAGGAAACCAUGAAGUUCACUUGCCUGCCUGAUGCAGUGCGGUUUCGUUCGAUGCAGUGCGGUUUUCUGUCGAAUGACGUUCACUCACCGAUUUGGGUGUCGCAAAAAAUAGUAUCUGCAUUUUCGUAAUUUUAAAAUUGCUUUUAAACCGUAAGGAAUUAGAGAGAGUGUUCUACAUGAAAAAGUUGCGUCUCGUCGAUAUUUUUCCAAUGCCAUAUCAUUUGAAUCAUUUUGACAAGCAGUUUGUAAAAAUUUCACAAAAAACGACCGCUGCCAGUCAUCGUCCGCCACACCAUUCUAAAAAUUAACUUAAAACCGUAGUGAAUCUCGAAACCAAUUCUACAUAUAAAAGUUGCGCCUUGUCCAUAGCUUUCCAACGACGUAUUACACGCCUCAUUUCGAUAAACGGUUCAAAAACUAGAGUGAAAACAGUAUCGAAAGUUGCAAAAAUUUCAAAAAAUGUAAUUUCGCGAUUUAGUAAAUUUGAAACUGCUCUUAAACCGAAAUGAAUUAGAGAAAAUAAUAGAUAUGGAAAAGAUGCGCCUCAAUGAUAUCUUUCCAACGGCGUCUCAUUUGCUUUAUUCUGAUGAGCGGUUUUGAAAAAAUCAAGAAAAUACGCUCGCUGCCACUCGUCAUCCGCAGCACCGUUUUUGAAACUGCUCUUAAACCGCGAGGAUCUCGAAAAGUGUUCAACAUGGCAAAGUUGCGCCUAAUCCAUAGCUUCUCCACGGUAUAUUACACGCGUCAUUCCGAUAAAUGGUUAAAAAAUUAGAGCGAAAAAACUACCAAAAAUACACAGCGUGUAGUUUUUUCGACACGAAGUUCACUCGCCUGAGUACUGCAGCACACUUGGUUCAAACAAUGACGUGCAGUUGCGUUGAGCGUGCACUUCGGAAGUGUUAUCAGAAUAACUAUUCUGUUAAUAUUAGCAUAAUAGACCGACUGUAUAUUAUUCUGUUACGCGUAACAGGAUAUUAUUCUGUUACCCUAUGGUGAAUUCAAGCAGUUGAACUGAUGCUUUCUGUUCCUAUUAAAAAUCGUCUUCUUUAGUUCAAAAGUUUUUGCAAUUUUUUUAUCAAAACAGGGCGUGUAAUAUAUCGCUGGAAAGCUCUUGACAUCUACAUUACAAUCUUGUAAUUUGUUUUUGCAAAAAAUUAUGAUUUACGAGCAGUUUUGAAAAACCCGUUUUUUUUCAAGCCGAAAACGCGAAUCGUAUUUUGGACUUAAUUUUCAAACGGUUUGUCGGAAUUGAGCAAAUGAGAUGGCAUUGGAAAGCUUGUGAAAAUCCGCAUCUUCUAUAUUUCUACUAUUUUUUCAAAUUCUAUAUGAUUUAAAAGUAAUUUGAAAAACGGUGAAAUUCUGGGCGAAAUGUUUUUUCACUAUUUUUUUGCAAACGGUUUGUAGGAUUGACACAAAUGAUAUGGUGUUGGAAAGCUAUGGAAAAUGCGCAAAUUUUGCAUAUAGAAAGUUUUUUCUAAUUCCUUACGAUUUAAAUACGAAUUCAAAUACAGUUAAAAUUGAUUUUGAACGUGUUUUUUAAAAAGUUUGUCGAAAUGGAGAAAAUAAUAUACCAUUGGAUAGCUAUCGAAAAUGCAAAACUUAGUCAUGUUGGACGUUUUCUCUACUUCACAACCAUUUAAGAGUAAUCUUCAAUACGGCAUGACGGAUCCUGCUGUUUUCUCGUCUGAAAAACAGAUUAGUCGUACUGAUAUAUGUGUAUGUUUGUACUGAGCUAUUUUUUGUAGAGUAAUUUUAAGUGGUUCCGAAAAAAUGUUCUUAUACUGAUGCUUGCGUGGUUUUGUACUAAACGUGUUUUCACUAACUAGACUUUGCUCUGUUUUUUCAUGAGACCCAUCAUGCUGUUUUUUCGUGAGAAAAAACAGAGUACUUGUACUGAUCUACAUGUGUGUUUGUACUGAUGUAUUCUUCGAAGAGUAAUUUUGAAAGGUUCCGAAAAAGGAGUACUUGAACUAAUGUCCGUAUGGGGUUGUACUGAGCGUUUUUUCACAGACUAGACUUUACUCUAUUCUUUUUACCGAAAAUUGUUUCAUCAAUUGUUCGCAAAUGAUAGUACGAACUAAGAUAUGUGUUGGUUUGUACUGAGCAUUUGUUUCAUCAUUUGUUCGCAAUUGAUAGUACGAAUGGAGCUUUGUUCAUUUUUAUACUGAGCAUUCUUGUCAGUGCCAGGAUCUCCGGAUUUAUGUUGUUUUGUUCUGCGAACUUCCUCAAAAUUUUAUUGGUAAAUCACACCAUUUUUUUCUUUUGCUAAAUUUUUGUCCUCUGAACUUGUGACGGAUGGAGUUUGUACUGAUAUGAAUCAUUUUGCCGAACCGCCACAAUUUUUUGUGUAUUGAAUCACUAUAUAACUUAGAACCAAAUUGUUUUUCUUAACAUAUAUUUGAAUUGUUUCUAUAUGUACAUUGAAUUGGGGAAGAGUAGCAAAAGUUAUACAUACUUUAUGGAUAGUAAUACAUGAAUUUCUUGGUAAACUGAAGAAUGUACUCUGGACCGUAAUACAUGUCCUCUCGAGUUUGUACUGAUGUGAAUCCUUUUGAACUUGCUCUCGACGGUAAUACAUGCCCUCUCGAGUUUGUAAUGAUGUGAAUCCAUUCGAACUUAUGUGGCUUACAUCAUUGAACGGACUCUAUUCUUCUCACUACCACCAUUGUUCUGUCCAUUUCUUUUCGGACUUGCAUGGCUUACAUCGUUGAACGGGCUUAGGUGGAUAUGUACUAAUGAACUACUGUGAUUUGUAGCUCUCAGGAAAUGGAAUCCUUUCUUUCCCUGUUAUUCUGAAUACCAAACAGCAAAAAAUGAGUUCUCAUAAGCACGAAAAAAUAUAUAUGUACCCCUAAAUUUUGCAGCUAUUUUGUCCUCUUUCAUUUUGAAAAAACAUACAAAAAGCAAAAGCACAAACUAUACAAAAGGUUUUAGACACCAAACCAGUAGAGAAUUAAAAAUAAGCAUCAGGCAGCAACUUGCUAAAGAUAGCACGAGUCAUAUACAUACGCAUUUCAUCCCAUUAUACUUCUCCACCCGCAUGGAAAGUGAGAGAACCUCCCUACAUGCAUAUACAGGCAUCAAACUCCCUCUGUACCUAAACUAUAUUUUUGUUUGAUAUAUAUUGUGAACUCCUCUUGUCGAUGUACAUGAACCUGCUGUGCAGAGAGAUGAAAUGUAGUACAUCAGUCUAGCUUCAUUCAGCUAGAGAGAAACAUGAAAAAAUGUUCAGUUUUUUGGACGGCUUUCCUCUUUUUCUUUGUCCAAUUCCGCGCCACGACUGCCACCAUCCUGCAUGCAAGCUUAAAAUUAAUUGAAGCCACCAAACAUGCACUUUCAUGAGACUUUGCUACUAUAAGUCAGCGAACAUAUCUUUAGUAUUAAACCAAAGGCACACUUAUUAACCAGCACUCUUGUUCAGUUCAGAGCAUCAUCAAUAAGAUAAAGAUACGGAAACAUUAAGCCAAUAUAGAACAACUGGAUUGAUUUGACUCAAAUUUUUACUUUCAAUGCAUUGUAGGCAACAGCCGAUCCAAGUCAGAACUGAUGUGAUUUAUUCCAUUGAACUGAUAUGAAAGUUUAUCUAUACUGUUCUGUUUUUUAACACACACGUUUUGAACUAUUCCCGCUUUUUUCAUUAUGAAUUGAUGACAUAAGACAUGUUGAACUGUUACACAAGAGCAAAAUUCAGAAAUACAUAACAAUGGUGUACUCAAAAUAUGUGCAUUUUAAGGAACAAAACUUUCUGAACCUUCUAUACGAAAAACUUCAACUAUCAGUCCAAAGAGAUUUGAAGUUAAACAAUCAUUUCCCUUACCGAGUGUUAAGGAAAACGAAACCAGAGAUGACCUCGCCGACAGUAGGAGUAGCGAUGGCUGCCAAGGCGACGCGUUGGUACAUGUACUAAACAUCUGCUCAAACCUGUUGUAACAUCUACUUCAAGCUUUUUCUAAAUCAUUGUUGGGAGUAGAGGGUUUUAAAAGAAAAUACAGAGUGCCAAAGAAAGAAAGGAACAACCUAUUUAUCUAAAGGACUGUGAUAUUUGGCACACGUGUGCCAUAUAAGCAAAACUGCCACACCUCUAUUUCUUUCAUUUUAAAGUACCAUACGAUCCCUCGUUCUUUGACCCCGCCUCUUCCCAAAUUACCCCGCAGGCUCGCCUGAGAAACCUGCUUCUCCCGCACAUCUCGGGCGCUUACCCCCGAGAAAACUGCCACUUCUUCACGUCUACCACAUGAUUUCUCCUUAGGACAAAGUUACCAUGAUAUUCAUAUGAAAGUUAUCAGGCCUGUGUUGCAUAACUUACCAUACUAUUUACAUAGAACGUAUCAGGUACUAUGCUUCAACAACUACACCCUUUCAAAGUUACCACUGUGUUUUGUACACAAGUUAUAAGGUCUUUGAUGUGUAAAAUACCGUGGUACUUACACAUAAGUUAUCAGGGUAUAUGUACAUCAACCUCCCCCCGGUCAAAGUUACCAUGGGGGAUUGUACAUGAGUUACCGGGUCUACGGUUCGUAUAUUAUCAUGGUACUAGCACCUAAAAACAUGGGUGUGUUUCGGUAGCUUUUCACAUAGGUCAAAAAUUACCAUGAUGUUUUUGCGUAACUUAUCACGCCUAUAGCACGUGUGCCCCUCGUGACACUAAACAUUAUGUGACUUUCCCGUGGCAUGCCAUGUGUUGUGUUCAUCCAAGAGGCCCACGCGCGAGGCAAGUGUAUGUUUUUAACAACUUAUAUAUUUUCCUUUGGUAAAAAAGUUAUCAUCAUGUUUAUAUUGCAAGUUAUCGGUUAUGCGGUGCUUAUAUUAUCAUGUUAUUUACACAAAAAUUAUUGGGGAUGUUUUGAACAACUUUUUCCCGAGGCAAAAAGUUAUCAUGGUGAUUCUAGGUAACCUAUCAAGCCCGUAGUGCUUAAAAUAUCAUGCUAUUUACAUAAAAUUUAUCAGGGAUAUGCUUCAGCAACAAAUUCCACCCCCCAUGGGUCAAAAAUCUAUCAUGGUGUUUAGUUAUCGCAGUGCAUAUGUUUUCAUACUAUUUACACAUAAAAAUGCCAGGGGAGGGAGGUAUACUACCGUGCUAUUUACAAAGAAGUUACCGGAGUAUCUUAAAAAAAUUGCCUACGGUCAAAGUUACCAUGGUGCUUCUACCUCAGUUAUCAGAUGUGCGCUGUGUAUAUUACCAUCUAUUUACACAUAAACUAUCAGGUAUCUUUUCACAUUUGUUUUCCCCAAUGGUUAAAGUUACCACGAUGUUUGUAUCUAAAUUAUCAGGUCUAUGGCGUGAAUGUUAUCGUACUAUUUACAGAAAUUACCGGAGGGCGGGUUCAACAAAUUUAUUCCCAAUGAUCAAAGUUACCACGAUGCUUGAAACAAAAAGUUGCUAACGUAUUAAAGGCAAAAACAUGUCAAAAACAGUAUUACCCUUAGAAUGUUCAACAAUGAGUAUCAUAGGUGAGGUGGUUAGCUCCCUUUGUUAAUUACCUGCAGACCAGAGAUCAAAUCCUAGUAUAAGCAUUAUUUUUGCUGAAAAUCGAGAAGGCAUGUGGGGCCAUAAAUGACGAUUACAAAAAUUAGAAAGGCACAAGCGGGAGAGAAUUGAUGACAUUUGAUGCGUGUGGCAGUUUCACAAUCUGCCACACGGUUGCCAUAUACAUAUUUCGUUAUCUAAAUAGUGUGUGGAAUUGUUUACACAGAUGAACAAAACAUUACUUGAAGUAGAGGUUCUGCCAAAAGAAAGAAAGAGCAUCUUGCAGGUUCAAGUUUGAGUAGUUGAGCCAGACAAUUUAUCGUAGGCGUUGUAUGUAAUAAUAAUUUAAUUAUUUUCAUAGGAGUACGACUCAUAGUAUCGGCAUGGAGGUCGUGAACAAAAGCAGAAGUAUCCUUAAUUUUUUAUUAGUGAUUGUAAUUUUCCUUAUAAAGAACAUACUACUCUCGUGUAAACCCAUCCCUCUACAUAUGUACUGUCAGUUUUUUGCAAAUCGAACAAAUUGCGUAUGUAGCAAGUGCUAGUAUCUUGAAAUGCAGUUAUGCGUAUGCCCCUAAGAGUAGGUGAAUAGAAAACUCGAACCAAAAAUGGCUUUCUCCUAAUAGUAAUCGUGCUAGAACUCAUUCAAAGCUGAAGUGAACUAUAAUUAUAACCAGCCUUUGUCAAUAGAAGUCCUACUGAUCACAAAUUCCUCUAAUUUCCUCCAGACUCAAGAUCAAGAUGGUGGACAGUGCACGGAUAUUACAAAAUUAACAAUUCACAAUACGAAUUAAAUAUCACAAAUUGCAAGGUACAAGUUUUGAGCACAUACAAUCUUUCAUUGGUAGGCAACACUACAACUUUGGAGGUCAACACAUUAGGCAAACUCUUUGGAAUUAAGAUAGUGAAAAGUAAAUGUAUGCGAAAGCAAGCUUCAGUUCAGUAAACCAUCAAGCCCAGAUUGCUGCACUCCGAAUUUCCUUUAGACUUGUACGCUACCUUCAGGUCAGCAAGCUUUAUGUUCAGCAAGUGUGUAACAAAACAAGAAUUGAACUGGAAUAGAAUUUGAAAUUUGAACUGAAAUACAAUACGAAAACUAAACUGAGUGUACUUUCAGAUUUUCACAUGGGCAUCAGUGCAUGAAGCACCAAUGAAAUUGAACUGAAACAAACUUCAGUUCAACAAACUUAUAUGAAGUUAUAUGAAGCAUGCUUGAAUGCGUUGACCCGAAGCAUGCUUGUAGGAGAGUAGUGGCACUGGAAGCGAGCCUUUUGCUGAACUUAUAUGAAGUUAUAUGAACUUGUCUAACUUAUAUGGAACUUAUAUGAAGCCUUUUGCUGAACUUAUAUGAAGUUGACCAGACAAGAUGAUACCGAGGCGCAUCAGAAUAUAGGAGAGUGGUGAUGCAAGUCAGUCACCGGCUGGGUAAUGAAGCGGGUGGUAUGCGGCAUGGAGACAACCAGAAAACGGGACAUCCAGGGGUAGGGAGCAUCGUCGCUGAAGAUCAGAGAGUGUGGAGCGCAGGCGUGCAGUGUCCCCCGGCCGGCACCGGAGACGAAGGAGAUCGGGGAUAGUGCACUUUUUUCGUCAGCCUACAAGAUGCUCAAGGACCAGGACAACAUGUAGUUUCAGAAUUACAGAUUGUGGUCAGCUAUAGGAUGUUUCUGGGACCAUGUUUUAGCUACGAGAGAGCAACAACAUCACAUCAUGAGAGAGAGGAUGCAACAUCAAAAAUUCAGGAGAAAGAUCAGAGCAGAGCAGAAGUAAAUAUGUUUUGAGGAGAUGAACUGACCAGGAUUUAAAUGAACUCUCACUAGCAGUAAUUUUUGUACUUCGCAUGUAGUACUACAUGGACUUGCUGUAAAAUACAUUGACCAUGUAGUAAUUUUGAAGUUAAUUAUCACUACUGCAGAACCGGGCAAUAGCACCGGUUCGUAAGGCCCUUUGUGCCGGUUUCGGAAUCGGCACUAACAUUUCGGCACUAAAGCCCCCCCCCCCUUUAGCACCGGUUCAGCAUGAACCGGUGCUAAAGGGCAACCACGUGGCACGAGCCAGCUCCGGGGGCCGAGAGCCCUUUAGUACCGGUUGGUAACACCAAUCGGUACUAAAAUGUUUGGGGGGGUUUUGGUUUUAUGAUUUCUUUUUCAUUUAAUUUUGUGUUUUCCAUUUUAAUUCUUUUUCGUUUGCUGGUAUUUUACGGUACUACACAUUGUACACGUUAUGCAUAUAUAUAUAUAUAGAAUUUCUAGUAGAACCAAUCAUAUAUAUAUCAUCAAUGUCUCACAAACCACCAUAUUAAUUUACACAUACACACAUGUAUAGCUAUAUACAAUUUCUCCUACAUAUGCAUGUUGCCUUCGGAGCCAGUUGCAUUAGCCUAAUUGGUGCCUUCGGAGCACGAUGACAAUUGGAAGUGGUUCAUGACCUGUUCGAUGGGGGCGGUAGCGGGUAAUAGUAUUCUCCCUUCGGAUUUAUGACCUGGUCGAGCAAAAAUCCCGCUAUUUCCUCUUGAAGUGCUUCUACGCGCUCCAUUUCUAGGAGCUUGUCCCGCACCUCUUUGAACUGUUAAGAAGGAGAUCGAUAUGCAUGUGUAUUAGUUGUGUGACUAGAUAUCGAUAAUGGUGUAAAAAUUAUGAAUAGUGUUCUAACAAGAGUACCCAUUCCUGUCUUUGAGAUCUGCUCCUUUCGGAUGCCAUCAUGCGAAUGUUCUCGCAAAUGCAGAAUGCACACAGAUUAGUCCCCUACGCCUGCUUCAGGGCCUUUAUUACGAGAAUGGAAUUUAAUUUGAUCAGAUAAUAAUUAAUCAAGCAUGAUAAUUAAUGAGAUGGCAACUAGCUAGCUAGGUAGUACUACUUAAUUUGAUCGAAUACUACAGAAGAAUCUAGGACACUCGCGGUUCCUAUGGCGCGGGCGGUGGACACCCAAAGAGAAGGAACCCUCACAGGAUCAUAGCUGAAGUGAGAUCCCUGAAGAAACUGCCAGGUAUUGGAGAACCUGACGCCCUCUAACGCAACCAUGUAGCGAUGGACGUGCUCGUCCUCCUCCCUGACACGACAACGUACCACCUCCGGCAGGGCUGGUUCCCUCCGCACCGAAACUGGCCCACGCGAACGCAACCAAACGAGAUCAGGGUCGACGACGGGACCCGGGGCCGGGUUCCUCAUCAAGCGGCGCGCCCCUCCAAGCAGCACCUCCCAGUGCCAGCCCGGCGGAGCCCAGUCCCGGACAUGGGUCAGCUGGACGUCGUCGCGGACGUAUCGACGGCGAGGAUGCGGGCCGGGCAUCGUCGACAACAAAUACUAGCUAUAUGCCCGCAAAAAGUAACAUUUUUUUAAUGAUUGGAUUUUGAUAACUAAAAUUUCUAACAUUCUAUAACAUUUCUAACAAUGCUAUAUAUAACUAACAUUUCUAUAACAUUUCUAAUAUUUCUAUAACUAAAAAAAGAAAAAUUUCUAACUUUUUUAUAACUAUUUCUAUAACUAAAAAACAGAAAAAAUUCUAACAAUUCUAACUUUUUUAUAACUAUUUCUAUAACUAAAAAACAGAAAAAUUUCUAAUAAUUCUAACUUUUUUAUAACUAUUUCUAUAACUGAAAAACAGAAAAAAUUCUAACAAUUCUGACAAUUCUAACAAUUCUAACAUUUCUAACAUUUCUAACUAUUGUAACAAUUCUAACAUUUCUAACUAUUUCUAAAAAACAGAAAAAUGUCUAACUAUUUCUGAAAAACAGAAAAAUCUAUAACUAAAAAUGUAUGUGUGUGUGUGCGNNNNNNNNNNNNNNNNNNNNNNNNNNNNNNNNNNNNNNNNNNNNNNNNNNNNNNNNNNNNNNNNNNNNNNNNNNNNNNNNNNNNNNNNNNNNNNNNNNNNNNNNNNNNNNNNNNNNNNNNNNNNNNNNNNNNNNNNNNNNNNNNNNNNNNNNNNNNNNNNNNNNNNNNNNNNNNNNNNNNNNNNNNNNNNNNNNNNNNNNNNNNNNNNNNNNNNNNNNNNNNNNNNNNNNNNNNNNNNNNNNNNNNNNNNNNNNNNNNNNNNNNNNNNNNNNNNNNNNNNNNNNNNNNNNNNNNNNNNNNNNNNNNNNNNNNNNNNNNNNNNNNNNNNNNNNNNNNNNNNNNNNNNNNNNNNNNNNNNNNNNNNNNNNNNNNNNNNNNNNNNNNNNNNNNNNNNNNNNNNNNNNNNNNNNNNNNNNNNNNNNNNNNNNNNNNNNNNNNNNNNNNNNNNNNNNNNNNNNNNNNNNNNNNNNNNNNNNNNNNNNNNNNNNNNNNNNNNNNNNNNNNNNNNNNNNNNNNNNNNNNNNNNNNNNNNNNNNNNCGAGAGGCGACGGGGGGCGCGCGGCGACGGGGACGGCGACGGGCGCGGCGACGACGGGAACGGGGACGUACGGGCCGGGGCGGCGAUGACGACGGGGACGGUGACGACGCGGCCGGGACGGGGCGGCGGUGACGACGGGGACGGGACGACGGAGCGGCGACGACGGGGACGGGGCGGCGACGGGGGCGGCGACGGGCCGGGGCGGCGACGAGGGAUAUGGAGACGGCAGGGGCGGCGUGCGAUGGUGCAGAGGAGAAGAAGCAGACGGAGAGAUGAGAAACUGACGAAAUUUUGAAGUGUUUUCUUAUAUAGAACCCACCUUUAGUACCGGUUGGAGCCACCAACCGCUACUAAAGGUCUGUUUUGGCUAGCCCAAGCGGCGGGAAGCGACCCCCUUUAGUACCGGUUGGUGGCUCCAACCGGUACUAAAGGCCCCCCCUUUAGUACCGGUUGGUUCCACGACCCGGUACUAAAGGGUGUGCACUGCCAGGCGAGGGGCACAAAAGUUUAGUCCCACCUCGCUAGCCGAGGGGCACUCGCACCUGCUUAUAAGUCCCGCCGUCGCUGCUGUCUCGAGCUCCUCUCUUAAGCAGGCCUACUGGGCCUACCUCUUCUGCGAUGCCCUGUUGGGCCUACUGGGCUAGCGGGCCUGCAUCCUGGUCCAACUUGAAUUUGGGUUUCUAGUCGUAUGCAGGCCGCUGUGGCCCAGUAGGUGGGCUUUCUUUUCUUAUUUUUUUGCUUUAUUUAUUUUUGUGAAUAACUUAACUUUGAAAAUAUAUUUUUCAGUGAUUCUUUUUUCUUAUGUUUAAUAUUAGUGUGUUUUAUCAUUAUAUUCAAUUUGGUAAUGCUUAGGUUAUUUAAAAAAUGAAAUGCCUUUGUAACGGAUGAGUUUUCGUCCGAAACCCUGAUACUUCGAAACAGAUUGUCCAUUUUGUACACGAAGUGCAUCCAGUUUUUGCGGUAACCCUCUCUACUUUUUUGCACAUGCUAUGUGGGUGAAAUUAUGAUACCAUGCCAACUUUCAUCCUUUUCUGAGUUCAUUUGAAAUGCUUUUCAAUUUCAGGGUCAUUUAGCUGAAAAAAUCAGUAAAUGCAUGAAAGAAUUUGCUUGCACAUAAAAGUUCUUCACGUUUCAAAUGCCAAAACACAUAACUAGCUACCCUAACUAUUACAGAGAUUGCCUCCUGGGUGUGAAACACAGAAGAAAGUGAUGAUAGUUAAGCCGAUCACAUCCCAGAUCUUUGGGUGUGAAACUUUUUCUUCGCGUGUGUCCUUUUGCAUCGUAGCCAUGGAAAAUCUUCAUCAUUUAACGGGAUGCUCGGGUCAAUAUUCACUGUGAAUGGAGCAAUCUCAUCAAACUUUUCAUAAUCUUCUGACUUGUCUGUCUUGUCAUCCACUCCCACGAUGUUUCUCUUCCCAUAAAGAACUAUGUGCCUCUUUGGCUCAUCGUACGAUGCAUUCGCUUCCUUAUCUUUUCUUUUUCUUGGCUUGAUAGACAUGUCCUUCACAUAGAAAACUUGUGCCACAUCAUUGGCUAGGACGAAUGGUUCGUCUGCAUACGCAAGAUUGUUGAGAUCCACUGUUGUCAUUCCGUACUGCGGGUCUUCCGUUACCCCGCCUCGUGUCAUAUUGACCCAUUUGCACCGAAACAAAGGGACCUUCAAACCACGUCGAUAGUCAAGUUCCCAUAUGUCCUGUAUAUAACCAUAAUAUGUUUCCUUUCCCGUCUUGGUUUCUGCAUCAAAGCGGACACCACUGUUUUGGUUGGUGCUCUUCUUAUCUUGGGCGGUCGUGUAAAAUGUAUUCAUUUAUCUCGUACCCUUUGAAAGUCAUUAUAUUCGAAGAUGGUAACUGGGACAGCAAGUACAGGUCAUCUUCAAUAGAGGUGUCAUGCAUGGUACGUGCUUGCAACCAGCUGGCGAAACUCCUGGUUUGUUCACGUGUAAUCCAGUCAUCAGACCGCUUCGGGUGUUUGGAGCAUAGCAAAUUCUUGUGUUCAUCCAUAUACGGAGCCACCAAGGCGGAAUUCUGUAGAACUGUGUAGUGUGCUUCAGUGAGAGAAUGUCCGUCCAUACAUAUUAUUUGUUCCCCUCCUAGCGUGCCUUUUCCAUCUAGUCUGCCCUUAUGCCGCGAUUCAGGAACACCAAUCGGCUUAAGGUCAGGAAUAAAGUCAAUACAAAACUCAAUGACCUCCUCAUUUUGACGGCCCUUAGAGAUGCUUCCUUCUGGCCUAGCACGGUUAUGAACAUAUUUCUUUAAGACUCCCAUGAACCUCUCAAAGGGGAACAUAUUGUGUAUAAAUACAGGACCCAAAACGUUAAUCUCUUCGCAUAGGUGAACUAGGACGUGCGUCAUGAUGUUGAAGAAGGAUGGUGAGAACACCAACUCGAAACUGACAAGACAUUGCACCAAAUCAUUCUGUAACCUUGGUAUGAUUUCUGGAUCGAUUACCUUCUGAGAGAUUGCAUUGAGAAAUGCACAUAGCUUCACAAUGGCUAAUCGAACAUUUUCCGGUAGAAGCCCCCUCAAUGCAACCGGAAGCAGUUGCGUCAUAAUCACGUGGCAAUCAUGAGACUUUAGGUUCUGGAACUUUUUCUCUGCCAUGUUUAUUAUUCCCUUUAUAUUUGACGAGAAGCCAGACGGUACCUUAAUACUAAACCCGGGCAUGGGCAGCCCGGCCCAACGACCCGGCCCGAGCCCGGCCCGAAAAACUCGGGCCGGGCCGGGCCGGGCUUGACAUUCGGGCCGGGCUCGGGCUUUGUUUUUCAGCCCGAAAGAUAGUUCGGGCCGGGCUCGGGCUUUAAUUUUUCCGUAUUUCGGGCCGGGCUUUCGGGCUUCGGGCCGGGCUUGCACGUGCGCGUACUAAAAAACAACAUUCGGGCCGGGCUUUCGGGCUUCGGGCUUGAUUUCGGGCCGGGCUCGGGCUUGAAAAUGUGGAGUAUUUCGGGCUUCGGGCCGGGCUUGGGCUUGAGAAAUGAAGGUCGGGCUUUUACAAGCUCGGCCCGAAACCCGGCCCGGCCCGACGUUUGCCCAGGUUUACUUAAUACUGAGCAGGCAUUCAAAGAAGAUUUCCUUCUCUUCUUUGGUAAGAGCGUAGCUUGCAUGACCCUGAUGUAUGCCGUCUUUUUCGUGCAUACGUUGCUGGUCCUCCCGUGCCUCAGGUGUAUCUUUUGUCUUCCCAUACACGCCCAAGAAGCCAAGCAGGGUCACACAAAGAUUCUUCGUCACGUGCAUCACGUCGAUUGCGGAGCGGACCUCAAGGUCUUUCCAAUAGGGCAGGUCCCAAAAUAUAGAUUUCUUCUUCCACAUGGGUGCGCGUCCGUCAGCGUCAUUCGGAACAGAUUGUCCACCAGGACCCUUUCCAAAGACCACCUUCAAAUCCUUGACCAUAUCAUGUACAUCAGCACCAGUACGAUGGCGAGGCUUCGUCUGGUGAUCCGCCUCACCUUUGAAAUGCUUGCCUUUCUUUCUUACGGGAUGCCUGCUCGGAAGAAAUCGACGAUGUCCCAGGUACACAUUCUUAUUAGCCAAAUAUAUACUGUCGGUAUCGUCCAAACAGUGCGUGCAUGCACGGUAUCCCUUGUUUGUCUGUCCUGAAAGGUUACUGGGAGCAGGCCAAUCAUUGAUGGUCACGAACAGCAACGCCUUUAGGUCAAAUUCUUCCCCCAUGUGCUCAUCCCACGCACGUACACCUGUUCCAUUCUACAGUUGUAAGAGUUCUUCAACUAAUGGCCUUAGGUACACAUCAAUGUCGUUGCCGGGUUGCUUAGGGCCUUGGAUGAGCACUGACAUCAUAAUGAACUUUCGCUUCAUGCACAACCAAGGAGGAAGGUUAUACAAACAUAGAGUCACAGGCCAGGUGCUAUGGUUGCUGCUCUGCUCCCCAAAAGUAUUAAUGCCAUCUGCGCUUAGACCAAACCAUACGCUCCUUGCAUCAUCUGCAAACUCCUUCCCGUACUUUCUUUCGAUUUUUCUCCACUGUGACCCGUCAGCGGGUACUCUCAACUUUCCGUCUUUCUUACGGUCUUCUCUGUGCCAUCGCAUCGCCUUGGCAUGCUCUUUGUUUUGGAACGAACGUUUCAACCGUGGUAUUAUAGGAGCAUACCACAUCACCUUGGCAGGAAUCUUCUUCCUGGGGCGCCGGCCCUCGACAUCACCAGGGUCAUCGCGGCUGAUCUUAUAGCGCAAUGCACCACAUACCGGGCAAGCGUUCAAAUCCUCGUACUCACCGCGGUAGAGGAUGCAAUCAUUAGGGCAUGCAUGUAUCUUCUGCACCUCUAACCCUAGAGGGCAGACAACCUUCUUUGCUUCGUACGUACUCUCGGGCAAUUCGUUGUCCUUUGGAAGCAUAUCCUUUAUCAUUACCAGCAACUUUCCAAAUCCCUUGUCAGAUACACCAUUCUCUGCCUUCCAUUGCAGCAAUUCCAGUGUGGUGCCCAGCUUUUUCUUGUCACCUACGCAAUUCGGGUACAACAAUUUUUUGUGAUCCUCUAACAUGCGCUGCAACUUCUUCUUCUCCAAAUCACUUGCGCAGUUUCUCUUUGCAUCGGCAAUGGCCCGACCUAGAUCAUCAACGGGCUCAUCUGAUGCCUCUUCUUCAGCUUCUUCCCGCAUUGCCGGCUCAGCUUCUUCCCGCAUUACCGGCUCAGCUUCUUCCCCCAUUGUUGUAUCAUCAUAUUCAGGGAACCCAUGGCCAGGAUAGCUGUCGUCGUCCUCUUCUUAUUCAUUGUCUUCCAUCAUAACCCCUAUUUCUCCGUGCUUGGUCCAAACAUUGUAAUGGGGCAUGAAACCGGACUUAAACAGGUGGACGUGAAUGGUUCUUGACGUAGAGUAAUUGUGACCAUUCUUACAGCGAGCACAUGGACAAGGCAUAAAACCAUCCGCCUGCUUGUUUGCCUCAGCCGCAAGCAGAAAAGUAUGCACGCCCUCAACGAACUGGGGAGAGCAUCGGUCAUCGUACAUCCAUUGCCGGCUCAUCUUCAUUACACAACACCGAAUAGACCAAAUUAAUACAAGUUCAUACAUAAAGUUCAUACAACACUUAAAUGCAACAAACAAAUAACUCUCUAGCUAAAGCAUUUAAAUGCAACAACAAAUACGAUCAAGAUCGCAACUAAGGUAACAAUGGAUCCAACAGCAUAAUGAUACCAAGCCUCACUAUCGAUGGCAUAUUUUCUAAUCUUUCUAAUCUUCAAGCGCAUUUUCUCCAUCUUCAUCUCGUGAUCAUCGACGACAUCGGCAACAUGCAACUCCAAUUCCAUCUUCUCCCCCUCAAUUCUUUCAAUUUUUCUUUCAAGUACUCGUUUUCUCUUUCAACUAAAUUUAACCUCUCGGCAAUAGGGUCGGUUGGAAUUUACGGUUCACAUACCUCCUAGAAAAAAUUUCUAUGUCAACUUGAUGGGCAUAAUUUGUCAUAAACACAAAAUGCAACUAGUUUUAAAAGAGAAUAUACAUACCACACCCGAAUCAUAACAAGGACUAGGGCCGACGGGGACGGAUAUCAAAACCAUAGCACUAUAUGUAUAACAAACAACGUACGGGUAAGAUAAUUAUACGAGUAACUAUAUAUCCAAAUCACACAAACAUCAAUUUUUAUAUAAAAUUUCAUGAACUAGAGGCUCACCACAAGGUGGUGCCGGCGACGGGACGGUGCGGGCGAUCGACGGUGGCUACGAUGGAGAUUUAGAAGGCACUAAGUAAACCACACCUACAUAUGCAAACUAAGUGUUAUUUUUGACCUCAAAUUGCAUAUAAAUCAAAUACUAGCACAUAUAUAUAUAUAUCCUCCCAAAUUACUAAAAUCACAAAUUAAUCACUAUAUAAAGCAUUGCAAGAGCUAAUCUAGCAAUGAGAGAUGAAAGGACAAAGUUGCUAACCUUUGUGAUCAUUUGAAUGGAUGGGGGCCUUCAAAUCUUGACAAAUUUUGGGCAAAAUGUGUGAUGAGCUCGAGAGGAAGAGGGGAAGAACAGAGAGGAGAGGGGAAAGGGGAAUAAUAGAGUGAGCUUGGGUGGACGAAGGGUCUAUGUAGGACGACCUUUAGUACCGGUUCGUGCCAAGAACCGGUACUAAAGGGGCUGGAGGGGCACCUGUCUGACAACAUCCUGCCACCACUCUCAUUAGUACCGGUUCGUUGCACGAAGCAGUGCUAAAGGUUCGCCACGAACCGGUACUAAUGAAAGCGGCCCGGCUAGCCGUUGGAACCGGCACUAAUGUAUACAUUAGUGCUGGCUCAAAUACAAACCGGCACUAAUGUGCUUCACGUUUGACCCUUUUUCUACUAGUGUAUAUGAUCAUCUCAAAGAGCUCAAGUUGUACUGAAAGCUCAAGUUGGACUAAAACUCACUCGAUAACUGAAAAUCCUAGGGCGAGGGGUGGGAUCCAGGGUGCUGCUAGCAAUGAACGGCCUGGGGUGGUGGCGUUGAACGGCCUGGAGUGGUGGCUGUGAACAGCCAGGGUGCUCCGGUGGCAGAGCCCCACCGGAGAUGGUGAUGCAAGCAGGAGGUCGGGAAGCAGUGGUGCCGGUGGUCGGGGUCGUCCAAUGCACAUGGCACACCAGUACAGGAAGUUGAUUCAUCACCCAUCCAUAGUUUUUUUCCUUUUUGGAAUCCAUUGAACUGAAAAAAGCUACAUGUGAGCUGAAAGUAUGAAAAUAACAUAUCUUUGAAAGAAUAAAGAACUAGCUUUAACAUAUCUAUGAAAGAAUACACCUCCGAGGAACUAGCUUUGAACAUAUCUCUGAAAGAAUAGAGAGCAUGCAAAGUUCAAGGAAAGAAUAAGCAAAAUGGCACACUAGUACGCAGUAGUACGAGUCCAGUCAUGUACGUGCUAGUAUUAGGUUUGAAUAGUAGCUAGAAUUGAAGUUCAGGUAACCAUGGCACACACAUCAUACAGUUUCAAUCAUGUAUGCACACACUGUAAUAGUAGCUGCAAUUAAAGUUCAAAUAACCACGGCACCCAUAACAGAACAAGAAUCAGUGUAGCAGCUAGGCAAGCAAGCUUCAUCAGCAUGAAUACACAUCAGCGGCAAGCUAGAACACGCUAGUAGGCUGUAGAAGUCUCCUUGUAAUUUUUCAAACAGAAGUGCUUUAGUUCAGUUCAGUAGUAAGGCAUGGAAAAAGAAAAGCAAUGGAAUAAACUAUAACUGAGCCAAAUAUGUAAUUUCAACAAACUAGACCUCAUUGCUUGACUUCAGUAGUAAUACACGAUCAUCAGUUCAAUAUAAACAUACUGAUGUUAACAUCAUCGUACAUCCAUUGCCGGUUCAUCUGCGUGCAUUAUAUAUAAUUAAGUGUGUCAAAAACCAUUACAGAACAGCAUGAAUAUAGAAGACCAAAUUAAUAGGAGUUCAUCAUCACAUUAAAACCAAAGUACAAUAGUGAUCAAAUGUUAUUACUGAAAAAAUAAAUACAUAAAGUUCAUACAUAUAUAUUUCUCAUUGAAAAACAUAUAUAUAGCUCUCUAGAGCAUCUAAUUAAACCAUACAUUGAAACAAUGCAAAAACAUUUCAAUGCAACAACAAAUGCGAUCAUAAUCGCAACUAAGGUAACAAUUGAUCCAACGGCAUAAUGAUGUCAAGCCUCGGUAUGAAUGGCAUAUUUUCUGAUCUUUCUAAUCUUCAAGCGCAUUGCAUCCAUCUUGAUCUUGUGAUCAUUGACGACAUCCGCAACAUGCAACUCAAAUCCCAUCUUCUCCUCCUUAAUUCUUUUCAAUUUUUUCUUCAGGUAAUUGUUUUCUUCUUCAACUAAAUUUAACCUCUCAACAAUAGGGUCGGUUGGUAUUUCCGGUUCACAUACCUCCUUGAUAAAAACAUCUAUGUCACGUUGGUCGGCAUAAUUUUCAUACACACUAAAUGAACAAAAUAGUUAUAAAAUAUAAUAUAUACCACAUCCGAAUCAUAGACAGGACGAGGGCCGACGGAGGCGGAUACCAAAACCAUCGCACUAUAUAAUAACAAAAAAUAAUAAAAGUAAGAAAAUUAUACAAGUAUCUAUCUAAAUCAUACAAGUAAGAACUUUUUUCUUUUAGAAGAUAAGAACAAGAGGCUCACCACGGUGGUGCCGACGACGAGAUUAGCACGGGCGAUCGACGGCGGUGAGGACGGGGACGGGACAGGAUGGACCGCCAAACCUAGACAAAUCUUAAGGAAAAUGGAGUUUGGACAAGGAGCUUCGAGAGGAGAAAGCUUAAGUAUGUCUCGGGCAUUUCACCGAACACCUCAUGUGCAUAGGAGGUGAGCUAGAGCACCACAAAGCUCUCCCACGGCCGGCCAAAAAAUAGAGCAAUGCACUGCUCUGCUCGCGGGCAGGGGGAUAUAUAGGCCUCUCUUUAGUCCCGAUUUGUGGCUAGAACCGGGACUAAAGGACCCCAUUUGGUCCCAGUUCCAACCACCAACCAGGAUUAAAGUUUGUGGGCCAGGACCGAGGCCCAUUGGUCCUGGUUCGUGUCUGGAAGCGGGACCAAAGGGGUCAGACGAAUCGGGACCAAUGGCCCCCGAGGCCCGGCCGGCGCCCUGGCUUUACGAACCGGGAUUGAUGCACCCAUUAGUCCCGGUUCAUAGGGAAUCCGGGAUUAAUGCCCUUUUUAGACCUGGACCAAAGCCCUAUUUUCUACUAGUGUUGUAGGCCUCGCUCACAUGAAGUAAGAACGGUCGGUGACGAUGCCUCAUAAAGUCCAUGUGGUGCAAUCAUAGUUGGUGGUGCAGGGGAAGAAGUAACCUUCUUUGAUGGGGAUUCCAUCACACGCUUGUUCGUCAUGUAGACGCGUCCUCUUAAUUUCUGUUCAGCUUUACAGGCAAGAUGAAACAAAUGAUCGAUAGAAUAUAGUCUUCAUGCAUUAUUAUGUCUUGUAUAUCAUGUAUAUCAUGCAUUAAUCUAAGCCCAGAUACUGAAUCAAGCGAGAGGGAACUAACGAAAAUAUAAUAGCUCCAAGUAGCUAGAUAUAAGUGAGGUAUGAACAUAGUGUAUGGCAACCAAGAGCAGACAAAAAAAUCCAACACUUAUCACUUAUAUGAACAGAGCAGGCUGAACAGCAAAAGAGAUUGUUCAAAAGAUGCUAGGUGGCCAAAACUUUGCAUCAACUUUUUUUUUAUUCUUUUUUCUGAAUUUUUUUUUUCAACUUUCAGGCCGGCCGCUAGUAGAAGUCACGUACACAAAUAUCUGACCAAAUAGGUAUGAAGGGGUGGCCGGGGCACGUCCGGUGUAGCCCAUCGGCGCUGUCCAGCGGUAAAAGAUCUCAUGCCAUUGCUGAAAUUCACGUCCCCCACCCAGGGCAUUUUGGUCAUUUCGCAUAUGUGCCCUUUUCCGAUUCUCUGCCUCCUCCCCCAAUGAGUACCUCCCUCAUUUUUCUCUCCCUCACAUCUCUCUCGAGAGAGAGCCGCCGCUGCCAGUCAUCCUCCCCGUCCGCCGCCGCCGCCGCCAACCAUCCGCAGCCGCGCCACCAUCCCCUCCCCGUUCCACUCCCAUAACUGAGCCAGCCAUGGCCGGGAAGAAGUGCAAGUCCUCUUCCUUCCUCCCUCACCCCUGAUCUGAAUCCUCUCCCGAAACCCCAGCUAGCUGCAUGCAUCCCAUAUGGCGCCGCCCAGCUCGCAGCCCUCGGCCGCCGAGCCAUCGCGAGGCUCCUCGCGCAAGCGCACGACCUCCUCAAAGGCUGCGCCCGAGGCCGACCUGGAGUUCACCGUCACCAAGGAAAGGUAAGGGGAGGGGAGGGGAUGGAAGGGAUCGAGCGACCAGGUGAGGCAGCGCCCAGAUCCACGGGGCCAUCGACACUUCAUCAUCGACCUCAUCCGCGACCGUCCUCGAGGUCGGCCAUGGUGGUCUGGCCCGGCAACAGCCAUGGAAGGAGACGCCCGAAUCCCUGGCCCUCCAAGUACGCGCCUGCUGCAGGCCAUCUCCGGCGAGCUCAUCCACAGAUCUCCAACUAUGGUGCGUGCGCAUGAUACCUAAACCCCUUGUCUUGUCAGUUUCUUCAUCUCCCUUCCUUGUGAUUCCUUGGUUUGUUUUGUGCGCAGUUGCUCCGAUCUGGAAGAGGUGGUGGAGCUUUUGUUGUUGCUGCUGCAGGUGGACGAGGCACCACCCCCUCUUUCUACUUCUGGACACAACCUGGUGGUGAUUGCUAAUUUCAGUGUUAAAAAAUUCAGUUCAAUUCAGUCAUGUUCUUUUCCUUUUGUGGGGAAAUUCAGUCACAUUCAAUGUUCAACUUUUAGAGUUAACAAACUGUUGUUAUGACCACUGUGGUUUAGAUGUUCAGAAAUUCAGACAAGUGGUAUGAUGAAAUGAGCCACCUUUUAACCCCCUAGUAAACCUACCGUGAACGUUUAGAGAGCCAAUGCAGGGAGGUGUGGACAUUUUACCAUGUUCAUAGGAAGAAAUCAACAUAAAAUACACAGCUUGUAGAUGAUUCGUCAACCACCAUCAAACACGACUUGUAACUUUCUGGACUAAACUGAACCGUGCAAUUGACUCAAAAUAAAACUAAACCGUGCAAUUGACUCAAAAAUAAAUAGUAAAUAUACUUUGGUUGUGUCUGCAGAAUUGCAUUAUGGAAAGAUGUGUGUGAGGUUACCCCAUCGCCACUGGUUCCAACUUUGUCCAUCAUGUCGCUCUGAUGAGAAGACCUCGUCCAUGUUUCAUUAAUAGGGCAGAGUGCUGCUGAAGUAUCUAUGUUGAACAAUUAUAACAGUACCAAGUAAGUUUGCUCCAAUUGCAUUUGAUGCAGAAGGCACAACACCGCCAUCAUGCGUCAGGUUCAGUAGAAGGCACGACACCGCCACGCUCUCCUCCACUACAACGCCACGCACCCGGUAAUUAAACAUGCUUUCUCUUCAUUCAAGUAGUAAGAGNNNNNNNNNNNNNNNNNNNNNNNNNNNNNNNNNNNNNNNNNNNNNNNNNNNNNNNNNNNNNNNNNNNNNNNNNNNNNNNNNNNNNNNNNNNNNNNNNNNNNNNNNNNNNNNNNNNNNNNNNNNNNNNNNNNNNNNNNNNNNNNNNNNNNNNNNNNNNNNNNNNNNNNNNNNNNNNNNNNNNNNNNNNNNNNNNNNNNNNNNNNNNNNNNNNNNNNNNNNNNNNNNNNNNNNNNNNNNNNNNNNNNNNNNNNNNNNNNNNNNNNNNNNNNNNNNNNNNNNNNNNNNNNNNNNNNNNNNNNNNNNNNNNNNNNNNNNNNNNNNNNNNNNNNNNNNNNNNNNNNNNNNNNNNNNNNNNNNNNNNNNNNNNNNNNNNNNNNNNNNNNNNNNNNNNNNNNNNNNNNNNNNNNNNNNNNNNNNNNNNNNNNNNNNNNNNNNNNNNNNNNNNNNNNNNNNNNNNNNNNNNNNNNNNNNNNNNNNNNNNNNNNNNNNNNNNNNNNNNNNNNNNNNNNNNNNNNNNNNNNNNNNNNNNNNNNNNNNNNNNNNNNNNNGUGCCAGCGAACCCAGGCCACACCCAACGCGCUGGGGGGCUGCUAGGGCCGCCGGCGGAAGCAACAGCCAAUCAUAUUCCUCCAUGUAUCAUUUUUUUCUGGUCCACUCAUUCACUUUUUGCCUGGCGACUGUCCUGGGGGCACCAACGGCUGGGAAACCGUCCUCGCGUUUCAUUUGGCGAAGGUGUUUUGCCCCCCAGGACGUGCUAUAUUUGGCCCGGCGAUUGUCCUGGGGGGGGGGGCUCCAACGGCUGGAGAUGCUCUAAUUCAUUGUAUUUGCAUGUUUCCAGCAGCCAUGUAUCAAAAAAAGCUUCAGCUUUGGGUUGUUGAUUUAGCAGAAUCAAUCAUUAAUUGUUCUGCUAUAUAUGUUCUUAACCAUGACAACCUGAUUAGGCUCUUAGUUUAUUAUGGUCUUUGUUCUGGGUGGAUCUCUGACUAUUCUGGGUGGGCUUGAAUCUCUUCUUUGUUUCUUCAUCUCCUCUUAUUCUGAUUCCUGCGUUUGUUUUAUGUGAAGGUUGCUCCGAUGAGGACAAGCUGCUUCUGCAGGUGGAUGGGCCCUCAAGGCUGCUCUGCCUAUUCCUCCUGCUACCCCCACACGUGGUGAGCCCCACCCGUUCUCGAGCUACCCCUGCAAAUCUGAUGUGAUGUGCACAAAAUACUUGCAAUUGUUCUCGACACAAGAGCAUGUCAUGUAUUGUUUUAUUUGAAUGUGCAAUUUCAUUGCUUCUGUGUUGUUUGAUGCUUGCUUCACAAGAGGGAAAUCAUGGAUAUAAACUGCGCUUCCUUUCAAGUUGAAUAGUAAUGAUCACCAUUUGGUUCCAUUUUCUCCUCUGCAUCCAGUGUUCACUCUCUCAUAGAUGUCCAUAUAUACACAGUUCUGAUCUCCUUUUUCUGCGGCUCCAUACAUCGAACACAAAGCCGUCGAUGCAUUGAGGGCUCAAUGUCGUCUCCGUCGGCUGAGCGGCAAGCCGGGGUUGGGCCUGCACACCGUCUAUCAGCACCCUCCCGCGUCUCCAUUCACGGAUCUGCAGGUCAACCCCUCUUCUCCUCCUAUCCACGCAUCUUCUUUUCCAGAGCUAGGUGUAUGGUUGCAUGGCAAUUUGUGUUUUGGGGCUCACCAUGUUCUGCUUGCCCUGGUUGGCCAAUGAGGCUUUCCUUUUCUGGUAAAGGCCAAAUGUACUAUUCUCUAUGCUUUAUAUUUUUGUAGUUCCUUUGUUUCCAUGCUUGUUUUUUGAUGGGGUGUAAAUAUAUGCUUUUUUGUUCCUUGUCUGGAUUCAGGUAGGGCCUAACAUUAUUGUUCCUUUGUGCAUGGAAAUGUUGGUGGUUUUGUUCCUUUGUAUAUGGAAGGGGGCCUUGAUUAGAAUUUCUAACGUUUGAGUUGUAAUUAGUGUUUUUGUUACACAUGAAAACAUAUGGUUGUUUGUCCAAUCACAUAUGAAAAAGAGAUGAUUGUUUGUCCAACAAUUUUCUUUCUCUGUGAUAGUUUUACUAGAAAUAAAGUAUAGUCACUAUUACAUCCUAUUUUAUAUCUUGUUGUGUCGUGAUAUCUGUAUAGACUCUGUCUACGUCCUUUUGAUAUUCCAAGUUUUGUUUUCUAUGGCUCAAUUAGUUACCCCGUAUCAAGAGAAAUUUAACUGGUAUUUGCGGUAGAGUUAGCUGAAUUCAUGAAGCAAUGAUUUAGUUAUUAUUAAAGCUGAAACACAACAUGUUUUGACAAAUGCAUUCUAAGUAAAGCCUCCAACUAACAUAACCAAAAACAUAUUCUUUAGGUUUAUCAUCUAUUGAAGUAUUAUGUAGAAUUUUAAAUCAUACGAGGCAAAGCAAAUGAGCUCUAUGCACUUUCCAUGUAGCACAGAACAAAAAUAAUCAUGUAUAUUUUGGAUGCACCUAGAUAUACUCAUCAGCAAGGCUGAGGUUAUAGGGCACUCACCCACAUUGUCGAUAUCUCCGUCACUAUGAUCACCCACAUGAUGGACAAUUCCCUUCUUUCUUUUCUCUGUGGCUAUUGACACUUAAUGCUAUUACUGUGUGCAUAUAUGUACUGUGAUCCAUUCUCAUUCUUCAUAUCUUGAGAAACUAUCUCAAGAUACUCGCGUUUGUGUUUUGGAGAAAGCCUAUUCUAUGAUUAAUAUAUCGAGUAUGGAUGGCGCGAUAUCACCUCUCUUUAUGAUGAUGUUCUUACAGAAUAUAGGUUUUAUGGUAACACGUCUUAGCCAACACCUAUACUGAUGCUCAGACCAGAUGAUUAUAGUCUCUCCUUGCUAUUUUUCUUGAGGUGUGUACAUCUAUCUAGACAAUUUAAUUAAAAUAUAUAUUCCAUACAAACCAUCAAUACAUGUUAGUUGACUUUGAAACUAAUCAGUAAAAAGGUUGUCCCUUUCGCAUUUUAUGGACAUAAAGAUUUGGUGUUGACUGUCGAUCUUCAGUUAACACAUGACCUUACAACCGUAGGGAGUGGGAAAAAACUUAUAUGUUUGGCACAUUUGAAGAACAUAUCAUAGUAACGAAGUUUUGGUAAACAAUGUCCUAGAUCUCAACCAUAUAGAAAUACUAAAUAUAUGUUUAUUUGUAUAUGGAUUAAUUAUACAGACUUAUAAAACCUUGUGCAGGGCACAUAAAAGAAAUUUGAAAUAACUAUUAUUUCAAUAUUUGCUUUUUCAGUUGAGCAUAAUAGUUUAUAGCCUGAUAGGCUUGGACAUAAUUGUCUACAUGUACUGCUCAGUAGGCGACAUCCUUUGGGAAAUUGAGGAUGUCCUCGUGCAUUUUCUAAAUACAAUUGGGGCAUAUCUGAGGAAUGAAGGGAGGAAUAAACUCGUGGGAGAGUUCGGUGCAGAGGAAGAAGAACAAGAUAUUAUUUAUUUCUUGUGUACAGUCAAGCUUGUGCAUUGUCCCACUGUAAGUUAUUUCAACAAUAGUAGUAACUGUUAUCUCUGGCCAUCUGUUGCGACAUUUUCUUUAACCACCAAUGCAUAUUUAUUUUCUUGUUAAUAACUCUCAUAAUUGCCUGCUACUGUUUCAGUUCUGGGGCCAGGCAACCUUGAAUCCAACGUCCACCUGCAGGCUACAUCUCAGGUAGGAUAAAAAGAUUGCAGUGAACUUGAUGGGUAUAUCAUUAUUGUUGCCUCCUAAUUUGUGUGAUGAGCAAAUGUGUAGAUUGUGUGUAAAUCCGAGAUGCCUAAAACGGUUGGGAACUGAACUUGUUACCUCGGUUCACUUUAAUGGCAUGUUAAACUCGAUGCACUUUCUGGACUGUGACAUUUUUCCUGAAAUUUUGGAAGUGACUGCUAAUGUAGUCUAAAUAGAGUGACUGAGUAGUUACUUUCUCACAAGAGUUGACUUCCCGUUAUUGGAGUACUUGCUAAGAUGGAUUGGUGGUUUUUAUGUUAGAUGAAAAAUAUUACAUCAAUCUUUACGGCUUUUUAUGGGCAAGUGAUUCCGACUCCAUAAUAAGGAAUAAUAUAGCCCUAGUGCUGUGAUAAUGUUAAAACAUUUACCUCUUUUAUCGGUUCAUGUUAUGUAUUUGCUGCGAAAAAAUGGUCUUAUAUCAAAUAAUAGCCUAGAGCUUUUGGAGUGUUAUUACUUGUAUUUGUUGCUUGGAUGUAUAAACCUUCAACAGACUGUCAAUUUUGCUUUUAUAUAAUCUGUUUGUUUAAGUCUGCUGCAUAUUGGUCAAAAGCUCAUGCUAAUUGAUGAUGUUAGGUGAUGAUCUUGUAUCUAACAGUGAUUUCUGAAUGCAUGCUAAAGAAAACUCAUGAACAUCAUGGCGCCUUGUUGAUGGGGUGAUCAAUAGCUACUAUAUUGGGACCCUGCACUUAAAUUGUAGGUCUGAUUUUGUUUCGGAGUUCUCCUGCUACCCACAAGCUCAGAUAGUUCUUUUGUUUGUGCAGGGGAAAUUGCAAAGCAUAUUAUGAAUUGUUACAAGAAACUAUUUCUGCUGUUUUGGUGCAAGGAUGUUGCUUUUUAGUAUGCUUCCCGUAUCUUGGUAUCUUGGAAUAAUAAACAGAUAGAUGUCGUGUACCAAGAUUAUUCCUUGUUGUUAAGAGGGAUACAAAUAUUAUACAAGAAUUUUUCUGAUGACUCCUAAAGCAUAUUUGGAUAUAUAGCAAAGUAUAUUGUCGCUUCCCUGUUAGUAAAAUGAUUAUGUUAGAAAUUUGGUUGGCAGCCCCUACAUUUGGCUGAUUGCUAGCUGACUGGAUUACUCAUGUUUGCGGACUCUGGUAACUUAUGCCUACCAAGAACUACAUGAAUUUUGUGUCUUGCUGCAGUGAACAUUACCAAACUAAUUCUAAAGGUGUUAUAAUCAUGUUUUCUUUUGCAUUAUCAACUUUUAACUUUUGUCAUUUGUUGACACAUUCCUUUUGCAUUAUCAACUUUUAACUAUUGUCAUUUGUUAACAUGAUUAUUUAGCAUGUUCACUAUGCGAGUAGUAAUAAUAGGAGCUAUUUAUUUGCCAGAUAACUAACACUAUUCAUAAGGCAUAAGGGUUAGAAAAAGAACUGUAUUCUUUUUGUGAUGAUUUUCGUAUCACUACAAGAAAUGUGUUAAUACAUGACGGAUGCAAACUGUCACAGGUGUGCGCAAAACCGUCAAGGUAGCUCAGCCAUGACGGAUCCAAAAUUCAUCAUGUAUAUCGCGUCAUAAUUUGACCACCAUGCAGUCCAUGACGGAGCGCCAGAACCGUCAUGGAUCCAUGACGGUUCUUGACCGUCACAGCUUACUAUCAAAUAACGGCGUUAACCAUGCAUUCCACAUCAUCAUCUGACGUGGCGACCAACUUGGAAGCCCAUCUAGUAGUUUGCCCAAUUAGAAGUUUGGCCCACUUAAUUUCCACUCUAUCCAAGACCAUCGGCCCAUGUUUUCAUCAACCCAUAAGAAUAUUGGCCCAUUAAAUUUCAGGACGGUCCGAGGCCCACUAAUUUUGGUCGAGACAUUAGCUCGUCACUUUGUUUCUCUUGGUCCAUGUAAACUUUGAUGUAAUAAGAAUUUUUCUAAUUAUAUAUGCUCAUUGCCUUGUAAAUAAAUAUGGAAAUUGCAUAAACAAACCAAAUAAAUAACAUUUUUUUCAAUCAAAAGGAAGAAAUACACAACAAAAAACUUGAAAUUACGGAUGUGUUUCCAGAUCUGGCCUACUACUCUCCCUAAAGCUAUACAAUCUGCAGUCACCAUAUCAAGCGUCGGCCAGCGCUCGCGGGACGUCAAGAGGAGUUCAUCGCCAUGGCUUUUCUGGCCACAGAUCUGGCCGUGUCCGCUGGUGUCAUCGAAGGGAAACACCAUGUCCACCACCGUCUCGCGUCGACCCAUGCUCCUGUCCAGCUGACCUUCUCCACCGAUAGGGACAAUGGAAUCGUGGUUACCUGCGCAUCGAUGAACCAUACAGCACCUCGAAUAAUCAAAAGAAAAGGGAAGGGAGAAUCUGAAGCAACAGGGAGGGGAGAAUCUGAAUCGACAAAUGACUCAACCUGCAAAACUCGACGGACAAGCUAACGGCGAGGCCGGCAAAGGCCAUGAACGUAGGCCCGCACUGACGAAUGGGCUGCAGUGGCCCAGCAUGGAGCAGCCCCCGGCGGCGGCACGGCGCAGCCACCCGGCCAUCGCAGCACAACAUAACCGCCGCCAAGCCAGGGGACGGGGACGUGCGGCCAAAGCCACCGCCGCCAAGCACUCACAGGGGCCCAGCAUGGCAACCCCAGAAGGUGUGGAAGCAGCCUGAAUGUCACGGUGGCGAUGCUUUCCUCUGUGUGGCCUCCAAGCGCCUCGACCUGCACUCAAAUCGGGAGAACGGGAGGCUGAGAUGAGAGUUAACAUCGAAGAAGGAAGAAGGAAAUAAAGUCCGAGCGGCGUCCGAGCGCAUCAACCUCAACAUCCAUCGCCUGCUCAUAGAGAUGGAAGGAGGCAGAUCUGGACGGAGGAAGAGGAACGACAGGUGAAGUCAUUGCUCGGUGGAAGAGAAUAUAGCUGGCCAAACGGGCCGGGAUAGUUGGGCCGGCCCGGUAGCACGGCCGGCACGGCACGGCACGUGCUAAACGGGCCAGGCCCGGCACGCAGCACGCCAUGGGCCGUGCCUGGGCCUGAAAGGCGAGCACGCGGGCUGGCACGGCACGGCCCGAUUAACUUUUUUAUAUUUUUUUAUGUAUCCUAAUAUGGGCCAACAGGUAAAAAUAGGCUAAAAACGCUCAAUGCGCAAAAUAGGAGGUAGAUUAGUGGGCCUGGCGUGCUGGUGGGCCGGCCCGAUUAGCAUAGGGGUCGUGCCUGGGCUGCAGGCUGCAGCACGCGGGCUGGCACGGCACGGCCCGUAUAAUAAUCGUGCCUAGGCGGGCCGGGCCGUGCCAGGCACGAUUAGGAUGGGCCGUGCCGUGCCGGGCCGGGCCGGCCCGUUUGGCCAGCUAUAGAAGAGAAGACGGCGGCGUGUGGGGUCUAGGAUAAAGGAGUGGAGACAGAGAGACCGUGUGCUCGCCGUCGGAUCUGCGAGAACGGGCGGCUAGGAUGCAUGAUCCGCAUGAUGCUCGGAUCAACCAAUCAGGAUAGAGCAUUUGUAUCACGCCGGAUCCACGCCUCCUCGGCUGGGAAACCCAAGUGGGCCGGCCAGGAAUUCUGAACAUUUUUAGUUUUGUGUUUUCUUUUUCCCUUUUCCCUUAUUUUCUAUACUCCCUUUUUCUUACUGAAUCAAUAACUCCUGAAAGUCAGAUUUUGAGAAUCUCGCCCUGAACGCCUUGUCACCACUGGUCCAGGCGCAUGCAACUUGGCGCAAGAAUAUCAGAGAUGUCACACAUUUUUCGUUCGGAAAAGAAACGAUACAUCAAGAGCACACACGUAUCCCCUUUGCCCACCACACACUCCCCCUCCCCCCUCGCUUCGUAUUUUUCUCUCCGGUGUCCACGACGACGUGUACCGUCUCGGAGCAAGGGACGGAGGCCAAAGCCCAGAGNNNNNNNNNNNNNNNNNNNNNNNNNNNNNNNNNNNNNNNNNNNNNNNNNNNNNNNNNNNNNNNNNNNNNNNNNNNNNNNNNNNNNNNNNNNNNNNNNNNNNNNNNNNNNNNNNNNNNNNNNNNNNNNNNNNNNNNNNNNNNNNNNNNNNNNNNNNNNNNNNNNNNNNNNNNNNNNNNNNNNNNNNNNNNNNNNNNNNNNNNNNNNNNNNNNNNNNNNNNNNNNNNNNNNNNNNNNNNNNNNNNNNNNNNNNNNNNNNNNNNNNNNNNNNNNNNNNNNNNNNNNNNNNNNNNNNNNNNNNNNNNNNNNNNNNNNNNNNNNNNNNNNNNNNNNNNNNNNNNNNNNNNNNNNNNNNNNNNNNNNNNNNNNNNNNNNNNNNNNNNNNNNNNNNNNNNNNNNNGUUUCACGGCGGUGGUGGCUGAGAGGAGAUGCGGUGAAGGGACUGCACAACACCGGAGCUUUGCGAGGUCCUACGUUGCCACUGGUGGUGGUGGUGGCAGGGUAUGUGGUUUGUUUGGAGCUCAUGUCAAGUUACAGAUAAAAAUGAGCCCCCCUCCCCCCAAAUGGCAAAUUUGUUUGCAGUGAUGGCAAGUUCACAUGGAGCCAUACUACAAAUUUUCCAUAUUUUUUAUUGAGGAAGAACAAUAUAUUGCCAUGGAAAAUUCAUACAUGGUUUCUUGACAUGUGUGGUAGAUGUGCUGGCAAGUUUUAAACCAAUAUUUGCCAUGGUUAAUUCAGUAUGUAGUUUUUGAUUUGGCGGUAGAGAUGUCAAGGCAAUUUUGCCUCCUCUAGUAUGCGGCGAUCGUCGCCCAAUUUUGGACGUAAGAACUCUCGAGGCCCAAUUUUCCAGCAAUUUUUAUCAGCUUCGCAACGUGGCUCUCAUUACACGCACGAGCUUUGCAACGUGGCCCGUGAAGUGGAGGUUGCUUUUGCAACACAUGUGGUGUUGCAUACCAAUCCCAUGACUAUGCAGCACGUGCCCGCGCCCCGGCUCGUUGCCUUGUCACUGUGUCGCGUUGGGACCCUCCCUAGCCACCACGCAUCAUCCAUCGCGACCUUGUCGCCGUCCGCCGCAUUGAUUCGGCCGGGGACGGAGAGAUCUACCGGCCCAGCCUAUCCACUGCCACGGUCAUCGGUGCCCCACCAAUGACAUGUGAACAACCACAACAAUCCCGGAGUCAACGACGACCACGUUUCUACACCACCAUCUCCGUUGAAAUUUUUUCUACAACAUCAUCUGUGUUGGAAAGGGUUAUGGAGCACUGCCUUUGUUGCAAUGGUGAGGGAGGGCAGGGCCACUAUAUUGAGCCAGAUCUAAUGGCUGCCGAGGCGGCAGAAAAGAUUUGCCGGCCGACGUGUAGUAUGUCCCACUAUUCUUUUCUGGAUUCGUUUUUCUGUUUUUUCCAGUUUUCUUAGAACUUUGUUUGGCAUUAUCUGAACUUUUUUUAAUAACACACGAAUUUUUCUUGUCGUGUAAUUAUAUAUUUUAAAAUGUAUGAACUUUAUAAAAAUACAUUCACAUUUCCUAUUAUAUUUGAAAUAAAAAAAUAAAAAAAGUUCAUGUCUACCUCGAAUUUGUUCAGCAUGUUUUUGGAAAAUGUUUCAUCGGUAUUAAAAAAUUGUCAACAUGUUUUUGAAAAAUGUUUGUCAUGCUUCAAAAAAUAGAAAACGUGUAUUUUAAAAAUAUUCAGUGUGUUUUAGAAAAUGUUCAACGUGUAUUAAAAAAAUAUUAUGUACAAUUAGUCUUACAUGUGUAUAGACUACAAACGUGUGUAACAUUUUUAAUACAUUUCCUAUGAUUAUUAUUAUUAAACAAUAAUUUUUAAUACAGGUUGAACAAUAUACAAUAAUUGUGUGCUUUUGGUCCUGAAUUAAGAUACGAAAUUUACAAAAUAAUAUUUAAUACAUGUUGAACUGUUUAAAUACAUGUAAAUUUUAGAAGAAGUUCACGUUCAUCCACAUAUGAUAAUAUUGUAUACACCGUUUUAUUAGAAUAAUAACAGUUGAGAUUUAAAGGUUCUUACGUAACAUCGUAAUAUAUAUGUGCCAGUAGUAUUGAACCGUCAUGUUGUCACGUUAUAUAUGAACAUAGGAGGCUGCAAAUAAUCAUGACGUACACACAUACCUUAAAAAAACAUGACGUACACACAUGUACACAAAUAAAAGCUCUAGGAAAAAAAAGUAGGAUGACGUAUGAAUUAGAAACGGAGACCUAGGGGAGGUAGAUCUAUUUAGUAUGAAAAAAUUCCAUACACACAUAGGACGUGAAGGCAGACUUCAACUUGGACACAUACAAGUAUUGCACAAGAAAGCACGCGUGAAGGAUAUUCAUUGGAAAAGAACCUGUACGUAAAUCUACCAACGAAAAGAAGGCAAUAAAUGUCUCCACAAUUAUUUCACUAAAAAUGUCUCCAUGACUUGGAUUUAUCUCCUUAUGCAAAACGAGAUCGAGUGACUACAAAAUUGGAAGUAAAAUAAAAUCAGCUAGAAGUUUCCUAAUCUCUUCACGGCUCUUUCUCUAAAAAGAAUUCUCCACGUACGACUCAGAUUUAUCUCUUUAUUAUAAGGAAAAAAAGAUUGACUGUCAAACGGUUGGAAAGAAAGAAAAAAUACGGCUAGAGGAUUUCCUAAUAUGAUUCGGAAAUUAAAUAAGGAAACACAUUUUUUUGCCGAUCUAUCUCCUUGUAGGGAAAAAAGAUUGAUUAUGAAUUUGAAAAAAAACGGCUAGAGAGUUUCCUAAUAUGAUUCGGAAAUUAAAUAAGGAAACGAAUAUUUCGGAUCUACUACCUCCGUCCCAAAAUAAGGAAACGAAUAUUUCGGAUCUAGUGUAGUGUUAAAAACGUAACUAGUGUAGUGUUAAAAACGUAGAAACGUUUUUAACACUACACUAGUGUUAAAAACGUUCUUAUAUUUUGGGACGGAGGGAGUACGUAUCUCCUUAUAGGAAAAAAAAGAUUGAUUAUGAAUUUGAAAAAGAAACUUAGGCUAGAGACUUGCGUACUACUAUGAAUAUUGGAAAUUAAUAAUUAAUUAAAUAAAGAAAUGAGUAUUGGCUAUUAUGCACGUUCGAUAGACUUCACACAAGACCAUCGAUCUCCGUGGAGACUAGGAGCAAAGGGCACAUUGGCUGGCCAGCUACGCAGAAAUAUAGUUGUUACUAAUGUUAACUGGACCAUUUCCUCAAAAAAGAAAAAGCUUAACUAGGCCAUGAAAGCACGUACAUGUGAGAGAGAAAACACUAGAUUAUCUAAUCACUGGCUAGACUUAGACUCACAUUAUACACCUGAGAUCAUCAUCGUUGGGCCAGAAUUUUGAGUGCCCUGCUGCACCUGUUGAUCAUGCUAGAGUAGAUCACCCAGAAACAUUGCAAUGCUAUUCGCUAAGGUAUUAAAAAAUAUUACGCACAAUUAAUCAUACAAGUGUAUAGACUACAAACAUGUGUAACAUUUUUAAUACAUUUCCUAAUAUUAUUAUUAUUAAACAAUAGUUUUAAAUACAGGUUGAACAAUAUACAAUAAUUGUGUGCUUUUGGUCCUGAAUUAAGAUACAAAAUUUAAAAAAUAAUUUUUAAUACAUGUUGAACUAUGUAAGUCCAUUUAAAUUUUAGAAAACGUUCAUGUCUACCUCUUCAAGGUACACAAUAAUGAAAAUAGAAUAGAGAUUUAAAAUACAAAAUAAUUGUAUACUACUACUUAUCGUAACUUUUUUAUGUGGGAAAAACUAAAUGCAAACUUGGACAAAAUAAAAAAGAAAACGAGUAGAAACUACUACAUGGUUGGCGUACAGGACCAGCCAAAUUAUAUGCGGUGCUAUAGGCGAGCGAUUUGCUCAAAAAAAAAGAGGCGAGCGAUACAUGGUAUAGUCUAUAUACGUUUCUAGCCCAUAGGUGGAUAAACACGGUUUGACCAGGUGGCUAGCUUGUUUGGUUUCAUAGCUGGAGGUCUUAGGUUCAAAACCCUUUGCUCACAAUUUAUCCUAGUCAGGACCUACAUGUUUCUUUUUGUUAUUUCUCUCUCUCUCUCUCUCAUACUAACAUGCGGGACCCACACUCUACUGCAAGCUGAUGUUAUUUCUCUCUCUCUCAUACUAACAUGCGGGACCCACACUCUACUGCAAGCUGACAUAGCAACAGUCUAGGCACCUCACGUAGCUUGGGACGUAGUGAGGACUGACAUGUGGGCCAAAGAAGUAAAAACGCACAACACAUUAGCACGAGCCAUCCAUGACGGUCCAGAUGAUGUAUAAGGGAAAUUUUUUGGUCCCGCUACUCAUUUCAUGACGGUUUUUGUGACGGUUCCUUUAUGUCUGUCAUAACGGGGGCUAUUGUUUUAGGAUCCAUUCUCAUCUUCCGGAUAUGUGACGAUUUCAGUGACGAACUCCGUAAACUGUCAUCGAUGGCACCCUAUAUGUGACGGAUUGUAGGAACGUCACCUGAAAUCCGUCAUGGAUUAACAGGUUUCUUGUAGUGUAUGGCACACUAUGGAUUCUUUGUAUAACACAUACUGUCGAUCAACAUGUGUUUACAACGUAGGGAGGAGCCGGGCGACAAGGCAGUCAGACCAAACUCUCUAUCCAUAUAUAUAGGUAGUCUGAUGUUAUGCCAUAGCCGAACCAUAUAUGUUUCGUGUACUGCUCUAUCAAUCUGGUCUUUUGGUAUAUUAGACUCUAUCCUUUGUAAUGAACUUAUUGUCAUGGGCGAUCAUUAUGACUGGAUCGUAUGGUAUGAAUCGGGUCUUUAUGCUUUGUGAUGAAAUAUCAUAUUAUCCUGUUCACCAGUUUGGUUUGGUUUUGAGCUAAAACGUAUAAAAAUACAUGGCUUACAACAAUGGAUAUAUGUGAUGAUAUAUUGAGUGAUUAAGCAUAAUUUUAGACUUUCGGUGCUGGACCAAUGGGAUGCAUGGGGUAAUUGAAUGUUUCUUCUUCACUUUAUUAUUAUCGGUUGGGAUCAGCACUCUCGCGCGAUCUAGUUAUGAUGAUGCUGCCUAUACAAAGCAAACCUACGUGGCUAUAAAGUGGAGCACCAUGCGAACAAGAAACUGGCGCUUGAGGACAAACACGAGUGGAACUGAUGUCUGAUGCAACACGGCGCUGCUGUACGCGUCAGGGCGGACAGCAACGACGUGUAACAGAUGGGAUGUCGGAUUGCACGCAAAACAAAGGAAUCCAAUGCAAUUUUGAUAGGUUUUUUUUCAGAUUAUGGACGAGCUUGCGGCGGAAACUAUGGUGGAGAAAAAAAAGUUUGAUCUAGUAGACAAAAUUUUCUCGUACAAAUCUAAACCAGCACUAUUUGUAGGAUGAUGCAACCAAAAAUUCAACUACGCAAGUACUAGAUGCAAAAAUUGCUAAAGGCUAAAAAGAUAGAUGCAAAGGAUGAACUAAUCUUUCUUUCUUUUUUGGCUUUUUUUGGGUUAUAGGACAUGAAAAAUAAACUAAUCUAACAAAACUGUAAAUCUCUCACCGAUGAAACUGAAAACUGACACCACUUAUGUGACGGCGGUCCGAUGUUUCGAUGAGAGUGAGGAUAACUAUCAAUUUGGUGGAUUCUGAUCUUGACGAUCCGGCUAUACAAUACCCGAUGAUAUGCCUCGACAAUCGCUAAACCAAUCUCCGAUGGUUAUUGACCUUGCCGUAGGCACGGUCAACCUGAACGACGAGGUUUGAGUUCCUGCAAGCAACUAAAGAGAAGAACAAAGGUGAAUUGCAAUCUGAAAUUGCGAAUGAAAAAUUAAGCACAUGAACUAGAUCAAAAGUUGGGGUUCCACUUUGGAUCUGAUAAGGCGGUAGUCCUACACGUCUCAUAGAUGCGAAAUUGUAGCAUGGCUAAACAAUACAAUAAAACCCACGUAAACCCUAGAAUAUGAUGACUAUUUAUUAAAGGCCGGCGUGGAGAACGCUUCAUCUAUUUUCUUGGAAGUCAAGACGGGCCUGCUAAUUGGCCGGACCCACACGCGAUCUGAUUUGAAAAUAAACUUCUCAUAUCAAUCUGGUGGCAAACUGCCUCGUCGGUACUAUAGGCCCAGAUGCGCAACACACAAGGCCAUGCAUGGGCGCAAAACCUAUCCGGCGCCCUCAGCGUCCGAUACCGUGUUAACGGUAAAGGGCGCAGAACGUCGUGAGAUACUUCGGUCCAUAUCCGGUGUGGGCGUUAGAGCAUUGAGAUAAGUACCAUGAUUCAAACCGGCAAUCGACUGGUUCAACACACACCACCUAACCAAUAGGCCACCUGCUGUUGACGUGGUUAGUUAUAGCUUUUCCUUCUUUUCUUCUUUGUACCUUCUUUUUUGUUUUUUUGUUGGAAUGAUUUUGUUAGUUUUUAUUAUUUUCCUUCUUAAUUUUUUUCAAUAAUACCAACAUUUUUCGUUUCAAUUUCGUGAAUUUUUUAAAAUUCGAUAUUUUUUUUCAAAAUUCAAUGAACUUAUUUGAAAAAAGAUGAACUUUUUACAAAUUGGAUGAACUUUUUUCAAAUUUGAUGAACCUUUUUUCAAUCUCGAUAUUUGUUUUCAAAUUUGCCAACUUUUUUGAAAAUUCAUGUACAAUUAUGAAUUCAUGAAUUUUUUGAUUUUUUUUAAUUUUGCAAAUUUUCCCUUUUUAGUUUUUUUAAACAGCAAUGGUUUUUUCGACAAGUGCUUGCAAGAGAAAAAAGGCUAGCAAAGGAGCGAGCAGCGACCGAUCGAGCCAGCAGCAGCGGUCGAGCGAGCAGUCGAGCGAUUAGCGAUCGAGCGAGCAGCGAUCGAGCGAGCCAGCAGCAGCGGCCGAGCGAGCAGUUGAGCGAUUAGCGAUCGAGCGAACACAUGCAUGUUGAUUCGAUAAUGCUCAAGUGUAAAUCUUCUGUAUUAAACUUCGCAUCUUCACCCGAGGUUUGUGCAUGUCUUCUUUAAUCCUGCAUAUAAAAUAUUGUGUUGUAUUUUUGUUUCGGAUAACAAAAUAAUAAUUCAUAUAAUUUCUAUUAGAAUUCAUCUGAUAAUUAUCUUUAAGCGUAAUAAUUGUUGUUAUAUCCGUACGGGCCAUGUUUAUAUCAGGUCGUUAAUCUUCUUCUUCUUGUCCGCAAGCCACUUCUUCACAUGCUCAUCCAAGAUGGUUUCGUCUGCCAACAUGAUCAUCGCAUCCACCACGUCCUGUGAGAGUUGCAAUCUCUCCUUCUCAAGCUCUAUGUAGCCAAAUGUCUUGGCCUUCUCGAGUUCCCAUUUGAUCGCCACCCCUUGGUGGUCCACCAUGUACGAAACUCCUUGCACCGCCGCCGCCUCCCUCUCUCGCUGCAGGCGUUGCCGCAACUACCGGGCGGCGUCCUCCGCCUUGCAAGUCGGAGCCGACGAAGGGUCGCCGACGGACAAGGUGGACUGCGUCUUCGUCGCGGUGGUGGAUCGGGACCGGUGGUGAGGAUUGGGAGCAAGGGUGGAGGACGGCGAGGGUUUGGGUGCGGCAAAAGUUGGAGGGCGGCGGGAGGAGGAGAAAGGGUUUGGUGCAUUUGGCACAAUUUUCGAUGGGGUCGGGCUGACGGGUCCGACGUGGCGGGCGCGCCCGGGCGCCCCAUAUUUGGGCUGGAUAUGAGGGGUGUCAGUCAGCCCAGGCGUUCGAGGCCCGUUUAAGGAGCCCGUCUGGAUCGAAAAAUCGUGACCGGGUGGCCCACCCGGGUGUAUGAGCCAGGCUUGAGGUGCCCGACUGUAGAUGCUCUAAUCAUCUAGAUCCGACGCUCAAAGGCUCCACCCUUCCCCACGGCUUGGGUUCGGGCGCCUCCCCAAAACUUCGUUGGGAUCCGCCACAACCGGCAACGGCGAGGCCAGAGGUGGCCGGAUCCGGCACAGGUUGGUCUCUCCCCUCCUUCUUCGCCCACCCUCUCCUCCUUACCUCACGCCACUUGUCUUCCCUUUUUCGCAGGUCGCCAUGGCGCGGACGGCGAUGACGGCAGGAGGGGCACACACAUCCGUGGAAUGGGACGCCGCCAUGGAGAUGGAGAUCGUUCGUCACACCACGCAGAGGCCCCAUGGAGCCUCCCUCCUUCGGUGACUUCUUCUCAGGCCCCACCCACUACCUCUGCCCUCCCCCCUCCCCUACUUUGAGUUGCACCAUGCUUUGUUUCAGAUUCAUCCACCCAUGGAUGAUACAUGGCAAGUUAGGGGUAGUUGCAGUUUGAGGUUAAUCCCUUGAUUGGCUGCUAUUUAGGGUUGAUUAGAUUAGUUAGCUCAGUUGGCUGCUAGACUUUAGGAGUGCAUACAUGGGUAUGACGUGCUCUGCACAUUUAGGAUUGAAGUAUUGUGCUGCAGCACUCAGUGACGUUAAUUUAGGGCAUUUCAGUGUCAGUUUCACUAUAUUUCGGGGGACAUUUAACAGUGCAAUUUCAUGGUUAUUACAGUGUAAUUUCAAGGUUCUUGCACUGUAAGUUCAGAGAAUUACAAUGUUAGUUUAUGUGAAUUCCCGUGCAUUUUACUGUGUAAUUUAAGUGCAAUGGAAAUUAUAGUGUAAAUUCAGUGUAAUUUACUAUGUAAAUUUACGGAAAUUACACUGUAAUUCGUGUGCAACUUUUAGUGUAAUUUACACUGUAAUUUCAACGGGUUUACAGUAGAGUAAUUUAAUUGUAAUUACAGUGUGCACUUUAGAGCAAUCAUACUAUAUAUUUAGUGAAUUUAAAGUAUCACUCCAUACCUUUCCGGUUUGUCUUUUUUCUCUACAAGUUACUGCUAUACUGUUGAUUGAUUCUACCCUUGCGUAAGAAACUUUGAUGAGCACAUAAUUUUCUACUAUGUAAUUUGAGCAGCUUGGUAACCGUAAUUUUCAGUUUCCUUUGACCCUAGGCCCUUGUGCUUUAGAAUUGCUAUUUUUUGUCAGUGUACAUGCUAGAUCAUGUGGUUUAUGAUACUUCUCUGGUCCUUAUAAACAAAGUGACAUGUUUGUGCUCUGGAAUAGAAAGAAUAUUUCAGUGUCUCUCUUUAGGCCUUUUGUCGAAUUGUUAUGUGGUCCAGCGCAGCCUUACAAAACCGGGUUCUAUGCAGUUCAUGUACAGUGCAAAACUCAUUGUUGCAGGUCAGGCCUGUUGCAUGUUUUGGGUCAUUGACAUGCAGGAAAGAAGGAAAAAGGACAUAGAAGUAUCAUUUUGUUAUUGGUCAAGAAAUUUGAAUAAUGUCCAACUGAUUUCAGUUGAAUGACAAAUAGACAAUCCCUUGUUUAAUCAGUAGAUAUACACCAUUAACUCGAAUAGCAAAGAAAUACUAGUCCACUUAUAAUCGAUGAUUGCGCAUGAUGUAUCCAUCCAUUCUAUCGGAGAGGCUGUGUUUUUUUCUUCUUCUUGUGCUAAGGUUGAUAGCAUCACAUAUCUUAUGCUUUUGUUUCUCAAGUAGAGCCUUGAGAUAGAUGUGUCUGCAACCGUCCUCGAAUGGUUGUGCAAUAAUAAUGGUCCUAGCUAAUUACUAGUAUGCACUGCUUAUAAAACAACUUGCUGCUCGUUUCACUUUGAGUAUGUUGUUGCUGCUAAAGUAGCAACAACAACAGCCAUGCUUUGGUUCCCCAAAAUUCAGAUGGCACUGGCAUCUCUACAUACACACACAUAUGAAUAUGCACCUCGGUUUGGUUCAGUUUGCAUGUGUACCGUUGCUUUAACUUUGACUGAAACUAUCUUGGUGGCACUUGCAUCAAUGUUGUGCUCUGCCCUUGUAUAUGUCCUUGGAGAAGAUGACCAUUGGACUGUAGGGGACGAACAACCUUGUCCUGCUCGAGGAGGAGGAGGAUGGCCACCCGAGCUCGAGGACGACACGGCAACAGGUAGCACUCACCUCCCUACCAAGGUGAAGGUCCGAUCUGCCUAUUUAGAUGGUCUGCUCUUGUCUUGUGAUCUGAGGGGAGAAGAAAGCCAUUGGCCUCAAUUAUAUUUGCAUGUGAGGGGAGCGAUCCUUUUGGUAGAUGCAGAGUAUAGAUUACAUAUUCCACAAAACUCACCACACGAGUAUACUACCUAUAUCCACAAAAUUCACCACACGAGCAUACUACCUAUGUCCAAAUGUGGGUGUGAUACUUUCGACACGAAACAUGAAUAUCAGGUUGGGAGUUUGGAGUUUAAUCAAAUAACGCAGCAAGGCGAUCAUCGGUAAGGAUGCACCUUUGAGGCGUCAAGGAGAGCUUCUCAAAGGCAGUACACAUGGCUUAUUACAGCUUGUAUGUGAGUACGCAGAUGUGGCGUCUAUGGAUAGAGGGUUACGGGCGCAACGCAAGUGGCAGUAGGGGAUACACAACCUGAUUUGAUUUGGUCAAUCACGGGAAAUGGGAGAAGGCCUAGGGUGCAAAGUUUGGAUCGGUGGGUUGGUAGCGUUAGGCAUAAUAGAGAUCAAACCUUUUUCAUAGGCAUAUGUAGGUUAUUUCCUUGAAGCAUUUUAUCAAAAUGGUGUAGGUGGGUAAUAUCUCUCAACUUAAAUGUGAAGGGGAGAUAUUAUUUCCUUGUAGAGGCCGAGGAAUACAUGGCGUACCGCUACAUAUGCAACCAUGAUUUUUUGUGGAUGGUUACGAGAGAACCUGAAAGAUACCAUGGACCGAAGCAUGGGCACAUGAAGUUCCAACACCGAAGGGUAAGGAGACGGGCCCGCGUCAUUUACGUCGGGAAUAUGCGACCUUGAUUCUUUGUGGAUGGUGAUGCCAAGACUAGGAUAAGGUGGAUUCGGACACAUGAGCAGAUGAAGUGCCUGACACGAAGUAGGUUAAGGAGCUGGACCCAAGUCAUCUACACCGCAAAUUGGUCGAAGGUGUGCUGCGAAUGAUAGAUGUACUUGAGGGGGGAGAAAGCCCGUGAAAAGAACAUACGGUUGCUCGAUGAUGACACAUGUCUUGAGAGGAUGGAGAGAACCCUAGAUAUGGUUAAGGCACGCCACGAGAACAUCACCCCAGUCGCGAGAUUCUCAGUGGUGUGCGGCAACCGAAGCCAAAAGGGCACCCCCGCAAGACCUUGAAACGCCAGAGCGGUGGGCGCACAAGCAAUGGUGAGGAAAAUCACAUAAGGUACCAAGCAAGGCCAUCCUGACCAGGGCUCCAUUGCCAAGCUUAUGUCCACCACUACGAUUCAGACAAACUUUCAAUUGGCGUCUCUGUCUUCUCAAGAUUUCCAUGGUCCCAUCAGGAUGUAUAUGUGUACUUUGUUUAUUUCGAAAAUUAAUAUAUCACCAAAGAAAUUGUAGUACUUGUCAUUCUUUUAAUUACUUAGUAGUUUGCAUGAUAGACUCAAUCUUAUAUUUACUAAUUAGAGGCACCAAAUAAGCGACCACGUUAAUCCUCAAAAACUAAGAAUAUUAUCCAUCCGAUCUCCAUAUUAAGUAUCUGUAGCCGUCCAUUGGACAACUCAAGGGUCCUGGGUUACUAUCCCACGUCAUGCUCCAUGUAAUGUGAAAAAAAAUCAUCUCCUUGGCCAAAUCCAUCCCACGUCAUGCUCCAUGUAAUGUGAAAAAAAUCAUCUCCCUGGCCAAAUUCUUCCUCCCCCGAUCUAUCAUGUGAGGCACUUGCGCAUCAUCCACAAAUCCCUAGCGCAAAUCCAUCCCACGUCAUGCUCCAUGUAAUGUGAAAAAAAUCAUCUCCCUGGCCAAAUUCUUCCUCCCCCGAUCUAUCAUGUGAGGCACUUGCGCAUCAUCCACAAAUCCCUAGCGCUGCUCUUCCAGGUCGUCCUCCUCCUUCCUAUCUUUUGCUGUCUUAAUGCAAAACGAUUCCGUGAGAUCCUUGUGAUCCUCUUCAUCUUCACGUAGAAAUCUGAACUCUCCCAACCACGCUGCAGAUCUGUGGUCCAUCUUGGACAGAGAGAAGGCCCUUUCAAUCUCCACAGAUGCCAUGCCCCAACCAAACCGCAACCCAUGAUAAACGAUGUUGUUGAGAAGGAGGCGCUACCUAAGUCUGAUCGGACAUAUGCCAUUGUUGGGGAAGCUACAAGUCGAAGAACUAUGGUAGACUGAUUGUAGGUAAUUAAGGAGCUAGCAACGAUCCAGUAGGUUUUUGUUAUUAGGAAUUUUUAUGUAGUGCGACUUGAUCUCAAAGAACAAGUACACCAUUAGAGUUCGUUUUGGAGGAUUUUGAUGAUGUGCGCUUAGUUACAGACUUAUCUAAAUACGUAUAACUAGGAUGGACAAUAUUUGUAGGAGCCAUACAAUCCAAUUAGGGGAUUCAGUUUGUCAAAGAUGUUUCCACAUAUCCCUAGCGCUGCUCUUCUAGGUUGCCCCCUGCUUCCUAUCUACGGUCUUCAAGUAAAGCGAUUUAAUGAGUCUCUUGCUGCAGAAAUUUCAACUGCCACAAGAAGGCUGCAGACCUGCGGUUCAUCUUGGCUGAGGUGUCAUACAAUCCAGUUAAGGGAUUCCAUUCAUUGAAGAUGUGGUUGUACUUUCGCACAACAAACUCAAGCACAUCUUCUUAUGUUCUUAGAAACUGGAUGAGUUGUUUUGGACUACUCCUCUAUGCUUCUUAUUGGGAAAAACUACAGGUUCGAUUUGGAUCUGUACUUACAAUUUUAUGCUUCUGUAAUUAUCCUAUAGGCCAGGUCCAUCAUAGAAGCACAAACAAUACUCUAUUCUGGUGAUUUUUAUUUAUCUAUAGUGUCGUCUGCAAGCCUAUUUAUAUGUUAUUUGCAGACAUGGAAUGUUUAUGCGUUCAAGAAGUCAAGAAGAUGACACCUUAGCAGUAUCUAUUUGAAGAAAGACGGGAGAUCUAAAAAGAUGCUCAAGUUAACAUCAUGAUCCGUUCACCUCCUCAACACUGUUAAGAAGUAGCUCUGUGUGGAAAAUAAAAAUGCCAUGUUUUUUCAUCUUCAUGUCUUCUUAUUUCUGUAUAUAUUAUGCAGCAAAUGCUAACUGUUACUGUUACUUCCGUCUCUAACAAACCAAAUCAGUGGUUGGUACUUUGUUUCUCAAGUAAAAAAAAUAGGAUUUGUGUCACGAUCCAGGAGAUAAAUUUAGGAGGUUUCCACUGCCUCAGGCAAUGUCAUAUGGUAUAGGUCAUUAGGCCAAGUAAAAAAAAUCUACAAGAACAUUAAUUGAAAAUAGAUCGCCGCAUUGAAUCGAAAGAGAAGACAAACUAGCAGGUAUGUAAUAUUUAUUUUGCUUUUUGUUGUGUUGUUUUUGUUCUGACUACAGAACUUGAAUUAGAUACAAGUUUCAAAUGAAUAGUGCCCUUCUAAAAUUUAUGCUUCGUUAUGUAUGAUGCAGGAUUCAACCGACCCAGUUAUAUGGCGUUCUGAACAUGGGUGUCCCCACUAUAUUGACUUCUUGAUAUGCUUCUAUUACAUUCUCUAAAAAAGACAAAAAACAAAAACCUUCCCCCAAUCUAGCGGCGACGAUCGAGUUCCAACCGGCCGAUGGAUAGCCAGGACAUCUCCCUGUUGUCUAGAUUGUGUGCCACAGUCAGUUUAAUUUGCUUUGUAUCCAACAUGAACUUCAUGCAACCAUCAACUGCAGUGCUGCCUGGGCUGAUGGAGAACCAUGGCAUCAGUGUUGUGUGGAUUGUGUGCCACGCCAACUAAAGUUUGCUUCAUCUCUAACACGUAGCUGAUGCAACCAUGAACUGUAGGGUUGCCUGAGAUCUGUACUCGGCUCCUUCUCAGGUAUAAACGUACUUCUUUGGUGUUUUAUGGUAAGUGCCUGCUCGCAGCUUUUCAAUCAGAUGGGUAAGAGUGUUUCUCCUUCUCAGGUACAAACGUAGUCCUUUGAUGUUUGACGGUUUUGAUCUUGGGGACCCCCAUCCAUUGGUCAUCAAUAACCUGUUGCCCCUGUCUCAAGGAGAAAAAGGCAUGGUUGUGGCAAUCAUGGGCUGCAGUGAGGCAUCUACACAAUGAGAGAAAAAAUUCUGAUCAAACAGUACAACAGGAAGUUUGGGCGAAAAUCAGCUCAAGUUCCAAGUAUCUGCUCCUUUUCGUUUUAGCCAUACUUUGCUCUACAUGUGCAACUUUUGUGGGCUGCACGGUGUGUCACUUUGUGUGAGAAACAACCUGACAUGAUUUAGUACAUUCUCCCGCCCUAUUAACAAGAGUGCUUAGUUAAUAGUUUGCAAGACAAUUGUUUCUUUAAUCAUUUGUUAGUUGUAGCCAACAAAUAAUGACUUACCAGAAAAAUAAGAUUACGCAAGAUUAUAAUUCGCUACUCAGGAUUUGAAAUCCUUUAUAAUUUCAACCACGCCCACUUUAGGCAUUAAUGAUGUUAGAGAAGAAUGAGUAUCACAUAUUAGGUACCACAACAGAAAUGAGUAUCACAUAUUAGGUACCACAACAGAAAUGAGUAUCACAUAUUAGGUAUCUCAUGAGGUACAUUUUUUUAAUCUAAAUUUGUUUAAGUAUUGAAAUAGUGCAAAUCUACUACAAUGUGAAGAUGUCAGCAUAUCAGAACUUCGCAAUCAAGAAAAGAAAUCAUGUUAUGGGAGCAUCUGCUUCUCGCAUUAGUUUUUCUGUUGUUAAUUUCUGUAAUUUUCCAAUACUUUGCUACUAAGGGUUUUAGGAGCAUGAAUAUUGCAAUGAUAUUCCUUUCAGGUGUAGGAAGGUAGUUGCGAUGUGCAGAAUACGUGGUGGGUGAGAUUGAUCAAUCAUGCAUGUGUUAACUUAUAAAAAACAUAACUUAGAGAGAGCUAAAUUUUGGUCGAAAACAGGAUUCCGACGGGGGUUUUAGAGACAUUUCGUUCGUGGUAUUUCAUUCUGCUUUUAGGUUGAUGAAAGCGUGCACCUAACUUUUAGUAUAUUCUAAUAAUUUUGGACCUAAUAAUCAUAACAAAUGUGCAGUAGCAUGAUAAUGAUUUGACUUAUCCAAGUCCUUCAAGUUGAAGAGAAGUAUAUACAUUCCUCAUAUGUAAUAACCAAUCAUGAUUCCAUUUUACCUUCUUAGGUAAUAUAUGUCUAACUAGGUUAUUACAUAUAUUCCCUAAAUUUUAUUCCUUCCAUAAUAAUCAAUCUAACUAGGUUCUAAUUCCCAUGACCUCUAAAUGUGAUGCUCAUUUUUCUCUACUGGGUAUGUGGUUCCUUCUAAGCGUUUCUUCAAAAUCCAUAUUAUAAUUCCAAUUGUAUUGUCUCAUAGUGUCAAUCAUAUUUCUAUAUAUGGCGUAUAAUGAUUAGUUGGGACAUAUUGAAGAUUCCAGUCCAAGUUCUAAUAUAUUUCGAACUCAUAGUAUAGUAUAGAGUAUUGUACAUUCGUGUUUCGAAAAUCACUAGACCGUGCGGGCGCACGGGUUGAUGACUAGUUCAUUUAACUAGGCAAGUAGUUACACUGCAUUUCGUUCGUGCGGCUAAUUAACCUUCUCAUCUUUAGCAUAUGGGAUCAAUUGGACAAAUAUCUCCUUAACUCCCGACUCUUGGUGUCGAUGUGCAUGUCACACAUGUGAUGCAUGAAACAUGCUCACCGCACUUCACUCGCUCACAAGUAUUGUCAAGCUUCUAUGUAUCAUAGGACGAGAUAGGACAGCAUGGGGCUGUCCACACGAGGCACAUGCACAGUCUACGGCUUAGGGUUGGUGGAUCCGCGCCAAACUAGUUGCCGGCAUUAAGGGUAGAUAUCGUGUGCUCUCCUUCCAUCUCUACGUACGCAUGAGGGCCUAUAGCAUGCAUGCAAUGCAAUGCAAUAUACUCCCUCCAUUCCUAAAUAUAAGUUUUUUUAGAGAUUUCACUAUAGACUACAUACGGAUGCAUAUAUACAUAUUUUAGAGUGUAGAUUCACUCAUUUUGCUUCGUAUGUAGUCUCUUAUUGCAAUCUCUAACAAGACUUACAUUUCGGAACGGAGGGAGUAUUUAUUCCUUCUUUUCCCUGUGUACAGUACACUACAAACCAGUGGAUAUGCGUGCAUACGUACCCAUUCACGUAAGUAGAAUAACAUGGUUCUUCUGUACAGCUACUAGUAUUAGCUACGUACUGGAUCCAGCAGGCUGGCCAACUAUAAAUAGUGCACGCACGAAGGCGUCCAAGUCCAUCCAUAUGCAAAACAGCAAAACAAACACAACACGCCUUCUUACACCUUCCUAGCAACAUGGCCUCCACUUGCUCCUUCGUCUUGGUGCUAGGCAUCAUGUGCUUCGGGCUGCUGGCCCUGCCGGCCUCAUCCGUUGGGGCCACUGCUGCAGGCGCCGCCGGUGCCACUACUGCCGGUGCCGCCGGUGCCUCCAUGCAGCUUCGAGAGGAUCUUCGCCUGAUGGAGAUCGCAGGCUGCUGCGACAUAUGUCAGGCAUGCCUCGUCGACACCUUCCAGCCAUGCUUUGAUUUCCGCCCCGCGAGGUUCGUUGCCUGCUUCAUCAAGUACAUAGUCAAAGACAUUGAAAACGGAUAUAUAUAUCCAAUCAAGUAAUGGAUCAUUGCCGGCGACAUGGCCGGGGAGGUUGAUCCCCUACAUGCCGAUGCACUUCUCUUUGACUACUAACAUCAGAUCAUGGAUCCAAUCCGCAUCAUUGCUACUAACAUCUUUCAACACAAUUUUCUCUAGGAACAUAUCAAAAUAAACACAGGGAAGCAACAACGCGAGCUAUUGAUCUAUAACAUAAUUUGCAAAAUACUACCAGGACUAAGUUCAUGAUAAAUUUAAGUUCAGUUUAAUCAUAUUACUUAAGAACUCCCACUUAGAUAGACAUCCCUCUAAUCCUCUAAGUGAUUACGUGAUCCAAAUCAACUAAACCAUGUCCGAUCAUCACGUGAGAUGGAGUAGUUUCAUUGGUGAACAUCACUAUAUUGAUCAUAUCUACUAUAUGAUUCACGCUCGACCUUUUGGUCUCCGUGUUCCGAGGCCAUAUCUGUAUAUGCUUGGCUUGUCAAGUAUAACCUGAGUAUUCCGCGUGUGCAACUGUUUUGCACCCGUUGUAUUUGAACGUAGAGCCUAUCACACCCGAUCAUCACGUGGUGUCUCAGCACGAAGAACUUUCGCAACGGUGCAUACUUAGGGAGAACACUUCUUGAUAAUUAGUGAGAGAUCAUCUUAUAAUGCUACCGUCAAUCUAAGCAAGAUAAGAUGCAUAAAAGUUCAACAUCACAUGCAAUCAAUAUAAGUGAUAUGAUAUGGCCAUCAUCAUCUUGUGCUUGUGAUCUCCAUCUCCGAAGCACCGUCGUGAUCACCAUCGUUACCCGCGUGACACCUUGAUCUCCAUCGUAGCAUCGUUGUCGUCUCGCCAAGCUUGUGCUUCCACGACUAUGGCUACCGUUUAGUGAUAAAGUGAAGCAUUACAUCGCGAUUGCAUUGCAUACAAUAAAGCGACAACCAUAUGGCUCUUGCCAGUUGCCGAUAACUCGGUUACAAAACAUGAUCAUCUCAUACAAUAAAAUUCAGCAACAUGUCUUAACCAUAUCACAUCACAACAUGCCCUGCAAAAACAAGUUAGACGUCCUCUACUUUGUUGUUGCAAGUUUUACGUGGCUGCUACGGGGUUAAGCAAGAAGUAAUCUUACCUACGCAUCAAAACCACAACGAUAGUUUGUCAAGUUGGUGCUGUUUUAACCUUCGCAAGGACCGGGCGUAGCCACACUCGAUUCAACUAAAGUUGGAGAAACUGUCACCCGCAAGCCACCUAUGUGCAAAGCAUGUCGGGAGAACCGGUCUCGCGUAAGCGUACGCGUAAUGUCGGUCCGGGCCGCUUCGUCCAACAAUACCGCCGAACCAAAGUAUGACAUGCUGGUAAGAAGUAUGACUUAUAUCGCCCACAAAUCACUUGUGUUCUACUCGUGCAUAUAACAUCAACAUAUAAAACCUAGGCUCUGAUACCACUGUUGGGGAACGUAGUAAUUUCAAAAUUUUCCUACGCACACGCAAGAUCAUGGUGAUGCAUAGCAACGAGAGGGGAGAGUGUGAUCUACAUACCUAGUAGAUAGACAACAGAAGCGUUUGGUUAAUGUAGUCGUAUGUCUUCACGGCCCGACCGAUCAAGCACCGAAACUAUGGCACCUCCGAGUUUUAGCACACGUUCAGCUCGAUGACGAUCCCCGGACUCUGAUCCAGCAAAGUGUUGGGGAAGAGUUCCGUCAGCACGACGGCGUGGUGAUGAUCUUGAUGUACUACUGCAGCAGGGCUUCGCCUAAACUCCGCUACAAUAUUAUCGAGGACUAUGGUGGAAGGGGGCACCGCACACGGCUAAGAAUAUGAUCACGUGGAUCAACUUGUGUGUCUCUAGGGUGCCUCUGCCUCAGUAUAUAAAGGACCAAAGGGGGGGGGGCGGCCGGCCACAUAGGGCGCGCCAGGAGAGUCCUACUUCCUCUGGGAGUAGGAUUCCCCCCCCCCCAAUCCUAGUUGGAAUAGGACUCGUGGAGGGGGGAAAAGAGAGAGAGGGGCCGGCCCCCUCUCCUUCUCCAAUUCGGACCAAGGGAUGGGAGGGGCGCGCGGCCCACUAUGGGCUGCCUCUUCUCUUUUCCACCAAUGCCCAUUAAGGCCCAUCUAGCUCCCCGGGGGGUUCCGGUAACCUCCCGGUACUCCGGUAAAAUCCCGAUUUCACCUGGAACACUUCCGAUAUCCAAACAUAGGCUUCCAAUAUAUCAAUCUUUAUGUCUCGACCAUUUCGAGACUCCUCGUCAAGUCCGUGAUCUCAUCCGGGACUCCGAACAACCUUCGGUACAUCAAAAUGCAUAAACUCAUAAUAUAACUGUCAUCGUAACCUUAAGCGUGCGGACCCUACGGGCUCGAGAACAAUGUAGACAUGACCGAGACAUGUCUCCGGUCAAUAACCAACUGCGGGACCUGGAUGCCCAUAUUGGCUCCUACAUAUUCUACGAAGAUCUUUAUCGGUCAGACCGCAUAACAACAUACGUUGUCCCCUUUGUCAUCUGUAUGUUACUUGCCCAAGAUUCGAUCGUCGGUAUUCCUAUACCUAGUUCAAUCUCGUUACCGGCAAGUCUCUUUACUCGUUCUGUAAUACAUCAUCCCGCAACUAACUCAUUAGUUGCAAUGCUUGCAAGGCUUUAUGUGAUGUGCAUUACCGAGAGGGCCCAGAGAUACCUCUCCGACAAUCGGAGUGACAAAUCCUAAUCUCGAAAUCCCAACAUGUACCUUUGGAGAUACCUGUAGAGCUCCUUUAUAAUCACCCAGUUACGUUGUGACGUUUGGUAGCACACAAAGUGUUCCUCCGGCAAACGGGAGUUGCAUAAUCUCAUAGUCAUAGGAACAUGUAUAAGUCAUGAAGAAAGCAAUAGCAACAUACUAAACGAUCGGGUGCUAAGCUAAUGGAAUGGGUCAUGUCAAUCACAUCAUUCUCCUAAUGAUGUGAUCCCAUUAAUCAAAUAACAACUCUUUUGUUUAUGGUUAGGAAACAUAACCAUCUUCGAUUAACGAGCUAGUCAAGUAGAGGCAUACUAGUGACACUCUGUUUGUCUAUGUAUUCACACAUGUAUUAUGUUUCCGGUUAAUACAAUUCUAGCAUGAAUAAUAAACAUUUAUCAUGAUAUAAGGAAAUAAAUAAUAACUUUAUUAUUGCCUCUAUGGCAUAUUUCCUUUAGUCUCCCACUUGCACUAGAGUCAAUAAUCUAGUUCAUAUCGCCAUGUGAUUCAACACUAAGAGUUCACAUCACCAUGUGAUUAACACCCAUAGUUCACAUCGUCAUGUGACCUAUACCCAAAGGGUUUACUAGAGUCAAUAAUCUAGUUCACAUCAUUUAUGUGAUUAACACCCAAAGAGUACUAAGGUGUGAUCAUGUUUUGCUUGUGAGAUAAUUUUAGUCAACGGGUCUGUCACAUACAGAUCCGUAAGUAUUUUGCGAAUUCUAUGUCUACAAUGCUCUGCAUGGAGAUACUCUAGCUAAUUGCUCCCACUUUCAAUAUGUAUCUAGAUAGAGAGUUAGAGUCAUCCAGAUCUGUGUCAAAACUGUUGGGUAACGUAGCAAUAAUUCAAAAAAAUUCCUACGUGUCACCAAGAUCAAUCUAUGGAGUCAUCUAGCAACAAGGGAGGAGUGGAUCUACAUACCCUUGUAGAUCGCGCGCGGAAGCGUUCAAGAGAAAUGGAAUCGUACUCGUCGUGAUCCAAAUCACCGAUGAUCCUAGCGCCGAACGGACGGCACCUCCGCGUUCAACACACGUACGGAGCUGCGACGUCUCCUCCUUCUUGAUCCAGCAGGGGGGGAGGAGAGGUUGAUGAAGACUCCAUCCAGCAGCAGCACAAUGGCAUGGUGGUGGUGGAGGAGCGUGGCAAUCCUGCAGGGCUUCGCCAAGCACCACGGGAGAGGAGAAGGACUUGGGAGAGGGAGAAGGAUUGCACCAAAGGCAAAGGUAUGGCUGCCCUCCCACCCCCCACAUAUAUAUAGGGGCAAGGGAGAGGGGGGGAGGCGCAGCCUUGGCCCUUCCUCCAAGGAAGGGUGCGGCUAGGAGGAGUCCCUCCUCCCCAAGGCACCUCGGAGGUGCCUUCCCCUUUAGGACUCUUCCUUUCCUUAUCCUUUGGCGCAUGGGCCUCUUGGGGCUGGUGCCCUUGGCCCAUAUAGGCCAAGGUGCACACCCCUACAGCCCAUGUGGCCCCCCGGGGCAGGUGGCCCCACCCGGUGGACCCCCGGGACCCUUCCGGUGGUCCCGGUACAAUACCGAUGACUCCGAAACUUGUCCCGAUGGCCGAAACAGGAUUUCCUAUAUAUAAAUCUUUACCUCCGGACCAUUCCGGAACUCCUCGUGACGUCCGGGAUCUCAUCCGGGACUCCGAACAACAUUCGGUAACCACAUACAAACUUCCUUUAUAACCCUAGCAUCAUCGAACCUUAAGUGUGUAGACCCUACGGGUUCGGGAACCAUGCAGACAUGACCGAGACGACUCUCCGGUCAAUAACCAACAGCGGGAUCUGGAUAUCCAUGUUGGCUCCCACAUGUUCCACGAUGAUCUCAUCGGAUGAACCACGAUGUCAAGGACUUAAUCAAUCCCGUAUACAAUUCCCUUUGUCUAUCGGUACGACACUUGCCCGAGAUUCGAUCGUCGGUAUCCCGAUACCUUGUUCAAUCUCGUUACCGGCAAGUCUCUUUUACUCGUUCCGUAACACAUCAUCCCGUGAUCAACUCCUUGAUCACACUGUGCACAUUAUGAUGAUGUCCUACCGAGUGGGCCCAGAGAUACCUCUCCGCUUACACGGAGUGACAAAUCCCAGUCUCGAUUUGUGCCAACCCAACAAACACUUUCGGAGAUACCCGUAGUGCACCUUUAUAGUCACCCAGUUACGUUGUGACGUUUGGUACACCCAAAGCACUCCUACGGUAUCCGAGAGUUGCACAAUCUCAUGGUCUAAGGAAAUGAUACUUGACAUUAGAAAAGCUUUAGCAUACGAACUACAUGAUCUUCGUGCUAGGCUUAGGAUUGGGUCUUGUCCAUCACAUCAUUCUCCUAAUGAUGUGAUCCCGUUAUCAAUGACAUCCAAUGUCCAUGGUCAGGAAACCGUAACCAUCUAUUGAUCAACGAGCUAGUCAACUAGAGGCUUACUAGGGACAUGGUGUUGUCUAUGUAUCCACACAUGUAUCUGAGUUUCCUAUGAAUACAAUUAUAGCAUGGAUAAUAAACGAUUAUCAUGAACAAGGAAAUAUAAUAAUAAUUAAUUUAUUAUUGCCUCUAGGGCAUAUUUCCAACAGUCUCCCACUUGCACUAGAGUCAAUAAUCCAGUUCACAUUGAUAUGUGAUUAACACUCAAGGUCACAUCCCCAUGUUACUAACAUCCAAAGAAUGCUGGGUUUGAUCAUGUUAUGCUUGUGAGAGAGGUUAUAGUCAACGGGUCUGAACCUUUCAGAUCCGUGUGUGCUUUACAAAUCUCUAUGUCAUCUCCUAGAUGCAGCUACUACGCUACAUUUGGAGCUAUUCCAAAUAACUGUUCUACUAUACGAAUCCAGUUUACUACUCAGAAUAAUCUGGAUUAGUGUGAAAGUUUGCAUCGGCGUAACCCUUUACGACGAACUCUUUUACCACCUCCAUAAUCGAGAAAAUUCCUUAGUCCACUAGUUACUAAUGAUAACUUUGACCGCUGUCCUAUGAUCCAUUCUUGGAUCACUCUUGUACCCCUUGACUGACUCAUGGCAAGGCACAUUUCAGGUGUGGUACACAACAUAGCAUACUGUAGAGCCUAUGUCUUAAGCAUAGGGGACGACCUUCGUCCUUUCUCUCUAUUCUGCCGUGGUCGAGCUUUAAGUCUUAACUUCAUACCUUACAACUCAGGCAAGAACUCCUUCUUUGACUGGUCCAUCUUGAACACCUUCAAGAUCAUGUCAAGGUAUGUGCUCAUUUGAAAAGUACCAUUAAGCGUUUUGAUCUAUCCUUAUAGAUCUUGAUGCUUAAUGUUCAAGUAGCUUAAUCCUGGUUUUCCAUUGAAAAACACCUUUCAAAUGACCCUAUAUGCUUUCCAGAAAUCCUACGUCAUUUCUGAUCAACAAUAUGUCAACAACAUAUAUUUAUCAGAAAUUCUAUAGUGCUCCCACUCACUUCUUUGGAAAUACAAGUUUCUCAUAAACUUUGUACACACCCAAAACUUUGAUCAUCUCAUCAAAGCAUACAUUCCAACUCCGAGAUGCUUACUCCAGUCCUUAGAAGGAUUGCUGGAGCUUUGCAUACUUAUUAGCAUCUUUCAGGAUUAACAAAACCUUCUAGUUGUAUCACAUACAACCUUUCCUCAAGAAAAUCGUCGAGGAAACAAUGUUUUAACAUCCUAUCUGCAAGAUCUCAUAAAUAAUGCAGUAAUCGCUAAUAUAAUUCCAACAGACUCUUAGCAUCGCUACGAGUGAGAAAGUCUCAUCACAGUCAACUCCUUGAACUUGUCGGAAAACAUCUUAAUGACAAGUCGAACUUACCAUCAUUGUCCGUCUUCCUUUUAAAAUCCAUCUGUACUCAACAGCCUUACGACCAUCGAGCUGUUCUGCCAAAGUCUACACUUUGUUUUCAUACAUGGAUCCUCUCUCGGAUUUUAUGGCCUCGAGCCAUUUAUCAGAAUCCAGGCCCACCAUCGCUUCUCCAUAGCUCGUAGGUUCAUUGUUGUCUAGCAACAUGACUUCUAAGACAGGAUUACGUACCACUCUGAAGUAGUACGCAUCCUUGUCAUCCCACGAGGUUUGGUAGUGACUUGAUCUGAAGUUUCAUGAUCACUAUCAUAAGCUUCCACUUCAAUUGGUGUAGGUGCCACAGGAACAACUUCUUGUGCCCUGCCACACACUAGUUGAAGAGACGGUUCAAUAACCUCAUCAAGUCUCCACCAUCCUCCCACUCAAUUCUUUCGGGAGAAACUUUUCCUCGAGAAAGGACCCGAUUCUAGAAACAAUCCCUUAUUGCUUUCGGAUCUGAGACAGGAGGUAUACCCAACUGUUUUGGGUGUCCUAUGAAGAUGCAUUUAUCCGCUUUGGGUUCGAUCUUAUCAGCCUGAAACUUUUUCACAUAAGCGUCGCAGCCCCAAACCUUUUUAAGAAAUGAUAGCUUAGGUUUAUCUAAACCAUAGUUCAUACGGUGUCAUCUCAUCGGAAUUACGUGGUGCCCUAUUUAAAGUGAAUGUGGUUGUCUCUAAUGCCUAACCCAUAAACUAUCGUGGUAAUUCGAUAAGAGACAUCAUGGUAUGCAUCAUAUCCAAUAGGGUGCAGUUAUGAUGUUCGGAUACACCAUUACGCUACGGUGUUCCAGGCUGUAUUAGUUAUGAAACAAUUUCCACAAUGUCUUAAUUAUGUGCCAAACUCGUAAUUCAGAUAUUCAUCUCUAUGAUCAUAUCAUAGAUCUUUUAUCCUCUUGUCAUGACGAUCUUUCAACUUCACCCUGAAAUUACUUGAACCUUUCAAUAAUUCAGACUCGUGAUUCAUCAAGUAAAUAUACUCAACAUCCACUCAAAUCAUCUGUGAAGUAAGAACAUAACGAUAUCCACUACACGCCUCAGCACUCAUUGGACUGCACACAUCAAAAUGUAUUACUUCCAACAAGUUGCUUUCUAGUUCCAUUUUACUGAAACCGAGGCUUUCAGUCAUCUUGCCUAUGUGGUAUGAUUUGCAUGUCUCAAGUGAUUCAAAAUCAAGUGAGUCCAAACGGUCCACUUGCAUGGAGUUUCUUCAUGCAUAUACACCAAUAGACAUGGUUCGCAUGUCUCAAACUUUUCAAAAAACGAGUGAGCCCAAAGAUCCAUCAACAUGGAGCUUCUUCAUGCGUUUUAUACCGAUAUGACUUACGUGGCAGUGCCACAAGUAGGUGGUACUAUCAUUACUAUCUUUUGGCAUGAACAUGUGUAUCACUAUGAUUGAGAUUCAAUAAACCAUUCAUUUUAGGUGCAAGACCAUUGAAGGUAUUAUUCAAAUAAACAGAGUAACCAUUAUUCUCCUUAAAUGAAUAACCGUAUUGCGAUAGACAUAAUCCAAUCAUGUCUAUGCUCAACGCAAACACCAAUCUCGAUGGUAGAGGGAGCGUGCGAUGCUUGAUCAUAUCAACAUUGGAAACACUUCCAACACAUAUCGUCAGCUCACCUUUAGCUAGUCUCCGUUUAUUCCGUAGCUUUUAUUUCGAGUUACUAACACUUAGCAACCGAACCGGUAUCUAAUACCCUGGUGCCACUAGGAGUACUAGUAAAGUACACAUUAACACAAUGUAUAUCCAAUAUACUCCUAUCGACCUUGCCAGCCUUCUCAUCUACCAAGUAUCUAGGGUAAUUCUGCUCUAGUGGCUGUUCCCCUUAUUACAGAAGCACUUAGUCUCGGGUUUGGGUUCAACCUUGGGUUUCUUCACUAGAGCAGCAGCUGAUUUGCCGUUUCAUGAAGUUUCCCUUCUUGCCCUUGCCCUUCUUGAAACUAGUGGUUUCACCAACUAUCAACAAUUGAUGCUCCUUCUUGAUUUCUACUUUUUGCGGUGUCAAACAUCGCGAAUAUCUCAACGAUCAUCAUAUAUGUCCCUGAUAUAUCAUAGUUCAUCACGAAGCUCUAGCAGCUUGGUGGUAAUGACUUCGGAGAACCAUCACUAUUUCAUCUGGAAGAUCAACUCCCACUCGAUUCAAGCGAUUGUUGUACUCAGACAAUCUGAGCACAAGCACAACAAUUGAGCUUUUCUCCCUUAGUUUGCAGGCUAAGAAAAUCGUCGGAGGUCUUAUACCUCUUGACGUGGGCACGAGCCUGAAAUCCCAAUUUCAGCCCUCAAAACAUCUCAUAUGUUUCGCGACGUUUCAAAACCGUCUUCGGUGCCUCAAUUCUAAACCGUUUAACUGAACUAUCACGUAGUUAUCAAAAUGUGUAUGUCAGAUGUUCGCAACAUCCACAGACGACGUUCGAGGUUCAGCACACUGAGCGGUGCAUUAAGGACAUAAGCCUUCUAUGAAGCAAUGAGGACAAUCCUCAGUUUACGGACCUAGUCCGCAUAAUUGCUACUAUCAAUUUUCAACUAAAUUUUCUCUAGGAACAUAACUAAACAGUAGAACUAAAGCGCGAGCCACGACAUAAUUUGCGAAGAUCUUUUGACUAUGUUCAGGAUAAUUAAGUUCAUCUUAUGAACUCCCACUCAGAUAGACAUCCCUCUAGUCAUCUAAGUGAUUACAUGAUCCGAGUCAACUAGGCCGUGUCCGAUCAUCACAUGAGACGGACUAGUCAUCAUCGGUGAACAUCUUCAUGUUGAUCGUAUCUACCAUACGACUCAUGCUCGACCUUUCGGUCUCUUGUGUUCCGAGGCCAUGUCUGUACAUGCUAGGCUCGUCAAGUCAACCUAAGUGUUUCGCGUGUGUAAAUCUGUCUUACACCUGUUGUAUGUGAACGUAAGAAUCUAUCACACCCGAUCAUCACAUGGUGCUUCGAAACGACGAACUUUCGCAAUGGUGCACAGUUAGGGGGAACACUUUCUUGAAAUUUUAAUGAGGGAUCAUCUUAUUUACUACCGUCGUUCUAAGUAAACAAGAUGCAAAAACAUGAUAAACAUCACAUGCAAUCAAAUAGUGACAUGAUAUGGCCAAUAUCAUAUUGCUCCUUUUGAUCUCCAUCUUCGGGGCUCCAUGAUCAUCAUUGUCACCGGCAUGACACCAUGAUGUCCAUCAUCAUGAUCUCCAUCAUCGUGUCUUCUUGAAGUUGUCUCGUCAUCUAUUACUUCUACUACUAUGGCUAACGCUUUAGCAAUAAAGUAAAGUAAUUACAUGACGUUUAUGUUGACACGCAGGUCAUAAAUAAAUUAAGACAACUCCUAUGGCUCCUGCCGGUUGUCAUACUCAUCGACAUGCAAGUCGUGAUUCCUAUUACAAGAACAUGAUCAAUCUCAUACAUCACAUAUAUCAUUCAUCACAUCCUUUUGGCCAUAUCACAUCACAUAGCAUACCCUGCAAAAACAAGUUAGACGUCCUCUAAUUGUUGUUUGCAUGUUUUACGUGGCUGCUAUGGGUUUCUAGCAAGAACGUUUCUUACCUACGCAAAACCACAACGUGAUAUGCCAAUUGCUAUUUACCCUUCAUAAGGACCUUUUUCAUCGAAUCCGAUCCGACUAAAGUGGGAGAGACAGACACCCGCUAGCCACCUUAUGCAACUAGUGCAUGUCUGUCGGUGCAACCUGUCUCACGUAAGAGUACGUGUAAGGUCGGUCCGGGCCGCUUCAUCCCACAAUACCAUCGAAUCAAGAUAAGACUAGUAGCGGCAAGCAUAUUGAACAAAAUCAACGCCCACAACUUCUUUGUUCUCUACUCGUGCAUAGAAUCUACACAUAGACCUAGCUCAUGAUGCCACUGUUGGGUAACGUAGCAAUAAUUCAAAAAAUUUCCUACGUGUCACCAAGAUCAAUCUAUGGAGUCAUCUAGCAACAAGGGAGGAGUGGAUCUACAUACCCUUGUAGAUCGUGGGCGGAAGCGUUCAAGAGAACGGGGUUGAUGGAGUCGUACUCGUCGUGAUCCAAAUCACCGAUGAUCCUAGCGCCGAACGGACGGCACCUCCGCGUUCAACACACGUACGGAGCUGCGACGUCUCCUCCUUCUUGAUCCAGCAAGGGGGGAGGAGAGGUUGAUGAAGACUCCAUCCAGCAGCAGCACAACGGCGUGGUGGUGGUGGAGGAGUGUGGCAAUCCUGCAGGGCUUCGCCAAGCACCACGGGAGAGGAGAAGGACUUGGGAGAGGGAGAAGGAUUGCACCAAAGGCAAAGGUAUGGCUGCCCUCCCACCCCCCACAUAUAUAUAGGGGCAAGGGAGAGGGGGGAGGCGCAGCCUUGGCCCUUCCUCCAAGGAAGGGUGCGGCUAGGAGGAGUCCCUCCUCCCCAAGGCACCUCGGAGGUGCCUUCCCCCUUUAGGACUCUUCCUUUCCUUAUCCUUUGGCGCAUGGGCCUCUUGGGGCUGGUUCCCUUGGCCCAUAUAGGCCAAGGUGCACACCGCUACAGCCCAUGUGGCCCCCCGGGGCAGGUGGCCCCACCCGGUGGACCCCCGGGCCCCUUCCGGUGGUCCCGGUACAAUACCGAUGACCCCGAAACUUGUCUCGAUGGCCGAAACAGGAUUUCCUAUAUAUAAAUCUUUACCUCAGGACCAUUCCGGAACUCCUCGUGACGUCCGGGAUCUCAUCCGGGACUCCGAACAACAUUCGGUAACCACAUACAAACUUCCUUUAUAACCCUAGCGUCAUCGAACCUUAAGUGUGUAGACCCUACGGGUUCGGGAACCAUGCAGACAUGACCGAGACGACUCUCCGGUCAAUAACCAACAGCGGGAUCUGGAUACCCAUGUUGGCUCCCACAUGUUCCACGAUGAUCUCAUCGGAUGAACCACGAUGUCAAGGACUUAAUCAAUCCCGUAUACAAUUCCCUUUGUCUAUCGGUACGACACUUGCCCGAGAUUCGAUCGUCGGUAUCCCGAUACCUUGUUCAAUCUCGUUACCGGCAAGUCUCUUUUACUCGUUCCGUAACGCAUCAUCCCGUGAUCAACUCCUUGAUCACACUGUGCACAUUAUGAUGUCCUACCGAGUGGGCCCAGAGAUACCUCUCCGCUUACACGGAGUGACAAAUCCCAGUCUCGAUUCGUGCCAACCCAACAGACACUUUCGGAGAUACCCAUAGUGCACCUUUAUAGUCACCCAGUUACGUUGUGACGUUUGGUACACCCAAAGCACUCCUACGGUAUCCGGGAGUUGCACAAUCUCAUGGUCUAAGGAAAUGAUACUUGACAUUAGAAAAGCUUUAGCAUACGAACUACAUGAUCUUUGUGCUAGGCUUAGGAUUGGGUCUUGUCCAUCACAUCAUUCUCCUAAUGAUGUGAUCCCGUUAUCAAUGACAUCCAAUGUCCAUGGUCAGGAAACCGUAACCAUCUAUUGAUCAACGAGCUAGUCAACUAGAGGCUUACUAGGGACAUGGUGUUAUCUAUGUAUCCACACAUGUAUGUGAGUUUCCUAUCAAUACAAUUAUAGCAUGGAUAAUAAACGAUUAUCAUGAACAAGGAAAUAUAAUAAUAACUAAUUUACUAUUGCCUCUAGGGCAUAUUUCCAACAAAAACUUGCAUCGACGUAACUUUUUACGACGAACCUUUUGUCACCUCCAUAAUCGAGAAAUAUUUCCUUAUUCCACUAAGGAUAAUUUUGACCAAUGUCCAGUGAUCUACUCUUAGAUCACUAUUGUACUCCCUUGCUUAACACAGUGUAGGGUAUACAAUAGAUCUGGUACACAUCAUGGCAUACUUUAUAGAACCUAAGGCUGAGGCAUAGGGAAUGACUUUCAUUCUCUUUCUAUCUUCUGCCGUGGUCGGGCUUUGAGUCUUACUCAAUUUCAUACCUUGUAACACAGCCGAGAACUCUUUCUUUGACUGUUCCAUUUUUGAACUACUUCAAAAUAUUGUCAAGGUAUGUACUCAUUGAAAAAACUUAUCAAGCGUCUUGAUCUAUCUCUAUAGAUUUUGAUGCUUAAUAUGUAAGCAGCUUCACCGAGGUCUUUCUUUGAAAAACUUCUUUAAGAACACUCCUUUAUGCUUUGCAGAUUAAUUCUACAUUAUUUCCGAUCAACAAUAUGCCAUUCACAUAUACUUAUCAGAAAUGCUGUAGUGCUCCCACUCACUUUCUUGUAAAUACAGGCUUCAUCGCAAGUCUGUAUAAAACUACAUGCUUUGAUCAACUUAUCAAAGCGUAUAUUCCAACUCCGAGAUGCUUGCACCAGUCCAUAGAUGGAUCGCUGGAGCUUGCAUAUUUUUUUAGCACCUUUAGGAUUGACAAAACCUUCUGGUUGUAUCAUAGAGAACUCUUCUUUAAUAAAUCUAUUAAGGAAUGUAGUUUUGUUUAUUCAUUUGCUAGAUUUCAUAAAAUGCGGCAAUUGCUAACAUGAUUCGGAUAGACUUAAGCAUAGAUACGAGUGAGAAACUCUCAUCGUAGUCAACACCUUGAACUUGUCGAAAACCUUUUGCAACAAUUCUGGCUUUGUAGAUAGUAACACUACUAUCAGUGUCCGUCUUCCUCUUGAAGAUCCAUUUAUUCUCAAUUGCUUGCCGAUCAUCGGGCAAGUCAACCAAAGUCCAUACUUUGUUCUCAUACAUGGAUCCCAUCUCAGAUUUCAUGGCCUCAAGCCAUUUCGCGGAAUCUAGGCUCAUCAUCGCUUCCUCAUAGUUCGCAAGUUCGUCAUGGUCUAGUAACAUGACUUCCAUAACAGGAUUACCGUACCACUCUGGUGCGGAUCUCACUAUGGUUUACCUACGAGAUUCGGUAGUAACUUGAUCUGAAGUUACAUGAUCAUCAUCAUUAGCUUCCUCACUAAUUGGUGUAGUAGUCACAAGAACAGAUUUUUGUGAUGAACUACUUUCCAAUAAGGGAGAAGGUACAAUUACCUUAUCAAGUUUUCUACUUUCCUCCCACUCACUUCUUUCGAGAGAAACUCCUUCUCUAGAAAGGAUCCAUUCUUAGCAACGAAUGUCUUGCCUUCGGAUCUGUGAUAGAAGGUGUACCCAAUAGUCUCCUUUGGGUAUCUUAUGAAGACAUAUUUCUCCGAUUUGGGUUUGAGCUUAUCAGGAUGAAACUUUUUCAUAUAAGCAUCACAAUCCCAAACUUUAAGAAACGACAACUUUGGUUUCUUGCCAAACCACAGUUCAGAUUGUGUCGUCUCAACGGACUUAGAUGGUGCCCUUUUAAAUGUGAAUGCAGCUGUCUUUAAUGCAUAACCCCAAAACGAUAGUGGUAGAUCGGUAAGGGACAUCAUAGAUUGCACUAUAUCCAAUAAAGUACGGUUAUGACGAUCGGACACACCAUUAUGUUGUGGUGUUCCAGGUGGCAUGAGUUUGUGAAACUAUUCCACAAUGUUUUAAUUGAAGACCAAACUCGUAACUCAAAUAUUUGUCUCCGCGAUCAGAUCGUAGAAACCUUUUCUUUUCUUGUCACGAUGAUUUUCCACUUCACCCUGAAAUUAUUUGAACUUUUCAAAUGUUUCAGACUUAUGUUUCAUCAAGUAGAUAUACUCAUAUCUGCUCAAAUCAUCUGUGAAGAUCAGAAAAUAAUGAUACCUGUCGCGAGCCUCAAUAUUCAUCGGACCACAUACAUCAGUAUGUAUGAUUUCCAACAAAUCUGUUGCUCGCUCCAUUGUUCCGAAGAACGGAGUCUUGGUCAUCUUGCCCAUGAGGCAUGGUUCGCAAGCAUCAACUGAUUCAUAAUCAAGUGAUUCCAAAAGCCCAUCAAUAUGGAGUUUCUUCAUGCGCUUUACACCAAUAUGACCUAAACGGCAGUGCUACAAAUAAGUUGCACUAUCAUUAUUAACUUUGCAUCUUUUGGUUUCAAUAUUAUGAUUAUGUGUAUCACUACGAUCGAGAUCCAACGAACUAUUUUCAUUGGGUGUGUAACCAUAUAAGGUUUUGUUCAUGUAAACAGAACAACAAUCUAUUCUCUUAUUUAAAUGAAUAACCGUAUUACAAUAAACAUGAUCAAAUCAUAUUCAUGCUUAACGCAAACACCAAAUAACACUUAUUCAGGUUCAACACUAAUCCCGAAAGUAUAGGGAGUGUGCGAUGAUGAUCAUAUCAAUCUUGGAACCACUUCCAACACACAUCGUCACUUUACCCUUAACUAGUCUCUGUUUAUUCUGCAACUCCCGUUUCGAGUUACUAAUCUUAGCAACUGAACUAGUAUCAAAUACUGAGGGGUUGCUAUAAACACUAGUAAAGUACACAUCAAUAACAUGUAUAUCAAAUAUACUUAUGUUCACUUUGCCAUCCUUCUUAUCUGCCAAUCACUUGGGGUAGUUCCGCUUCCUGUGACCAGUCCCUUUGCAGUAGAAACACUUAGUCUCAGGCUUAGGACUAGACUUGGGCUUCUUCACUUGAGCAGCAACUUGCUUGCUGUUCUUCUUGAAGUUCCCCUUCUUCCCUAUGCCCUUUUCUUGAAACUAGUGGUCUUUUCUACCAUCAACACUUGAUGUUUUUCUCGAUUUCUACCUUCGUCAAUUUCCGCAUUAUGAAGAGCUUGGGAAUCGUUUCCGUUAUCCCUUGCAUACCAUAGUUCAUCACAAAGUUCUACUAACUUGGUGAUGGUGACUAGAGAAUUCUGUCAAUCACUAUCUUAUCUGGAAGAUUAACUCCCACUUGAUUCUAGCGAUUGUUGUACUCAGACAAUCUGGGCACAUGCUCACUAGUUGAGCGAUUCUCCUCCAUCUUUUAGCUAUAGAACUUGUUGGAGACUUUCAUAUCUCUCAACUUGGGUAUUUGCUUGAAAUAUUAACUUUAACUCCCGGAACAUCUCAUAUGCUCCAUGACGUUCAAAAACGUCUUUGAAGUCCCGAUUCUAAGCCAUUAAGCAUGGUGCACUAAACUAUCAAGUAGUCAUCAUAUUGAGCUAGCCAAACGUUCAUAACGUCUGCAUCUGCUCCUGCAAUAGGUUUGUCACCUAGCGGUGCAUCAAGGACAUAAUUCUUCUGUGCAGCAAUGAGGAUAAACCUCAGAUCAUGGAUCCAAUCCGCAUCAUUGCUACUAACAUCUUUCAACACAAUUUUCUCUAGGAACAUAUCAAAAUAAACACAGGGAAGCAACAACGCGAGCUAUUGAUCUAUAACAUAAUUUGCAAAAUACUACCAGGACUAAGUUCAUGAUAAAUUUAAGUUCAGUUUAAUCAUAUUACUUAAGAACUCCCACUUAGAUAGACAUCCCUCUAAUCCUCUAAGUGAUUACGUGAUCCAAAUCAACUAAACCAUGUCCGAUCAUCACGUGAGAUGGAGUAGUUUCAUUGGUGAACAUCACUAUGUUGAUCAUAUCUACUAUAUGAUUCACGCUCGACCUUUUGGUCUCCGUGUUCCGAGGCCAUAUCUGUAUAUGCUUGGCUUGUCAAGUAUAACCUGAGUAUUCCGCGUGUGCAACUGUUUUGCACCCGUUGUAUUUGAACGUAGAGCCUAUCACACCCGAUCAUCACGUGGUGUCUCAGCACGAAGAACUUUCGCAACGGUGCAUACUUAGGGAGAACACUUCUUGAUAAUUAGUGAGAGAUCAUCUUAUAAUGCUACCGUCAAUCUAAGCAAGAUAAGAUGCAUAAAAGUUCAACAUCACAUGCAAUCAAUAUAAGUGAUAUGAUAUGGCCAUCAUCAUCUUGUGCUUGUGAUCUCCAUCUCCGAAGCACCGUCGUGAUCACCAUCGUUACCCGCGUGACACCUUGAUCUCCAUCGUAGCAUCGUUGUCGUCUCGCCAAGCUUGUGCUUCCACGACUAUGGCUACCGUUUAGUGAUAAAGUGAAGCAUUACAUCGCGAUUGCAUUGCAUACAAUAAAGCGACAACCAUAUGGCUCUUGCCAGUUGCCGAUAACUCGGUUACAAAACAUGAUCAUCUCAUACAAUAAAAUUCAGCAACAUGUCUUAACCAUAUCACAUCACAACAUGCCCUGCAAAAACAAGUUAGACGUCCUCUACUUUGUUGUUGCAAGUUUUACGUGGCUGCUACGGGGUUAAGCAAGAAGUAAUCUUACCUACGCAUCAAAACCACAACGAUAGUUUGUCAAGUUGGUGCUGUUUUAACCUUCGCAAGGACCGGGCGUAGCCACACUCGAUUCAACUAAAGUUGGAGAAACUGUCACCCGCAAGCCACCUAUGUGCAAAGCAUGUCGGGAGAACCGGUCUCGCGUAAGCGUACGCGUAAUGUCGGUCCGGGCCGCUUCGUCCAACAAUACCGCCGAACCAAAGUAUGACAUGCUGGUAAGAAGUAUGACUUAUAUCGCCCACAAAUCACUUGUGUUCUACUCGUGCAUAUAACAUCAACAUAUAAAACCUAGGCUCUGAUACCACUGUUGGGGAACGUAGUAAUUUCAAAAUUUUCCUACGCACACGCAAGAUCAUGGUGAUGCAUAGCAACGAGAGGGGAGAGUGUGAUCUACAUACCUAGUAGAUAGACAACAGAAGCGUUUGGUUAAUGUAGUCGUAUGUCUUCACGGCCCGACCGAUCAAGCACCGAAACUAUGGCACCUCCGAGUUUUAGCACACGUUCAGCUCGAUGACGAUCCCCGGACUCUGAUCCAGCAAAGUGUUGGGGAAGAGUUCCGUCAGCACGACGGCGUGGUGAUGAUCUUGAUGUACUACUGCAGCAGGGCUUCGCCUAAACUCCGCUACAAUAUUAUCGAGGACUAUGGUGGAAGGGGGCACCGCACACGGCUAAGAAUAUGAUCACGUGGAUCAACUUGUGUGUCUCUAGGGUGCCUCUGCCUCAGUAUAUAAAGGACCAAAGGGGGGAGGCCGGCCGGCCACAUAGGGCGCGCCAGGAGAGUCCUACUCCCUCUGGGAGUAGGAUUCCCCUCCCCCCCCAAUCCUAGUUGGAAUAGGACUCGCGGAGGGGGGGAAAGAGAGAGAGAGGGGCCGGCCCCUCUCCUUGUCCAAUUCGGACCAAGGGAGGGGAGGGGCGCGUGGCCCACUAUGGGCUGCCUCUUCUCUUUUCCACCAAGGCCCAUUAAGGCCCAUCUAGCUCCCCGGGGGGUUCCGGUAACCUCCCGGUACUCCGGUAAAAUCCUGAUUUCACCCGGAACACUUUUGAUAUCCAAACAUAGGCUUCCAAUAUAUCAAUCUUUAUGUCUCGACCAUUUCGAGACUCCUCAUCAAGUCCGUGAUUUCAUCCGGGACUCCGAACAACCUUCGGUACAUCGAAAUGCAUAAACUCAUAAUAUAACUGUCAUCGUAACCUUAAGCGUGCGGACCCUACGGGCUCGAGAACAAUGUAGACAUGACCGAGACAUGUCUCCGGUCAAUAACCAACUGCGGGACCUGGAUUCCCAUAUUGGCUCCUACAUAUUCUACGAAGAUCUUUAUCGGUCAGACCGCAUAACAACAUACGUUGUUCGCUUUGUCAUCGGUAUGUUACUUGCCCAAGAUUCGAUCGUCGGUAUUCCAAUACCUAGUUCAAUCUCGUUACCGGCAAGUCUCUUUACUCGUUCUGUAAUACAUCAUCCCGCAACUAACUCAUUAGUUGCGAUGCUUGCAAGGCUUUAUGUGAUGUGCAUUACCGAGAGGGCCCAGAGAUACCUCUCCGACAAUCGGAGUGACAAAUCCUAAUCUCGAAAUCCCAACAUGUACCUUUGGAGACACCUGUAGAGCUCCUUUAUAAUCACCCAGUUACGUUGUGACGUUUGGUAGCACACAAAGUGUUCCUCCGGCAAACGGGAGUUGCAUAAUCUCAUAGUCAUAGGAACAUGUAUAAGUCAUGAAGAAAGCAAUAGCAACAUACUAAACGAUCGGGUGCUAAGCUAAUGGAAUGGGUCAUGUCAAUCACAUCAUUCUCCUAAUGAUGUGAUCCCAUUAAUCAAAUAACAACUCUUUUGUUUAUGGUUAGGAAACAUAACCAUCUUCGAUUAACGAGCUAGUCAAGUAGAGGCAUACUAGUGACACUCUGUUUGUCUAUGUAUUCACACAUGUAUUAUGUUUUCGGUUAAUACAAUUCUAGCAUGAAUAAUAAACAUUUAUCAUGAUAUAAGGAAAUAAAUAAUAACUUUAUUAUUGCCUCUAGGGCAUAUUUCCUUCAGGAGUAUAUUGCAUUGCAUUGCAUGCAUGCUAUAGGCCCUCAUGCGUACGUAGAGAUGGAAGGAGAGCACACGAUAUCUACCCUUAAUGCCGGCAACUAGUUUGGCGUGGAUCCACCAACCCUAAGCCGUAGACUGUGCAUGUGCCUCGUGUGGACAGCCCCAUGCUGUUCUAUCUCGUCCUAUGAUACAUAGAAGCUUGACAAUACUUGUGAGCGAGUGAAGUGCGGUGAGCAUGUUUCAUGCAUCACAUGUGUGACAUGCACAUCGACACCAAGAGUCGGGAGUUAAGGAGAUAUUUGUCCAAUUGAUCCCAUAUGCUAAAGAUGAGAAGGUUAAUUAGCCGCACGAACGAAAUGCAGUGUAACUACUUGCCUAGUUAAAUGAACUAGUCAUCAACCCGUGCGCCCGCACGGUCUAGUGAUUUUCGAAACACGAAUGUACAAUACUCUAUACUAUACUAUGAGUUCGAAAUAUAUUAGAACUUGGACUGGAAUCUUCAAUAUGUCCCAACUAAUCAUUAUACGCCAUAUAUAGAAAUAUGAUUGACACUAUGAGACGAUACAAUUGGAAUUAUAAUAUGGAUUUUGAAGAAACGCUUAGAAGGAACCACAUACCCAGUAGAGAAAAAUGAGCAUCACAUUUAGAGGUCAUGGGAAUUAGAACCUAGUUAGAUUGAUUAUUAUGGAAGGAAUAAAAUUUAGGGAAUAUAUGUAAUAACCUAGUUAGACAUAUAUUACCUAAGAAGGAAAAAUGGAAUCAUGAUUGGUUAUUACAUAUGAGGAAUGUAUAUACUUCUCUUCAACUUGAAGGACUUGGAUAAGUCAAAUCAUUAUCAUGCUACUGCACAUUUGUUAUGAUUAUUAGGUCCAAAAUUAUUAGAAUAUACUAAAAGUUAGGUGCACGCUUUCAUCGACCUAAAAGCAGAAUGAAGUACCACGAACGAAAUGUCUCUAAAACCCCCGUCGGAAUCCUGUUUUCGACCAAAAUUUAGCUCUCUCUAAGUUAUGUUUUUUAUAAGUUAACACAUGCAUGAUUGAUCAAUCUCACCCACAACGUAUUCUGCACAUCGCAACUACCUUCCCACACCUGAAAGGAAUAUCAUUGCAAUAUUCAUGCUCCUAAAACCCUUAGUAGCAAAGUAUUGGAAAAUUAGAGAAAUUAACAACAUAAAAACUAAUGCGAGAAGCAGAUGCUUCCAUAACAUGAUUUCUUUUCUUGAUUGCGAAGUUCUGAUAUGCUGACAUCUUCACAUUGUAGUAGAUUUGCACUAUUUCAAUACUUAAACAAAUUUAGAUUAAAAAAAUGUACCUCAUGAGAUACCUAAUAUGUGAUACUCAUUUCUGUUGUGGUACCUAAUAUGUGAUACUCAUUUCUGUUGUGGUACCUAAUAUGUGAUACUCAUUCUUCUCUAACAUCAUUAAUGCCUAAAGUGGGCGUGGUUGAAAUUAUAAAGGAUUUCAAAUCCUGAGUAGCGAAUUAUAAUCUUGCGUAAUCUUAUUUUUCUGAUAAGUCAUUAUUUGUUGGCUACAACUAACAAAUGAUUAAAGAAACAAUUGUCUUGCAAACUAUUAACUAAGCACUCUUGUUAAUAGGGCGGGAGAAUGUACUAAAUCAUGUCAGGUUGUUUCUCACACAAAGUGACACACCGUGCAGCCCACAAAAGUUGCACAUGUAGAGCAAAGUAUGGCUAAAACGAAAAGGAGCAGAUACUUGGAACUUGAGCUGAUUUUUGCCCAAACUUCCUGUUGUACUGUUUGAUCAGAAUUUUUUCUCUCAUUGUGUAGAUGCCUCACUGCAGCCCAUGAUUGCCACAACCAUGCCUUUUUCUCCUUGAGACAGGGGCAACAGGUUAUUGAUGACCAAUGGACGGGCGUCCCCAAGAUCAAAACCGUCAAACAUCAAAGGACUACGUUUGUACCUGAGAAGGAGAAACACUCUUACCCAUCUGAUUGAAAAGCUGCGAGCAGGCACUUACCAUAAAACACCAAAGAAGUACGUUUAUACCUGAGAAGGAGCCGAGUACAGAUCUCAGGCAACCCUACAGUUCAUGGUUGCAUCAGCUACGUGUUAGAGAUGAAGCAAACUUUAGUUGGCGUGGCACACAAUCCACACAACACUGAUGCCAUGGUUCUCCAUCAGCCUAGGCAGCAGUGCAGUUGAUGGUUGCAUGAAGUUCGUGUUGGAGACAAAGCAAAUUAAAUUGACUGUGGCACACAAUCUAGACAACAGGGAGAUGUCCUGGCCAUCCAUCGGCCGGUUGGAACUCGAUCGUCGCCGCUAGAUUGGGGGAAGGUUUUUGUUUUUUGUCUUUUUAGAGAAUAUAAUAGAAGCAUAUCAAGAAGUCAAUAUAGUGGGGACACCCAUGUUCAGAACGCCUUAUAACUGGGUCGGUUGAAUCCUGCAUCAUACAUAACGAAGCAUAAAUUUUAGAAGGGCACUAUUCGUUUGAAACUUGUAUCUAAUUCAAGUUCUGUAGUCAGAACAAAAACAACACAACAAAAAGCAAAAUAAAUAUUACAUACCUACUAGUUUGUCUUCUCUUUCGAUUCAAUGCGGCGAUCUAUUUUCAAUCAAUGUUCUUGUAGAUUUUUUUUACUUGGCCUAAUGACCUAUACCAUAUGAAAUUGCCUGAGGCAGUGGAAACCUCCUAAAUUUAUCUCCUGGAUCGUGACACAAAUCCUAUUUUUUUACUUGAGAAACAAAGUACCAACCACUGAUUUGGUUUGUUAGAGAUGGAGGUAAUAGUAACAGUUAGCACUUGCUGCAUAAUAUAUACAAAAAUAAGAAAACAUGAAGAUGAAAAAACAUGGCAUUUUUAUUUUCCACACAGAGCUACUUCUUAACAGUGUUGAGGAGGUGAACGGACCAUGAUGUUAACUUGAGCAUCUUUUUAGAUCUCCCGUCAUUCUUCAAAUAGAUACUGCUAAGGUGUCAUCUUCUUGACUUCUUGAACGCAUAAACAUUCCAUGUCUGCAAAUAACAUAUAAAUAGGCUUGCAGACGACACUAUAGAUAAAUAAAAAUCACCAGAAUAGAGUAUUGUUUGUGCUUCUAUGAUGGACCUGGCCUAUAGGAUAAUUACAGAAGCAUAAAAUUGUAAGUAUAGAUCCAAAUCGAACCUGUAGUUUUUCCCAAUAAGAAGCAUAGAGGAGUAGACCAAAGAAAGUCCAAAACAACUCAUCCAGUUUCUAAGAACAUAAGAAGAUGUGCUUGAGUUUGUUGUGCGAAAGUACAGCCACAUCUUCAAUGAAUGGAAUCCCUUAACUGGAUUGUAUGACACCUCAGCCAAGAUGAACCGCAGGUCUGCAGCCUUCUUGUGGCAGUUGAAAUUUCUGCAGUAAGAGACUCAUUAAAUCGCUUUACUUGAAGACCGUAGAUAGGAAGCAGGGGGCAACCUAGAAGAGCAGCGCUAGGGAUAUGUGGAAACAUCUUUGACAAACUGAAUCCCCUAAUUGGAUUGUAUGGCUUCUACAAAUAUUGUCCAUCCUAGUUAUACGUAUUUAGAUAAGUCUGUAACUAAGCGCACAUCAUCAAAAUCCUCCAAAACAAACUCUAAUGGUGUACUUGUUCUUUGAGAUCAAGUCGCACUACAUAAAAAUUCCUAAUAACAAAAACCUACUGGAUCGUUGCUAGCUCCUUAAUUACCUGCAAUCAGUCUACCAUAGUUCUUCGACUUGUAGCUUCCCCAACAAUGGCAUAUGUCCGAUCAGACUUAGGUAGCGCCUCCUUCUCAACAACAUCGUUUAUCAUGGGUUGCGGUUUGGUUGGGGCAUUGCAUCUGUGGAGAUUGAAAGGGCCUUCUCUUUGUCCAAGACGGACCACAGAUCUGCAGCGUGGUUGGGAGAGUUCAGAUUUCUACGUGAAGAUGAAGAGGAUCAAAAGGAUCUCACGAAAUCGUUUUGCAUUAAGACAGCAAAAGAUAGGAAGGAGUAGGACGACCUGGAAGAGCAGCGCUAGGGAUUUGUGGAUGAUGCGCAAGUGCCUCACAUGAUAGAUCGGGGGAGGAAGAAUUUGGCCAAGGAGAUGAUUAUUUUCACAUUACAUGGAGCAUGACGUGGGAUGGAUUUGCGCUAGGGAUUUGUGGAUGAUGCGCAAGUGCCUCACAUGAUAGAUCGGGGGAGGAAGAAUUUGGCCAGGGAGAUGAUUUUUUUCACAUUACAUGGAGCAUGACGUGGGAUGGAUUUGGCCAAGGAGAUGAUUUUUUUUUCACAUUACAUGGAGCAUGAUGUGGGAUAGUAACCCAGGACUCUUGAGUUGUCCAAUGGACGGCUACAGAUACUUAAUAUGGAGAUCAGAUGGAUAAUAUUCUUAGUUUUUGAGGAUUAACGUGGUCGCUUAUUUGGUGCUUCUAAUUAGUAAAUAUAAGAUUGAGUCUAUCAUGCAAACUACUAAGUAAUUAAAAGAAUGACAAGUACUACAAUUUCUUUGGUGAUAUAUUAAUUUUCAAAAUAAACAAAGUACAUAUAUACAUCCUGAUGGGACCGUGGAAAUCUUGAGAAGACAGAGACGCCAGUUGAAAGUUUGUCUGAAUCGCAGUGGUGGACAUAAGCUUGGCAAUGGAGCCCUGAUCAGGAUGGCCUUGCUUGGUACCUUAUGCGAUUUUCCUCACCAUUGCUUGUGCGCCCACCGCUCUGGCGUUUCAAGGUCUUGCGGGGGUGCCCUUUUGGCUUCGGUUGCCGCACACCACUGAGAAUCUCGCGACCGGGGUGAUGUUCUCGUGGCAUGCCUUAACCAUAUCUAGGGUUCUCGCCAUCCUCUCAAGACAUGUGUCAUCAUCGAGCAACCGUAUGUUCUUUUCACAGGCUUUCUCCCCCCUCAAGUACAUCUAUCAUUCGCGGCACACCUUUGACCAAUCUGUGGUGUAGAUGACUUGGGUCCAGCUCCUUAACCUACUUUGUGUCAGGCACUUCAUCUGCUCAUGUGUCCGGAUCCACCUUAUCCUAUAGUCUUGGCAUCACCAUCCACAAAGAAUCAAGGUCGCAUAUUCCCGACGUAAAUGACGUGGGCCCGUCUCCUUACCCUUCCGUGUUGGAACUGCAUGUGCCCAUGCUUCGGUCCAUGGUAUCUUUCAGGUUCUCUUGUAACCAUCCACAAAAAAUCAUGGUUGCAUAUGUAGCGGUACGCCAUGUAUUCCUCGGCCUCUACAAGGAAAUAAUAUCUCCCCUUCACAUUUAAGUUGAGAGAUAUUACCCACCUACACCAUUUUGAUAAAAUGCUUCAAGGAAAUAACCUACAUACGCCUAUGAAAAAGGUUUGAUCUCUAUUAUGCCUAACGCUACCAACCCACCGAUCCAAACUUUGCACCCUAGGCCUUCUCCCAUUUCCCGUGAUUGACCAAAUCAAAUCAGGUUGUGUAUCCCCUACUGCCGCUUGCGUUGCGCCCCUAACCCUCUAUCCAUAGACGCCACAUCUGCAUACUCACAUACAAGCAGUAAUAAGCCAUGUGUACUGCCUUUGAGAAGCUCUCCUUGCCGCCUCAAAGGUGCAUCCCUACCGAUGAUCGCCUUGCUGUGUUAUUUGAUUAAACUCCAAGCUCCCAACCUGAUAUUCAUGUUUCAUGUCGAAAGUAUCACACCCACAUUUGGACAUAGGUAGUAUGCUCGUGUGGUGAAUUUUGUGGAUAUAGGUAGUAUACUCGUGUGGUGAGUUUUGUGGAAUAUCUAAUCUAUACUUUGCAUCUACCAAAAGGAUCGCUCCCCUCACAUGCAAAUAUAAUUGAGGCCAAUGGCUUUCUUCUCCCCUCAGAUCACAAGACAAGAGCAGACCAUCUAAACAGGCGGAUCGGACCUUCACCUUGGUAGGGAGGUGAGUGCUACCUGUUGCCGUGUCGUCCUCGAGCUCGGGGUGGCCAUCCUCCUCCUCCUCGAGCAGGACAAGGUUGUUCGUCCCCUACAGUCCAAUGGUCAUAUUCUCCAAGGACAUAUACAAGGGCAGAGCACAACAUUGAUGCAAGUGCCACCAAGAUAGUUUCAGUCAAAGUUAAAGCAACGGUACACAUGCAAACUGAACCAAACCGAGGUGCAUAUUCAUAUGUGUGUGUAUGUAGAGAUGCCAGUGCCAUCUGAAUUUUGGGGAACCAAAGCAUGGCUGUUGUUGUUGCUACUUUAGCAGCAACAGCAUACUCAAAGUGAAACGAGCAGCAAGUUGUUUUAUAAGCAGUGCAUACUAGUAAUUAGCUAGGACCAUUAUUAUUGCACAACCAUUCGAGGACGGUUGCAGACACAUCUAUCUCAAGGCUCUACUUGAGAAACAAAAGCAUAAGAUAUGUGAUGCUAUCAACCUUAGCACAAGAAGAAGAAAAACCACAGCCUCUCCGAUAGAAUGGAUGGAUGCAUCAUACACAAUCAUCGAUUAUAAGUGGACUAGUAUUUCUUUGCUAUUUGAGUUAAUGGUGUAUAUCUACUGAUUAAACAAGGGAUUGUCUAUUUGUCAUUCAACUGAAAUCAGUUGGACAUUAUUCAAAUUUCUUGACCAAUAAAAAAAUGAUACUUCUAUGUCCUUUUUCCUUCUUUCCUGCAUGUCAAUGACCCAAAACAUGCAACAGGCCUGACCUGCAAUAAUGAGUUUUGCACUGUAGAUGAACUGCAUAGAACCCGGUUUCGUAAGGCUGCGCUGGACCACAUAACAAUUCGACAAAAGGUCUAAAGAGAGACACUGAAAUAUUCUUUCUAUUCCACAGCACAAACAUGUCACUUUGUUUAUAAGGACCAGAGAAGUAUCAUAAACCACAUGAUCUAGCAUGUACACUGACAAAAAAUAGCAAUUCUAAAGCACAAGGGCCUAGGGUCAAAGGAAACUGAAAAUUACGGUUACCAAGCUGCUCAAAUUACAUAGUAGAAAAUUAUGUGCUCAUCAAAGUUUCUUACGCAAGGGUAGAAUCAAUCGACAGUAUAACAGUAACUUGUAGAGAAAAAAGACAAACCCGAAAGGUAUGAAGUGAUACUUUAAAUUCACUAAAUAUAUAGUAUGAUUGCUCUAAAGUGCACACUGUAAUUACACUUAAAUUACUCUACUGUAAACCCGUUGAAAUUACAGUGUAAAUUACACUAAAAGUUGCACACGAAUUACAAUGUAAUUUCCGUAAAUUUACAUAGUAAAUUACACUGAAUUUACACUAUAAUUUCCAUUGCACUUAAAUUACACAGUAAAAUGCACGGGAAUUCACAUAAACUAACAUUGUAAUUCUCUGAACUUACAGUGCAAGAACCUUGAAAUUACACUGUAAUAACCAUGAAAUUGCAUUGUUAAAUGUCCCCCGAAAUAUAGUGGAACUGACACUGAAAUGCCCUAAAUUAACGUCACUGAGUGCUGCAACACAAUACUUCAAUCCUAAAUGUGCAGAGCACGUCAUACCCAUGUAUGCACUCCUAAAGUCUAGCAGCCAACUGAGCUAACUAAUCUAAUCAACCCUAAACAACAGCCAAUCAAGGGAUUGACCUCAAACUGCAGCAACCCCUAACUUGCCAUGUAUCACCCAUGGGUGGAUGAAUCUGAAACAAAGCAUGGUGCAACUCAAAGUAGAGGAGGGGGGAGGGCAGAGGUAGU